rnacentral:lncRNA from 1 species
CAGGGCGAUAUACCAGAUAAUGCACCGAUCCAUCAGAACUCCGCAGUUAAGCGUGCUUGGGCGAGAGUAGUCUAGGAUGGGUGACCUCCUGGGAAGUCCUUGUGUUGCACCUCUUUUUGCCAAAAUUUCGUGUUCUUUUUGUUAAUUAGCGUAAUUUUACGUCGUUUUUGAAAAAUAAACUUCGAUUGUAUUUCAUUUUUCCGUUAAUUUACGCUACCUAACACUCUAUUAGUUAAUUAAUUAGCGUAGUUUGACGUCUUUUUUGAAAAUAAAUUAGAAAUGCAUAUAUACAAUUACAACGCUUUACUCUCAGGUGCGAUCAUACCAGCACUAAUGCACCGGAUCCCAUCAGAACUCCGCAGUUAAGCGUGCUUGGGCGAGAGUAGUACUAGGAUGGGUGACCUCCUGGGAAGUCCUUGUGUUGCACCUCUUUUUGCCAAAAUUUCGUGUUCUUUUUGUUAAUUAGCGUAAUUUUACGUCGUUCCGUUAAUUUACGCUACCUAACACUCUAUUAGUUAAUUAAUUAGCGUAGUUUGACGUCUUUUUUGAAAAAUAAAUUAGAAAUGCAUAUAUACAAUUACAACGCUUUACUCUCAGGUGCGAUCAUACCAGCACUAAUGCACCGGAUCCCAUCAGAACUCCGCAGUUAAGCGUGCUUGGGCGAGAGUAGUACUAGGAUGGGUGACCUCCUGGGAAGUCCUUGUGUUGCACCUCUUUUUGCCAAAAUUUCGUGUUCUUUUUGUUAAUUAGCGUAAUUUUACGUCGUUUUUGAAAAAUAAACUUCGAUUGUAUUUCAUUUUUUCCGUUAAUUUACGCUACCUAACACUCUAUUAGUUAAUUAAUUAGCGUAGUUUGACGUCUUUUUUGAAAAAUAAAUUAGAAAUGCAUAUAUACAAUUACAACGCUUUACUCUCAGGUGCGAUCAUACCAGCACUAAUGCACCGGAUCCCAUCAGAACUCCGCAGUUAAGCGUGCUUGGGCGAGAGUAGUACUAGGAUGGGUGACCUCCUGGGAAGUCCUUGUGUUGCACCUCUUUUUGCCAAAAUUUCGUGUUCUUUUUGUUAAUUAGCGUAAUUUUACGUCGUUCCGUUAAUUUACGCUACCUAACACUCUAUUAGUUAAUUAAUUAGCGUAGUUUGACGUCUUUUUUGAAAAAUAAAUUAGAAAUGCAUAUAUACAAUUACAACGCUUUACUCUCAGGUGCGAUCAUACCAGCACUAAUGCACCGGAUCCCAUCAGAACUCCGCAGUUAAGCGUGCUUGGGCGAGAGUAGUACUAGGAUGGGUGACCUCCUGGGAAGUCCUUGUGUUGCACCUCUUUUUGCCAAAAUUUCGUGUUCUUUUUGUUAAUUAGCGUAAUUUUACGUCGUUCCGUUAAUUUACGCUACCUAACACUCUAUUAGUUAAUUAAUUAGCGUAGUUUGACGUCUUUUUUGAAAAAUAAAUUAGAAAUGCAUAUAUACAAUUACAACGCUUUACUCUCAGGUGCGAUCAUACCAGCACUAAUGCACCGGAUCCCAUCAGAACUCCGCAGUUAAGCGUGCUUGGGCGAGAGUAGUACUAGGAUGGGUGACCUCCUGGGAAGUCCUUGUGUUGCACCUCUUUUUGCCAAAAUUUCGUGUUCUUUUUGUUAAUUAGCGUAAUUUUACGUCGUUUUGAUCUCGUUGUAAUUUACGCUACCUAACACUCUAUUAGUUAAUUAAUUAGCGUAGUUUGACGUCUUUUUUGAAAAAUAAAUUAGAAAUGCAUAUAUACAAUUACAACGCUUUACUCUCAGGUGCGAUCAUACCAGCACUAAUGCACCGGAUCCCAUCAGAACUCCGCAGUUAAGCGUGCUUGGGCGAGAGUAGUACUAGGAUGGGUGACCUCCUGGGAAGUCCUUGUGUUGCACCUCUUUUUGCCAAAAUUUCGUGUUCUUUUUGUUAAUUAGCGUAAUUUUACGUCGUUUUUGAAAAAUAAACUUCGAUUGUAUUCAUUUUUUCCGUUAAUUUACGCUACCUAACACUCUAUUAGUUAAUUAAUUAGCGUAGUUUGACGUCUUUUUUGAAAAAUAAAUUAGAAAUGCAUAUAUACAAUUACAACGCUUUACUCUCAGGUGCGAUCAUACCAGCACUAAUGCACCGGAUCCCAUCAGAACUCCGCAGUUAAGCGUGCUUGGGCGAGAGUAGUACUAGGAUGGGUGACCUCCUGGAAGUCCUUGUGUUGCACCUCUUUUUGCCAAAAUUUCGUGUUCUUUUUGUUAAUUAGCGUAAUUUUACGUCGUUCCGUUAAUUUACGCUACCUAACACUCUAUUAGUUAAUUAAUUAGCGUAGUUUGACGUCUUUUUUGAAAAAUAAAUUAGAAAUGCAUAUAUACAAUUACAACGCUUUACUCUCAGGUGCGAUCAUACCAGCACUAAUGCACCGGAUCCCAUCAGAACUCCGCAGUUAAGCGUGCUUGGGCGAGAGUAGUACUAGGAUGGGUGACCUCCUGGGAAGUCCUUGUGUUGCACCUCUUUUUGCCAAAAUUUCGUGUUCUUUUUGUUAAUUAGCGUAAUUUUACGUCGUUUUUGAAAAAUAAACUUCGAUUGUAUUCAUUUUUCCGUUAAUUUACGCUACCUAACACUCUAUUAGUUAAUUAAUUAGCGUAGUUUGACGUCUUUUUUGAAAAAUAAAUUAGAAAUGCAUAUAUACAAUUACAACGCUUUACUCUCAGGUGCGAUCAUACCAGCACUAAUGCACCGGAUCCCAUCAGAACUCCGCAGUUAAGCGUGCUUGGGCGAGAGUAGUACUAGGAUGGGUGACCUCCUGGGAAGUCCUUGUGUUGCACCUCUUUUUGCCAAAAUUUCGUGUUCUUUUUGUUAAUUAGCGUAAUUUUACGUUUUGAAAAUAAACUCGUUGAUCUCCGUUAAUUUACGCUACCUAACACUCUAUUAGUUAAUUAAUUAGCGUAGUUUGACGUCUUUUUUGAAAAAUAAAUUAGAAAUGCAUAUAUACAAUUACAACGCUUUACUCUCAGGUGCGAUCAUACCAGCACUAAUGCACCGGAUCCCAUCAGAACUCCGCAGUUAAGCGUGCUUGGGCGAGAGUAGUACUAGGAUGGGUGACCUCCUGGGAAGUCCUUGUGUUGCACCUCUUUUUGCCAAAAUUUCGUGUUCUUUUUGUUAAUUAGCGUAAUUUUACGUCGUUUUUGAAAAAUAAACUUCGAUUGUAUUUCAUUUUUUCCGUUAAUUUACGCUACCUAACACUCUAUUAGUUAAUUAAUUAGCGUAGUUUGACGUCUUUUUUGAAAAAUAAAUUAGAAAUGCAUAUAUACAAUUACAACGCUUUACUCUCAGGUGCGAUCAUACCAGCACUAAUGCACCGGAUCCCAUCAGAACUCCGCAGUUAAGCGUGCUUGGGCGAGAGUAGUACUAGGAUGGGUGACCUCCUGGGAAGUCCUUGUGUUGCACCUCUUUUUGCCAAAAUUUCGUGUUCUUUUUGUUAAUUAGCGUAAUUUUACGUCGUUCCGUUAAUUUACGCUACCUAACACUCUAUUAGUUAAUUAAUUAGCGUAGUUUGACGUCUUUUUUGAAAAAUAAAUUAGAAAUGCAUAUAUACAAUUACAACGCUUUACUCUCAGGUGCGAUCAUACCAGCACUAAUGCACCGGAUCCCAUCAGAACUCCGCAGUUAAGCGUGCUUGGGCGAGAGUAGUACUAGGAUGGGUGACCUCCUGGGAAGUCCUUGUGUUGCACCUCUUUUUGCCAAAAUUUCGUGUUCUUUUUGUUAAUUAGCGUAAUUUUACGUCGUUCCGUUAAUUUACGCUACCUAACACUCUAUUAGUUAAUUAAUUAGCGUAGUUUGACGUCUUUUUUGAAAAAUAAAUUAGAAAUGCAUAUAUACAAUUACAACGCUUUACUCUCAGGUGCGAUCAUACCAGCACUAAUGCACCGGAUCCCAUCAGAACUCCGCAGUUAAGCGUGCUUGGGCGAGAGUAGUACUAGGAUGGGUGACCUCCUGGGAAGUCCUUGUGUUGCACCUCUUUUUGCCAAAAUUUCGUGUUCUUUUUGUUAAUUAGCGUAAUUUUACGUCGUUCCGUUAAUUUACGCUACCUAACACUCUAUUAGUUAAUUAAUUAGCGUAGUUUGACGUCUUUUUUGAAAAAUAAAUUAGAAAUGCAUAUAUACAAUUACAACGCUUUACUCUCAGGUGCGAUCAUACCAGCACUAAUGCACCGGAUCCCAUCAGAACUCCGCAGUUAAGCGUGCUUGGGCGAGAGUAGUACUAGGAUGGGUGACCUCCUGGGAAGUCCUUGUGUUGCACCUCUUUUUGCCAAAAUUUCGUGUUCUUUUUGUUAAUUAGCGUAAUUUUACGUCGUUUUGAAAAUAAACUUCGAUUGUAUUCAUUUUUUCCGUUAAUUUACGCUACCUAACACUCUAUUAGUUAAUUAAUUAGCGUAGUUUGACGUCUUUUUUGAAAAAUAAAUUAGAAAUGCAUAUAUACAAUUACAACGCUUUACUCUCAGGUGCGAUCAUACCAGCACUAAUGCACCGGAUCCCAUCAGAACUCCGCAGUUAAGCGUGCUUGGGCGAGAGUAGUACUAGGAUGGGUGACCUCCUGGGAAGUCCUUGUGUUGCACCUCUUUUUGCCAAAAUUUCGUGUUCUUUUUGUUAAUUAGCGUAAUUUUACGUCGUUUUAUACUUGAUUUUUUUUCCGUUAAUUUACGCUACCUAACACUCUAUUAGUUAAUUAAUUAGCGUAGUUUGACGUCUUUUUUGAAAAAUAAAUUAGAAAUGCAUAUAUACAAUUACAACGCUUUACUCUCAGGUGCGAUCAUACCAGCACUAAUGCACCGGAUCCCAUCAGAACUCCGCAGUUAAGCGUGCUUGGGCGAGAGUAGUACUAGGAUGGGUGACCUCCUGGGAAGUCCUUGUGUUGCACCUCUUUUUGCCAAAAUUUCGUGUUCUUUUUGUUAAUUAGCGUAAUUUUACGUCGUUUUGAAAAUAACUUCGAUUGUAUUUCAUUUUUCCGUUAAUUUACGCUACCUAACACUCUAUUAGUUAAUUAAUUAGCGUAGUUUGACGUCUUUUUUGAAAAAUAAAUUAGAAAUGCAUAUAUACAAUUACAACGCUUUACUCUCAGGUGCGAUCAUACCAGCACUAAUGCACCGGAUCCCAUCAGAACUCCGCAGUUAAGCGUGCUUGGGCGAGAGUAGUACUAGGAUGGGUGACCUCCUGGGAAGUCCUUGUGUUGCACCUCUUUUUGCCAAAAUUUCGUGUUCUUUUUGUUAAUUAGCGUAAUUUUACGUCGUUUUUGAAAAAUAAACUUCGAUUGUAUUUCAUUUUUUCCGUUAAUUUACGCUACCUAACACUCUAUUAGUUAAUUAAUUAGCGUAGUUUGACGUCUUUUUUGAAAAAUAAAUUAGAAAUGCAUAUAUACAAUUACAACGCUUUACUCUCAGGUGCGAUCAUACCAGCACUAAUGCACCGGAUCCCAUCAGAACUCCGCAGUUAAGCGUGCUUGGGCGAGAGUAGUACUAGGAUGGGUGACCUCCUGGGAAGUCCUUGUGUUGCACCUCUUUUUGCCAAAAUUUCGUGUUCUUUUUGUUAAUUAGCGUAAUUUUACGUCGUUUUUGAAAAAUAAACUUCGAUUGUAUUUCAUUUUUUCCGUUAAUUUACGCUACCUAACACUCUAUUAGUUAAUUAAUUAGCGUAGUUUGACGUCUUUUUUGAAAAAUAAAUUAGAAAUGCAUAUAUACAAUUACAACGCUUUACUCUCAGGUGCGAUCAUACCAGCACUAAUGCACCGGAUCCCAUCAGAACUCCGCAGUUAAGCGUGCUUGGGCGAGAGUAGUACUAGGAUGGGUGACCUCCUGGAAGUCCUUGUGUUGCACCUCUUUUUGCCAAAAUUUCGUGUUCUUUUUGUUAAUUAGCGUAAUUUUACGUCGUUCCGUUAAUUUACGCUACCUAACACUCUAUUAGUUAAUUAAUUAGCGUAGUUUGACGUCUUUUUUGAAAAAUAAAUUAGAAAUGCAUAUAUACAAUUACAACGCUUUACUCUCAGGUGCGAUCAUACCAGCACUAAUGCACCGGAUCCCAUCAGAACUCCGCAGUUAAGCGUGCUUGGGCGAGAGUAGUACUAGGAUGGGUGACCUCCUGGGAAGUCCUUGUGUUGCACCUCUUUUUGCCAAAAUUUCGUGUUCUUUUUGUUAAUUAGCGUAAUUUUACGUCGUUUUGAAAAUAAACUUCGAUUGUAUUUCAUUUUUUCCGUUAAUUUACGCUACCUAACACUCUAUUAGUUAAUUAAUUAGCGUAGUUUGACGUCUUUUUUGAAAAAUAAAUUAGAAAUGCAUAUAUACAAUUACAACGCUUUACUCUCAGGUGCGAUCAUACCAGCACUAAUGCACCGGAUCCCAUCAGAACUCCGCAGUUAAGCGUGCUUGGGCGAGAGUAGUACUAGGAUGGGUGACCUCCUGGGAAGUCCUUGUGUUGCACCUCUUUUUGCCAAAAUUUCGUGUUCUUUUUGUUAAUUAGCGUAAUUUUACGUCGUUUUUGAAAAAUAAACUUCGAUUGUAUUUCAUUUUUUCCGUUAAUUUACGCUACCUAACACUCUAUUAGUUAAUUAAUUAGCGUAGUUUGACGUCUUUUUUGAAAAAUAAAUUAGAAAUGCAUAUAUACAAUUACAACGCUUUACUCUCAGGUGCGAUCAUACCAGCACUAAUGCACCGGAUCCCAUCAGAACUCCGCAGUUAAGCGUGCUUGGGCGAGAGUAGUACUAGGAUGGGUGACCUCCUGGGAAGUCCUUGUGUUGCACCUCUUUUUGCCAAAAUUUCGUGUUCUUUUUGUUAAUUAGCGUAAUUUUACGUCGUUCCGUUAAUUUACGCUACCUAACACUCUAUUAGUUAAUUAAUUAGCGUAGUUUGACGUCUUUUUUGAAAAAUAAAUUAGAAAUGCAUAUAUACAAUUACAACGCUUUACUCUCAGGUGCGAUCAUACCAGCACUAAUGCACCGGAUCCCAUCAGAACUCCGCAGUUAAGCGUGCUUGGGCGAGAGUAGUACUAGGAUGGGUGACCUCCUGGGAAGUCCUUGUGUUGCACCUCUUUUUGCCAAAAUUUCGUGUUCUUUUUGUUAAUUAGCGUAAUUUUACGUCGUUUUUGAAAAAUAAACUUCGAUUGUAUUUCAUUUUUUCCGUUAAUUUACGCUACCUAACACUCUAUUAGUUAAUUAAUUAGCGUAGUUUGACGUCUUUUUUGAAAAAUAAAUUAGAAAUGCAUAUAUACAAUUACAACGCUUUACUCUCAGGUGCGAUCAUACCAGCACUAAUGCACCGGAUCCCAUCAGAACUCCGCAGUUAAGCGUGCUUGGGCGAGAGUAGUACUAGGAUGGGUGACCUCCUGGGAAGUCCUUGUGUUGCACCUCUUUUUGCCAAAAUUUCGUGUUCUUUUUGUUAAUUAGCGUAAUUUUACGUCGUUUUUGAAAAAUAAACUUCGAUUGUAUUUCAUUUUUUCCGUUAAUUUACGCUACCUAACACUCUAUUAGUUAAUUAAUUAGCGUAGUUUGACGUCUUUUUUGAAAAAUAAAUUAGAAAUGCAUAUAUACAAUUACAACGCUUUACUCUCAGGUGCGAUCAUACCAGCACUAAUGCACCGGAUCCCAUCAGAACUCCGCAGUUAAGCGUGCUUGGGCGAGAGUAGUACUAGGAUGGGUGACCUCCUGGAAGUCCUUGUGUUGCACCUCUUUUUGCCAAAAUUUCGUGUUCUUUUUGUUAAUUAGCGUAAUUUUACGUCGUUCCGUUAAUUUACGCUACCUAACACUCUAUUAGUUAAUUAAUUAGCGUAGUUUGACGUCUUUUUUGAAAAAUAAAUUAGAAAUGCAUAUAUACAAUUACAACGCUUUACUCUCAGGUGCGAUCAUACCAGCACUAAUGCACCGGAUCCCAUCAGAACUCCGCAGUUAAGCGUGCUUGGGCGAGAGUAGUACUAGGAUGGGUGACCUCCUGGGAAGUCCUUGUGUUGCACCUCUUUUUGCCAAAAUUUCGUGUUCUUUUUGUUAAUUAGCGUAAUUUUACGUCGUUUUUGAAAAAUAAACUUCGAUUGUAUUUCAUUUUUUCCGUUAAUUUACGCUACCUAACACUCUAUUAGUUAAUUAAUUAGCGUAGUUUGACGUCUUUUUUGAAAAAUAAAUUAGAAAUGCAUAUAUACAAUUACAACGCUUUACUCUCAGGUGCGAUCAUACCAGCACUAAUGCACCGGAUCCCAUCAGAACUCCGCAGUUAAGCGUGCUUGGGCGAGAGUAGUACUAGGAUGGGUGACCUCCUGGGAAGUCCUUGUGUUGCACCUCUUUUUGCCAAAAUUUCGUGUUCUUUUUGUUAAUUAGCGUAAUUUUACGUCGUUUUUGAAAAAUAAACUUCGAUUGUAUUUCAUUUUUUCCGUUAAUUUACGCUACCUAACACUCUAUUAGUUAAUUAAUUAGCGUAGUUUGACGUCUUUUUUGAAAAAUAAAUUAGAAAUGCAUAUAUACAAUUACAACGCUUUACUCUCAGGUGCGAUCAUACCAGCACUAAUGCACCGGAUCCCAUCAGAACUCCGCAGUUAAGCGUGCUUGGGCGAGAGUAGUACUAGGAUGGGUGACCUCCUGGGAAGUCCUUGUGUUGCACCUCUUUUUGCCAAAAUUUCGUGUUCUUUUUGUUAAUUAGCGUAAUUUUACGUCGUUCCGUUAAUUUACGCUACCUAACACUCUAUUAGUUAAUUAAUUAGCGUAGUUUGACGUCUUUUUUGAAAAAUAAAUUAGAAAUGCAUAUAUACAAUUACAACGCUUUACUCUCAGGUGCGAUCAUACCAGCACUAAUGCACCGGAUCCCAUCAGAACUCCGCAGUUAAGCGUGCUUGGGCGAGAGUAGUACUAGGAUGGGUGACCUCCUGGGAAGUCCUUGUGUUGCACCUCUUUUUGCCAAAAUUUCGUGUUCUUUUUGUUAAUUAGCGUAAUUUUACGUCGUUUUUGAAAAAUAAACUUCGAUUGUAUUUCAUUUUUUCCGUUAAUUUACGCUACCUAACACUCUAUUAGUUAAUUAAUUAGCGUAGUUUGACGUCUUUUUUGAAAAAUAAAUUAGAAAUGCAUAUAUACAAUUACAACGCUUUACUCUCAGGUGCGAUCAUACCAGCACUAAUGCACCGGAUCCCAUCAGAACUCCGCAGUUAAGCGUGCUUGGGCGAGAGUAGUACUAGGAUGGGUGACCUCCUGGGAAGUCCUUGUGUUGCACCUCUUUUUGCCAAAAUUUCGUGUUCUUUUUGUUAAUUAGCGUAAUUUUACGUCGUUUUUGAAAAAUAAACUUCGAUUGUAUUUCAUUUUUUCCGUUAAUUUACGCUACCUAACACUCUAUUAGUUAAUUAAUUAGCGUAGUUUGACGUCUUUUUUGAAAAAUAAAUUAGAAAUGCAUAUAUACAAUUACAACGCUUUACUCUCAGGUGCGAUCAUACCAGCACUAAUGCACCGGAUCCCAUCAGAACUCCGCAGUUAAGCGUGCUUGGGCGAGAGUAGUACUAGGAUGGGUGACCUCCUGGGAAGUCCUUGUGUUGCACCUCUUUUUGCCAAAAUUUCGUGUUCUUUUUGUUAAUUAGCGUAAUUUUACGUCGUUCCGUUAAUUUACGCUACCUAACACUCUAUUAGUUAAUUAAUUAGCGUAGUUUGACGUCUUUUUUGAAAAAUAAAUUAGAAAUGCAUAUAUACAAUUACAACGCUUUACUCUCAGGUGCGAUCAUACCAGCACUAAUGCACCGGAUCCCAUCAGAACUCCGCAGUUAAGCGUGCUUGGGCGAGAGUAGUACUAGGAUGGGUGACCUCCUGGGAAGUCCUUGUGUUGCACCUCUUUUUGCCAAAAUUUCGUGUUCUUUUUGUUAAUUAGCGUAAUUUUACGUCGUUCCGUUAAUUUACGCUACCUAACACUCUAUUAGUUAAUUAAUUAGCGUAGUUUGACGUCUUUUUUGAAAAAUAAAUUAGAAAUGCAUAUAUACAAUUACAACGCUUUACUCUCAGGUGCGAUCAUACCAGCACUAAUGCACCGGAUCCCAUCAGAACUCCGCAGUUAAGCGUGCUUGGGCGAGAGUAGUACUAGGAUGGGUGACCUCCUGGGAAGUCCUUGUGUUGCACCUCUUUUUGCCAAAAUUUCGUGUUCUUUUUGUUAAUUAGCGUAAUUUUACGUCGUUUUUGAAAAAUAAACUUCGAUUGUAUUUCAUUUUUUCCGUUAAUUUACGCUACCUAACACUCUAUUAGUUAAUUAAUUAGCGUAGUUUGACGUCUUUUUUGAAAAAUAAAUUAGAAAUGCAUAUAUACAAUUACAACGCUUUACUCUCAGGUGCGAUCAUACCAGCACUAAUGCACCGGAUCCCAUCAGAACUCCGCAGUUAAGCGUGCUUGGGCGAGAGUAGUACUAGGAUGGGUGACCUCCUGGGAAGUCCUUGUGUUGCACCUCUUUUUGCCAAAAUUUCGUGUUCUUUUUGUUAAUUAGCGUAAUUUUACGUCGUUUUUGAAAAAUAAACUUCGAUUGUAUUUCAUUUUUUCCGUUAAUUUACGCUACCUAACACUCUAUUAGUUAAUUAAUUAGCGUAGUUUGACGUCUUUUUUGAAAAAUAAAUUAGAAAUGCAUAUAUACAAUUACAACGCUUUACUCUCAGGUGCGAUCAUACCAGCACUAAUGCACCGGAUCCCAUCAGAACUCCGCAGUUAAGCGUGCUUGGGCGAGAGUAGUACUAGGAUGGGUGACCUCCUGGGAAGUCCUUGUGUUGCACCUCUUUUUGCCAAAAUUUCGUGUUCUUUUUGUUAAUUAGCGUAAUUUUACGUCGUUCCGUUAAUUUACGCUACCUAACACUCUAUUAGUUAAUUAAUUAGCGUAGUUUGACGUCUUUUUUGAAAAAUAAAUUAGAAAUGCAUAUAUACAAUUACAACGCUUUACUCUCAGGUGCGAUCAUACCAGCACUAAUGCACCGGAUCCCAUCAGAACUCCGCAGUUAAGCGUGCUUGGGCGAGAGUAGUACUAGGAUGGGUGACCUCCUGGGAAGUCCUUGUGUUGCACCUCUUUUUGCCAAAAUUUCGUGUUCUUUUUGUUAAUUAGCGUAAUUUUACGUCGUUUUUGAAAAAUAAACUUCGAUUGUAUUUCAUUUUUUCCGUUAAUUUACGCUACCUAACACUCUAUUAGUUAAUUAAUUAGCGUAGUUUGACGUCUUUUUUGAAAAAUAAAUUAGAAAUGCAUAUAUACAAUUACAACGCUUUACUCUCAGGUGCGAUCAUACCAGCACUAAUGCACCGGAUCCCAUCAGAACUCCGCAGUUAAGCGUGCUUGGGCGAGAGUAGUACUAGGAUGGGUGACCUCCUGGGAAGUCCUUGUGUUGCACCUCUUUUUGCCAAAAUUUCGUGUUCUUUUUGUUAAUUAGCGUAAUUUUACGUCGUUUUUGAAAAAUAAACUUCGAUUGUAUUUCAUUUUUUCCGUUAAUUUACGCUACCUAACACUCUAUUAGUUAAUUAAUUAGCGUAGUUUGACGUCUUUUUUGAAAAAUAAAUUAGAAAUGCAUAUAUACAAUUACAACGCUUUACUCUCAGGUGCGAUCAUACCAGCACUAAUGCACCGGAUCCCAUCAGAACUCCGCAGUUAAGCGUGCUUGGGCGAGAGUAGUACUAGGAUGGGUGACCUCCUGGGAAGUCCUUGUGUUGCACCUCUUUUUGCCAAAAUUUCGUGUUCUUUUGUUAAUUAGCGUAAUUUUACGUCGUUUUUGAAAAAUAAACUUCGAUUGUAUUUCAUUUUUUCCGUUAAUUUACGCUACCUAACACUCUAUUAGUUAAUUAAUUAGCGUAGUUUGACGUCUUUUUUGAAAAAUAAAUUAGAAAUGCAUAUAUACAAUUACAACGCUUUACUCUCAGGUGCGAUCAUACCAGCACUAAUGCACCGGAUCCCAUCAGAACUCCGCAGUUAAGCGUGCUUGGGCGAGAGUAGUACUAGGAUGGGUGACCUCCUGGGAAGUCCUUGUGUUGCACCUCUUUUUGCCAAAAUUUCGUGUUCUUUUUGUUAAUUAGCGUAAUUUUACGUCGUUCCGUUAAUUUACGCUACCUAACACUCUAUUAGUUAAUUAAUUAGCGUAGUUUGACGUCUUUUUUGAAAAAUAAAUUAGAAAUGCAUAUAUACAAUUACAACGCUUUACUCUCAGGUGCGAUCAUACCAGCACUAAUGCACCGGAUCCCAUCAGAACUCCGCAGUUAAGCGUGCUUGGGCGAGAGUAGUACUAGGAUGGGUGACCUCCUGGGAAGUCCUUGUGUUGCACCUCUUUUUGCCAAAAUUUCGUGUUCUUUUUGUUAAUUAGCGUAAUUUUACGUCGUUUUUGAAAAAUAAACUUCGAUUGUAUUUCAUUUUUUCCGUUAAUUUACGCUACCUAACACUCUAUUAGUUAAUUAAUUAGCGUAGUUUGACGUCUUUUUUGAAAAAUAAAUUAGAAAUGCAUAUAUACAAUUACAACGCUUUACUCUCAGGUGCGAUCAUACCAGCACUAAUGCACCGGAUCCCAUCAGAACUCCGCAGUUAAGCGUGCUUGGGCGAGAGUAGUACUAGGAUGGGUGACCUCCUGGGAAGUCCUUGUGUUGCACCUCUUUUUGCCAAAAUUUCGUGUUCUUUUUGUUAAUUAGCGUAAUUUUACGUCGUUUUUGAAAAAUAAACUUCGAUUGUAUUUCAUUUUUUCCGUUAAUUUACGCUACCUAACACUCUAUUAGUUAAUUAAUUAGCGUAGUUUGACGUCUUUUUUGAAAAAUAAAUUAGAAAUGCAUAUAUACAAUUACAACGCUUUACUCUCAGGUGCGAUCAUACCAGCACUAAUGCACCGGAUCCCAUCAGAACUCCGCAGUUAAGCGUGCUUGGGCGAGAGUAGUACUAGGAUGGGUGACCUCCUGGGAAGUCCUUGUGUUGCACCUCUUUUUGCCAAAAUUUCGUGUUCUUUUUGUUAAUUAGCGUAAUUUUACGUCGUUUUUGAAAAAUAAACUUCGAUUGUAUUUCAUUUUUCCGUUAAUUUACGCUACCUAACACUCUAUUAGUUAAUUAAUUAGCGUAGUUUGACGUCUUUUUUGAAAAAUAAAUUAGAAAUGCAUAUAUACAAUUACAACGCUUUACUCUCAGGUGCGAUCAUACCAGCACUAAUGCACCGGAUCCCAUCAGAACUCCGCAGUUAAGCGUGCUUGGGCGAGAGUAGUACUAGGAUGGGUGACCUCCUGGGAAGUCCUUGUGUUGCACCUCUUUUUGCCAAAAUUUCGUGUUCUUUUUGUUAAUUAGCGUAAUUUUACGUCGUUUUUGAAAAAUAAACUUCGAUUGUAUUUCAUUUUUUCCGUUAAUUUACGCUACCUAACACUCUAUUAGUUAAUUAAUUAGCGUAGUUUGACGUCUUUUUUGAAAAAUAAAUUAGAAAUGCAUAUAUACAAUUACAACGCUUUACUCUCAGGUGCGAUCAUACCAGCACUAAUGCACCGGAUCCCAUCAGAACUCCGCAGUUAAGCGUGCUUGGGCGAGAGUAGUACUAGGAUGGGUGACCUCCUGGGAAGUCCUUGUGUUGCACCUCUUUUUGCCAAAAUUUCGUGUUCUUUUUGUUAAUUAGCGUAAUUUUACGUCGUUCCGUUAAUUUACGCUACCUAACACUCUAUUAGUUAAUUAAUUAGCGUAGUUUGACGUCUUUUUUGAAAAAUAAAUUAGAAAUGCAUAUAUACAAUUACAACGCUUUACUCUCAGGUGCGAUCAUACCAGCACUAAUGCACCGGAUCCCAUCAGAACUCCGCAGUUAAGCGUGCUUGGGCGAGAGUAGUACUAGGAUGGGUGACCUCCUGGGAAGUCCUUGUGUUGCACCUCUUUUUGCCAAAAUUUCGUGUUCUUUUUGUUAAUUAGCGUAAUUUUACGUCGUUUUUGAAAAAUAAACUUCGAUUGUAUUUCAUUUUUUCCGUUAAUUUACGCUACCUAACACUCUAUUAGUUAAUUAAUUAGCGUAGUUUGACGUCUUUUUUGAAAAAUAAAUUAGAAAUGCAUAUAUACAAUUACAACGCUUUACUCUCAGGUGCGAUCAUACCAGCACUAAUGCACCGGAUCCCAUCAGAACUCCGCAGUUAAGCGUGCUUGGGCGAGAGUAGUACUAGGAUGGGUGACCUCCUGGGAAGUCCUUGUGUUGCACCUCUUUUUGCCAAAAUUUCGUGUUCUUUUUGUUAAUUAGCGUAAUUUUACGUCGUUUUUGAAAAAUAAACUUCGAUUGUAUUUCAUUUUUUCCGUUAAUUUACGCUACCUAACACUCUAUUAGUUAAUUAAUUAGCGUAGUUUGACGUCUUUUUUGAAAAAUAAAUUAGAAAUGCAUAUAUACAAUUACAACGCUUUACUCUCAGGUGCGAUCAUACCAGCACUAAUGCACCGGAUCCCAUCAGAACUCCGCAGUUAAGCGUGCUUGGGCGAGAGUAGUACUAGGAUGGGUGACCUCCUGGGAAGUCCUUGUGUUGCACCUCUUUUUGCCAAAAUUUCGUGUUCUUUUUGUUAAUUAGCGUAAUUUUACGUCGUUUUUGAAAAAUAAACUUCGAUUGUAUUUCAUUUUUUCCGUUAAUUUACGCUACCUAACACUCUAUUAGUUAAUUAAUUAGCGUAGUUUGACGUCUUUUUUGAAAAAUAAAUUAGAAAUGCAUAUAUACAAUUACAACGCUUUACUCUCAGGUGCGAUCAUACCAGCACUAAUGCACCGGAUCCCAUCAGAACUCCGCAGUUAAGCGUGCUUGGGCGAGAGUAGUACUAGGAUGGGUGACCUCCUGGGAAGUCCUUGUGUUGCACCUCUUUUUGCCAAAAUUUCGUGUUCUUUUUGUUAAUUAGCGUAAUUUUACGUCGUUCCGUUAAUUUACGCUACCUAACACUCUAUUAGUUAAUUAAUUAGCGUAGUUUGACGUCUUUUUUGAAAAAUAAAUUAGAAAUGCAUAUAUACAAUUACAACGCUUUACUCUCAGGUGCGAUCAUACCAGCACUAAUGCACCGGAUCCCAUCAGAACUCCGCAGUUAAGCGUGCUUGGGCGAGAGUAGUACUAGGAUGGGUGACCUCCUGGGAAGUCCUUGUGUUGCACCUCUUUUUGCCAAAAUUUCGUGUUCUUUUUGUUAAUUAGCGUAAUUUUACGUCGUUCCGUUAAUUUACGCUACCUAACACUCUAUUAGUUAAUUAAUUAGCGUAGUUUGACGUCUUUUUUGAAAAAUAAAUUAGAAAUGCAUAUAUACAAUUACAACGCUUUACUCUCAGGUGCGAUCAUACCAGCACUAAUGCACCGGAUCCCAUCAGAACUCCGCAGUUAAGCGUGCUUGGGCGAGAGUAGUACUAGGAUGGGUGACCUCCUGGGAAGUCCUUGUGUUGCACCUCUUUUUGCCAAAAUUUCGUGUUCUUUUUGUUAAUUAGCGUAAUUUUACGUCGUUUUUGAAAAAUAAACUUCGAUUGUAUUUCAUUUUUUCCGUUAAUUUACGCUACCUAACACUCUAUUAGUUAAUUAAUUAGCGUAGUUUGACGUCUUUUUUGAAAAAUAAAUUAGAAAUGCAUAUAUACAAUUACAACGCUUUACUCUCAGGUGCGAUCAUACCAGCACUAAUGCACCGGAUCCCAUCAGAACUCCGCAGUUAAGCGUGCUUGGGCGAGAGUAGUACUAGGAUGGGUGACCUCCUGGGAAGUCCUUGUGUUGCACCUCUUUUUGCCAAAAUUUCGUGUUCUUUUUGUUAAUUAGCGUAAUUUUACGUCGUUUUUGAAAAAUAAACUUCGAUUGUAUUUCAUUUUUUCCGUUAAUUUACGCUACCUAACACUCUAUUAGUUAAUUAAUUAGCGUAGUUUGACGUCUUUUUUGAAAAAUAAAUUAGAAAUGCAUAUAUACAAUUACAACGCUUUACUCUCAGGUGCGAUCAUACCAGCACUAAUGCACCGGAUCCCAUCAGAACUCCGCAGUUAAGCGUGCUUGGGCGAGAGUAGUACUAGGAUGGGUGACCUCCUGGGAAGUCCUUGUGUUGCACCUCUUUUUGCCAAAAUUUCGUGUUCUUUUUGUUAAUUAGCGUAAUUUUACGUCGUUCCGUUAAUUUACGCUACCUAACACUCUAUUAGUUAAUUAAUUAGCGUAGUUUGACGUCUUUUUUGAAAAAUAAAUUAGAAAUGCAUAUAUACAAUUACAACGCUUUACUCUCAGGUGCGAUCAUACCAGCACUAAUGCACCGGAUCCCAUCAGAACUCCGCAGUUAAGCGUGCUUGGGCGAGAGUAGUACUAGGAUGGGUGACCUCCUGGGAAGUCCUUGUGUUGCACCUCUUUUUGCCAAAAUUUCGUGUUCUUUUUGUUAAUUAGCGUAAUUUUACGUGUUUUUGAAAAAUAAACUUCGAUUGUAUUUCAUUUUUUCCGUUAAUUUACGCUACCUAACACUCUAUUAGUUAAUUAAUUAGCGUAGUUUGACGUCUUUUUUGAAAAAUAAAUUAGAAAUGCAUAUAUACAAUUACAACGCUUUACUCUCAGGUGCGAUCAUACCAGCACUAAUGCACCGGAUCCCAUCAGAACUCCGCAGUUAAGCGUGCUUGGGCGAGAGUAGUACUAGGAUGGGUGACCUCCUGGGAAGUCCUUGUGUUGCACCUCUUUUUGCCAAAAUUUCGUGUUCUUUUUGUUAAUUAGCGUAAUUUUACGUCGUUUUUGAAAAAUAAACUUCGAUUGUAUUUCAUUUUUUCCGUUAAUUUACGCUACCUAACACUCUAUUAGUUAAUUAAUUAGCGUAGUUUGACGUCUUUUUUGAAAAAUAAAUUAGAAAUGCAUAUAUACAAUUACAACGCUUUACUCUCAGGUGCGAUCAUACCAGCACUAAUGCACCGGAUCCCAUCAGAACUCCGCAGUUAAGCGUGCUUGGGCGAGAGUAGUACUAGGAUGGGUGACCUCCUGGGAAGUCCUUGUGUUGCACCUCUUUUUGCCAAAAUUUCGUGUUCUUUUUGUUAAUUAGCGUAAUUUUACGUCGUUUUUGAAAAAUAAACUUCGAUUGUAUUUCAUUUUUUCCGUUAAUUUACGCUACCUAACACUCUAUUAGUUAAUUAAUUAGCGUAGUUUGACGUCUUUUUUGAAAAUAAAUUAGAAAUGCAUAUAUACAAUUACAACGCUUUACUCUCAGGUGCGAUCAUACCAGCACUAAUGCACCGGAUCCCAUCAGAACUCCGCAGUUAAGCGUGCUUGGGCGAGAGUAGUACUAGGAUGGGUGACCUCCUGGGAAGUCCUUGUGUUGCACCUCUUUUUGCCAAAAUUUCGUGUUCUUUUUGUUAAUUAGCGUAAUUUUACGUCGUUCCGUUAAUUUACGCUACCUAACACUCUAUUAGUUAAUUAAUUAGCGUAGUUUGACGUCUUUUUUGAAAAAUAAAUUAGAAAUGCAUAUAUACAAUUACAACGCUUUACUCUCAGGUGCGAUCAUACCAGCACUAAUGCACCGGAUCCCAUCAGAACUCCGCAGUUAAGCGUGCUUGGGCGAGAGUAGUACUAGGAUGGGUGACCUCCUGGGAAGUCCUUGUGUUGCACCUCUUUUUGCCAAAAUUUCGUGUUCUUUUUGUUAAUUAGCGUAAUUUUACGUCGUUCCGUUAAUUUACGCUACCUAACACUCUAUUAGUUAAUUAAUUAGCGUAGUUUGACGUCUUUUUUGAAAAAUAAAUUAGAAAUGCAUAUAUACAAUUACAACGCUUUACUCUCAGGUGCGAUCAUACCAGCACUAAUGCACCGGAUCCCAUCAGAACUCCGCAGUUAAGCGUGCUUGGGCGAGAGUAGUACUAGGAUGGGUGACCUCCUGGGAAGUCCUUGUGUUGCACCUCUUUUUGCCAAAAUUUCGUGUUCUUUUUUUUAAUUAGCGUAAUUUUACGUCGUUUUUGAAAAAUAAACUUCGAUUGUAUUUCAUUUUUUCCGUUAAUUUACGCUACCUAACACUCUAUUAGUUAAUUAAUUAGCGUAGUUUGACGUCUUUUUUGAAAAAUAAAUUAGAAAUGCAUAUAUACAAUUACAACGCUUUACUCUCAGGUGCGAUCAUACCAGCACUAAUGCACCGGAUCCCAUCAGAACUCCGCAGUUAAGCGUGCUUGGGCGAGAGUAGUACUAGGAUGGGUGACCUCCUGGGAAGUCCUUGUGUUGCACCUCUUUUUGCCAAAAUUUCGUGUUCUUUUUGUUAAUUAGCGUAAUUUUACGUCGUUCCGUUAAUUUACGCUACCUAACACUCUAUUAGUUAAUUAAUUAGCGUAGUUUGACGUCUUUUUUGAAAAAUAAAUUAGAAAUGCAUAUAUACAAUUACAACGCUUUACUCUCAGGUGCGAUCAUACCAGCACUAAUGCACCGGAUCCCAUCAGAACUCCGCAGUUAAGCGUGCUUGGGCGAGAGUAGUACUAGGAUGGGUGACCUCCUGGGAAGUCCUUGUGUUGCACCUCUUUUUGCCAAAAUUUCGUGUUCUUUUUGUUAAUUAGCGUAAUUUUACGUCGUUUUUGAAAAAUAAACUUCGAUUGUAUUUCAUUUUUUCCGUUAAUUUACGCUACCUAACACUCUAUUAGUUAAUUAAUUAGCGUAGUUUGACGUCUUUUUUGAAAAAUAAAUUAGAAAUGCAUAUAUACAAUUACAACGCUUUACUCUCAGGUGCGAUCAUACCAGCACUAAUGCACCGGAUCCCAUCAGAACUCCGCAGUUAAGCGUGCUUGGGCGAGAGUAGUACUAGGAUGGGUGACCUCCUGGGAAGUCCUUGUGUUGCACCUCUUUUUGCCAAAAUUUCGUGUUCUUUUUGUUAAUUAGCGUAAUUUUACGUCGUUCCGUUAAUUUACGCUACCUAACACUCUAUUAGUUAAUUAAUUAGCGUAGUUUGACGUCUUUUUUGAAAAAUAAAUUAGAAAUGCAUAUAUACAAUUACAACGCUUUACUCUCAGGUGCGAUCAUACCAGCACUAAUGCACCGGAUCCCAUCAGAACUCCGCAGUUAAGCGUGCUUGGGCGAGAGUAGUACUAGGAUGGGUGACCUCCUGGGAAGUCCUUGUGUUGCACCUCUUUUUGCCAAAAUUUCGUGUUCUUUUUGUUAAUUAGCGUAAUUUUACGUCGUUUUUGAAAAAUAAACUUCGAUUGUAUUUCAUUUUUUCCGUUAAUUUACGCUACCUAACACUCUAUUAGUUAAUUAAUUAGCGUAGUUUGACGUCUUUUUUGAAAAAUAAAUUAGAAAUGCAUAUAUACAAUUACAACGCUUUACUCUCAGGUGCGAUCAUACCAGCACUAAUGCACCGGAUCCCAUCAGAACUCCGCAGUUAAGCGUGCUUGGGCGAGAGUAGUACUAGGAUGGGUGACCUCCUGGGAAGUCCUUGUGUUGCACCUCUUUUUGCCAAAAUUUCGUGUUCUUUUUGUUAAUUAGCGUAAUUUUACGUCGUUUUUGAAAAAUAAACUUCGAUUGUAUUUCAUUUUUUCCGUUAAUUUACGCUACCUAACACUCUAUUAGUUAAUUAAUUAGCGUAGUUUGACGUCUUUUUUGAAAAAUAAAUUAGAAAUGCAUAUAUACAAUUACAACGCUUUACUCUCAGGUGCGAUCAUACCAGCACUAAUGCACCGGAUCCCAUCAGAACUCCGCAGUUAAGCGUGCUUGGGCGAGAGUAGUACUAGGAUGGGUGACCUCCUGGGAAGUCCUUGUGUUGCACCUCUUUUUGCCAAAAUUUCGUGUUCUUUUUGUUAAUUAGCGUAAUUUUACGUCGUUUUUGAAAAAUAAACUUCGAUUGUAUUUCAUUUUUUCCGUUAAUUUACGCUACCUAACACUCUAUUAGUUAAUUAAUUAGCGUAGUUUGACGUCUUUUUUGAAAAAUAAAUUAGAAAUGCAUAUAUACAAUUACAACGCUUUACUCUCAGGUGCGAUCAUACCAGCACUAAUGCACCGGAUCCCAUCAGAACUCCGCAGUUAAGCGUGCUUGGGCGAGAGUAGUACUAGGAUGGGUGACCUCCUGGGAAGUCCUUGUGUUGCACCUCUUUUUGCCAAAAUUUCGUGUUCUUUUUGUUAAUUAGCGUAAUUUUACGUCGUUUUUGAAAAAUAAACUUCGAUUGUAUUUCAUUUUUUCCGUUAAUUUACGCUACCUAACACUCUAUUAGUUAAUUAAUUAGCGUAGUUUGACGUCUUUUUUGAAAAAUAAAUUAGAAAUGCAUAUAUACAAUUACAACGCUUUACUCUCAGGUGCGAUCAUACCAGCACUAAUGCACCGGAUCCCAUCAGAACUCCGCAGUUAAGCGUGCUUGGGCGAGAGUAGUACUAGGAUGGGUGACCUCCUGGGAAGUCCUUGUGUUGCACCUCUUUUUGCCAAAAUUUCGUGUUCUUUUGUUAAUUAGCGUAAUUUUACGUCGUUUUUGAAAAAUAAACUUCGAUUGUAUUUCAUUUUUUCCGUUAAUUUACGCUACCUAACACUCUAUUAGUUAAUUAAUUAGCGUAGUUUGACGUCUUUUUUGAAAAAUAAAUUAGAAAUGCAUAUAUACAAUUACAACGCUUUACUCUCAGGUGCGAUCAUACCAGCACUAAUGCACCGGAUCCCAUCAGAACUCCGCAGUUAAGCGUGCUUGGGCGAGAGUAGUACUAGGAUGGGUGACCUCCUGGGAAGUCCUUGUGUUGCACCUCUUUUUGCCAAAAUUUCGUGUUCUUUUUGUUAAUUAGCGUAAUUUUACGUCGUUUUUGAAAAAUAAACUUCGAUUGUAUUUCAUUUUUUCCGUUAAUUUACGCUACCUAACACUCUAUUAGUUAAUUAAUUAGCGUAGUUUGACGUCUUUUUUGAAAAAUAAAUUAGAAAUGCAUAUAUACAAUUACAACGCUUUACUCUCAGGUGCGAUCAUACCAGCACUAAUGCACCGGAUCCCAUCAGAACUCCGCAGUUAAGCGUGCUUGGGCGAGAGUAGUACUAGGAUGGGUGACCUCCUGGGAAGUCCUUGUGUUGCACCUCUUUUUGCCAAAAUUUCGUGUUCUUUUUGUUAAUUAGCGUAAUUUUACGUCGUUUUUGAAAAAUAAACUUCGAUUGUAUUUCAUUUUUUCCGUUAAUUUACGCUACCUAACACUCUAUUAGUUAAUUAAUUAGCGUAGUUUGACGUCUUUUUUGAAAAAUAAAUUAGAAAUGCAUAUAUACAAUUACAACGCUUUACUCUCAGGUGCGAUCAUACCAGCACUAAUGCACCGGAUCCCAUCAGAACUCCGCAGUUAAGCGUGCUUGGGCGAGAGUAGUACUAGGAUGGGUGACCUCCUGGGAAGUCCUUGUGUUGCACCUCUUUUUGCCAAAAUUUCGUGUUCUUUUUGUUAAUUAGCGUAAUUUUACGUCGUUUUUGAAAAAUAAACUUCGAUUGUAUUUCAUUUUUUCCGUUAAUUUACGCUACCUAACACUCUAUUAGUUAAUUAAUUAGCGUAGUUUGACGUCUUUUUUGAAAAAUAAAUUAGAAAUGCAUAUAUACAAUUACAACGCUUUACUCUCAGGUGCGAUCAUACCAGCACUAAUGCACCGGAUCCCAUCAGAACUCCGCAGUUAAGCGUGCUUGGGCGAGAGUAGUACUAGGAUGGGUGACCUCCUGGGAAGUCCUUGUGUUGCACCUCUUUUUGCCAAAAUUUCGUGUUCUUUUUGUUAAUUAGCGUAAUUUUACGUCGUUUUUGAAAAAUAAACUUCGAUUGUAUUUCAUUUUUUCCGUUAAUUUACGCUACCUAACACUCUAUUAGUUAAUUAAUUAGCGUAGUUUGACGUCUUUUUUGAAAAAUAAAUUAGAAAUGCAUAUAUACAAUUACAACGCUUUACUCUCAGGUGCGAUCAUACCAGCACUAAUGCACCGGAUCCCAUCAGAACUCCGCAGUUAAGCGUGCUUGGGCGAGAGUAGUACUAGGAUGGGUGACCUCCUGGGAAGUCCUUGUGUUGCACCUCUUUUUGCCAAAAUUUCGUGUUCUUUUUGUUAAUUAGCGUAAUUUUACGUCGUUUUUGAAAAAUAAACUUCGAUUGUAUUUCAUUUUUUCCGUUAAUUUACGCUACCUAACACUCUAUUAGUUAAUUAAUUAGCGUAGUUUGACGUCUUUUUUGAAAAAUAAAUUAGAAAUGCAUAUAUACAAUUACAACGCUUUACUCUCAGGUGCGAUCAUACCAGCACUAAUGCACCGGAUCCCAUCAGAACUCCGCAGUUAAGCGUGCUUGGGCGAGAGUAGUACUAGGAUGGGUGACCUCCUGGGAAGUCCUUGUGUUGCACCUCUUUUUGCCAAAAUUUCGUGUUCUUUUUGUUAAUUAGCGUAAUUUUACGUCGUUUGAAAAAACUCGAUUGUAUUUUUUCCGUUAAUUUACGCUACCUAACACUCUAUUAGUUAAUUAAUUAGCGUAGUUUGACGUCUUUUUUGAAAAAUAAAUUAGAAAUGCAUAUAUACAAUUACAACGCUUUACUCUCAGGUGCGAUCAUACCAGCACUAAUGCACCGGAUCCCAUCAGAACUCCGCAGUUAAGCGUGCUUGGGCGAGAGUAGUACUAGGAUGGGUGACCUCCUGGGAAGUCCUUGUGUUGCACCUCUUUUUGCCAAAAUUUCGUGUUCUUUUUGUUAAUUAGCGUAAUUUUACGUCGUUUUUGAAAAAUAAACUUCGAUUGUAUUUCAUUUUUUCCGUUAAUUUACGCUACCUAACACUCUAUUAGUUAAUUAAUUAGCGUAGUUUGACGUCUUUUUUGAAAAAUAAAUUAGAAAUGCAUAUAUACAAUUACAACGCUUUACUCUCAGGUGCGAUCAUACCAGCACUAAUGCACCGGAUCCCAUCAGAACUCCGCAGUUAAGCGUGCUUGGGCGAGAGUAGUACUAGGAUGGGUGACCUCCUGGGAAGUCCUUGUGUUGCACCUCUUUUUGCCAAAAUUUCGUGUUCUUUUUGUUAAUUAGCGUAAUUUUACGUCGUUUUUGAAAAAUAAACUUCGAUUGUAUUUCAUUUUUUCCGUUAAUUUACGCUACCUAACACUCUAUUAGUUAAUUAAUUAGCGUAGUUUGACGUCUUUUUUGAAAAAUAAAUUAGAAAUGCAUAUAUACAAUUACAACGCUUUACUCUCAGGUGCGAUCAUACCAGCACUAAUGCACCGGAUCCCAUCAGAACUCCGCAGUUAAGCGUGCUUGGGCGAGAGUAGUACUAGGAUGGGUGACCUCCUGGGAAGUCCUUGUGUUGCACCUCUUUUUGCCAAAAUUUCGUGUUCUUUUUGUUAAUUAGCGUAAUUUUACGUCGUUUUUGAAAAAUAAACUUCGAUUGUAUUUCAUUUUUUCCGUUAAUUUACGCUACCUAACACUCUAUUAGUUAAUUAAUUAGCGUAGUUUGACGUCUUUUUUGAAAAAUAAAUUAGAAAUGCAUAUAUACAAUUACAACGCUUUACUCUCAGGUGCGAUCAUACCAGCACUAAUGCACCGGAUCCCAUCAGAACUCCGCAGUUAAGCGUGCUUGGGCGAGAGUAGUACUAGGAUGGGUGACCUCCUGGGAAGUCCUUGUGUUGCACCUCUUUUUGCCAAAAUUUCGUGUUCUUUUUGUUAAUUAGCGUAAUUUUACGUCGUUUUGAAAUAACUUCGAUUGUAUUUCAUUUUUCCGUUAAUUUACGCUACCUAACACUCUAUUAGUUAAUUAAUUAGCGUAGUUUGACGUCUUUUUUGAAAAAUAAAUUAGAAAUGCAUAUAUACAAUUACAACGCUUUACUCUCAGGUGCGAUCAUACCAGCACUAAUGCACCGGAUCCCAUCAGAACUCCGCAGUUAAGCGUGCUUGGGCGAGAGUAGUACUAGGAUGGGUGACCUCCUGGGAAGUCCUUGUGUUGCACCUCUUUUUGCCAAAAUUUCGUGUUCUUUUUGUUAAUUAGCGUAAUUUUACGUCGUUUUUGAAAAAUAAACUUCGAUUGUAUUUCAUUUUUUCCGUUAAUUUACGCUACCUAACACUCUAUUAGUUAAUUAAUUAGCGUAGUUUGACGUCUUUUUUGAAAAAUAAAUUAGAAAUGCAUAUAUACAAUUACAACGCUUUACUCUCAGGUGCGAUCAUACCAGCACUAAUGCACCGGAUCCCAUCAGAACUCCGCAGUUAAGCGUGCUUGGGCGAGAGUAGUACUAGGAUGGGUGACCUCCUGGGAAGUCCUUGUGUUGCACCUCUUUUUGCCAAAAUUUCGUGUUCUUUUGUUAAUUAGCGUAAUUUUACGUCGUUUUCCGUUAAUUUACGCUACCUAACACUCUAUUAGUUAAUUAAUUAGCGUAGUUUGACGUCUUUUUUGAAAAAUAAAUUAGAAAUGCAUAUAUACAAUUACAACGCUUUACUCUCAGGUGCGAUCAUACCAGCACUAAUGCACCGGAUCCCAUCAGAACUCCGCAGUUAAGCGUGCUUGGGCGAGAGUAGUACUAGGAUGGGUGACCUCCUGGGAAGUCCUUGUGUUGCACCUCUUUUUGCCAAAAUUUCGUGUUCUUUUUGUUAAUUAGCGUAAUUUUACGUCGUUUUUGAAAAAUAAACUUCGAUUGUAUUUCAUUUUUUCCGUUAAUUUACGCUACCUAACACUCUAUUAGUUAAUUAAUUAGCGUAGUUUGACGUCUUUUUUGAAAAAUAAAUUAGAAAUGCAUAUAUACAAUUACAACGCUUUACUCUCAGGUGCGAUCAUACCAGCACUAAUGCACCGGAUCCCAUCAGAACUCCGCAGUUAAGCGUGCUUGGGCGAGAGUAGUACUAGGAUGGGUGACCUCCUGGGAAGUCCUUGUGUUGCACCUCUUUUUGCCAAAAUUUCGUGUUCUUUUUGUUAAUUAGCGUAAUUUUACGUCGUUUUUGAAAAAUAAACUUCGAUUGUAUUUCAUUUUUUCCGUUAAUUUACGCUACCUAACACUCUAUUAGUUAAUUAAUUAGCGUAGUUUGACGUCUUUUUUGAAAAAUAAAUUAGAAAUGCAUAUAUACAAUUACAACGCUUUACUCUCAGGUGCGAUCAUACCAGCACUAAUGCACCGGAUCCCAUCAGAACUCCGCAGUUAAGCGUGCUUGGGCGAGAGUAGUACUAGGAUGGGUGACCUCCUGGGAAGUCCUUGUGUUGCACCUCUUUUUGCCAAAAUUUCGUGUUCUUUUUGUUAAUUAGCGUAAUUUUACGUCGUUUUUGAAAAAUAAACUUCGAUUGUAUUUCAUUUUUUCCGUUAAUUUACGCUACCUAACACUCUAUUAGUUAAUUAAUUAGCGUAGUUUGACGUCUUUUUUGAAAAAUAAAUUAGAAAUGCAUAUAUACAAUUACAACGCUUUACUCUCAGGUGCGAUCAUACCAGCACUAAUGCACCGGAUCCCAUCAGAACUCCGCAGUUAAGCGUGCUUGGGCGAGAGUAGUACUAGGAUGGGUGACCUCCUGGGAAGUCCUUGUGUUGCACCUCUUUUUGCCAAAAUUUCGUGUUCUUUUUGUUAAUUAGCGUAAUUUUACGUCGUUUUUGAAAAUAACUUCGAUUGUUUCAUUUUUCCGUUAAUUUACGCUACCUAACACUCUAUUAGUUAAUUAAUUAGCGUAGUUUGACGUCUUUUUUGAAAAAUAAAUUAGAAAUGCAUAUAUACAAUUACAACGCUUUACUCUCAGGUGCGAUCAUACCAGCACUAAUGCACCGGAUCCCAUCAGAACUCCGCAGUUAAGCGUGCUUGGGCGAGAGUAGUACUAGGAUGGGUGACCUCCUGGGAAGUCCUUGUGUUGCACCUCUUUUUGCCAAAAUUUCGUGUUCUUUUUGUUAAUUAGCGUAAUUUUACGUCGUUUUUGAAAAAUAAACUUCGAUUGUAUUUCAUUUUUUCCGUUAAUUUACGCUACCUAACACUCUAUUAGUUAAUUAAUUAGCGUAGUUUGACGUCUUUUUUGAAAAAUAAAUUAGAAAUGCAUAUAUACAAUUACAACGCUUUACUCUCAGGUGCGAUCAUACCAGCACUAAUGCACCGGAUCCCAUCAGAACUCCGCAGUUAAGCGUGCUUGGGCGAGAGUAGUACUAGGAUGGGUGACCUCCUGGGAAGUCCUUGUGUUGCACCUCUUUUUGCCAAAAUUUCGUGUUCUUUUUGUUAAUUAGCGUAAUUUUACGUCGUUUUUGAAAAAUAAACUUCGAUUGUAUUUCAUUUUUUCCGUUAAUUUACGCUACCUAACACUCUAUUAGUUAAUUAAUUAGCGUAGUUUGACGUCUUUUUUGAAAAAUAAAUUAGAAAUGCAUAUAUACAAUUACAACGCUUUACUCUCAGGUGCGAUCAUACCAGCACUAAUGCACCGGAUCCCAUCAGAACUCCGCAGUUAAGCGUGCUUGGGCGAGAGUAGUACUAGGAUGGGUGACCUCCUGGGAAGUCCUUGUGUUGCACCUCUUUUUGCCAAAAUUUCGUGUUCUUUUUGUUAAUUAGCGUAAUUUUACGUCGUUUUUGAAAAAUAAACUUCGAUUGUAUUUCAUUUUUUCCGUUAAUUUACGCUACCUAACACUCUAUUAGUUAAUUAAUUAGCGUAGUUUGACGUCUUUUUUGAAAAAUAAAUUAGAAAUGCAUAUAUACAAUUACAACGCUUUACUCUCAGGUGCGAUCAUACCAGCACUAAUGCACCGGAUCCCAUCAGAACUCCGCAGUUAAGCGUGCUUGGGCGAGAGUAGUACUAGGAUGGGUGACCUCCUGGGAAGUCCUUGUGUUGCACCUCUUUUUGCCAAAAUUUCGUGUUCUUUUUGUUAAUUAGCGUAAUUUUACGUCGUUUUUGAAAAUAAACUUCGAUUGUAUUUCAUUUUUCCGUUAAUUUACGCUACCUAACACUCUAUUAGUUAAUUAAUUAGCGUAGUUUGACGUCUUUUUUGAAAAAUAAAUUAGAAAUGCAUAUAUACAAUUACAACGCUUUACUCUCAGGUGCGAUCAUACCAGCACUAAUGCACCGGAUCCCAUCAGAACUCCGCAGUUAAGCGUGCUUGGGCGAGAGUAGUACUAGGAUGGGUGACCUCCUGGGAAGUCCUUGUGUUGCACCUCUUUUUGCCAAAAUUUCGUGUUCUUUUUGUUAAUUAGCGUAAUUUUACGUCGUUUUUGAAAAAUAAACUUCGAUUGUAUUUCAUUUUUUCCGUUAAUUUACGCUACCUAACACUCUAUUAGUUAAUUAAUUAGCGUAGUUUGACGUCUUUUUUGAAAAAUAAAUUAGAAAUGCAUAUAUACAAUUACAACGCUUUACUCUCAGGUGCGAUCAUACCAGCACUAAUGCACCGGAUCCCAUCAGAACUCCGCAGUUAAGCGUGCUUGGGCGAGAGUAGUACUAGGAUGGGUGACCUCCUGGGAAGUCCUUGUGUUGCACCUCUUUUUGCCAAAAUUUCGUGUUCUUUUUGUUAAUUAGCGUAAUUUUACGUCGUUUUUGAAAAAUAAACUUCGAUUGUAUUUCAUUUUUUCCGUUAAUUUACGCUACCUAACACUCUAUUAGUUAAUUAAUUAGCGUAGUUUGACGUCUUUUUUGAAAAAUAAAUUAGAAAUGCAUAUAUACAAUUACAACGCUUUACUCUCAGGUGCGAUCAUACCAGCACUAAUGCACCGGAUCCCAUCAGAACUCCGCAGUUAAGCGUGCUUGGGCGAGAGUAGUACUAGGAUGGGUGACCUCCUGGGAAGUCCUUGUGUUGCACCUCUUUUUGCCAAAAUUUCGUGUUCUUUUUGUUAAUUAGCGUAAUUUUACGUCGUUUUUGAAAAAUAAACUUCGAUUGUAUUUCAUUUUUUCCGUUAAUUUACGCUACCUAACACUCUAUUAGUUAAUUAAUUAGCGUAGUUUGACGUCUUUUUUGAAAAAUAAAUUAGAAAUGCAUAUAUACAAUUACAACGCUUUACUCUCAGGUGCGAUCAUACCAGCACUAAUGCACCGGAUCCCAUCAGAACUCCGCAGUUAAGCGUGCUUGGGCGAGAGUAGUACUAGGAUGGGUGACCUCCUGGGAAGUCCUUGUGUUGCACCUCUUUUUGCCAAAAUUUCGUGUUCUUUUUGUUAAUUAGCGUAAUUUUACGUCGUUUUUGAAAAAUAAACUUCGAUUGUAUUUCAUUUUUUCCGUUAAUUUACGCUACCUAACACUCUAUUAGUUAAUUAAUUAGCGUAGUUUGACGUCUUUUUUGAAAAAUAAAUUAGAAAUGCAUAUAUACAAUUACAACGCUUUACUCUCAGGUGCGAUCAUACCAGCACUAAUGCACCGGAUCCCAUCAGAACUCCGCAGUUAAGCGUGCUUGGGCGAGAGUAGUACUAGGAUGGGUGACCUCCUGGGAAGUCCUUGUGUUGCACCUCUUUUUGCCAAAAUUUCGUGUUCUUUUUGUUAAUUAGCGUAAUUUUACGUCGUUUUUGAAAAAUAAACUUCGAUUGUAUUUCAUUUUUUCCGUUAAUUUACGCUACCUAACACUCUAUUAGUUAAUUAAUUAGCGUAGUUUGACGUCUUUUUUGAAAAAUAAAUUAGAAAUGCAUAUAUACAAUUACAACGCUUUACUCUCAGGUGCGAUCAUACCAGCACUAAUGCACCGGAUCCCAUCAGAACUCCGCAGUUAAGCGUGCUUGGGCGAGAGUAGUACUAGGAUGGGUGACCUCCUGGGAAGUCCUUGUGUUGCACCUCUUUUUGCCAAAAUUUCGUGUUCUUUUUGUUAAUUAGCGUAAUUUUACGUCGUUUUUGAAAAAUAAACUUCGAUUGUAUUUCAUUUUUUCCGUUAAUUUACGCUACCUAACACUCUAUUAGUUAAUUAAUUAGCGUAGUUUGACGUCUUUUUUGAAAAAUAAAUUAGAAAUGCAUAUAUACAAUUACAACGCUUUACUCUCAGGUGCGAUCAUACCAGCACUAAUGCACCGGAUCCCAUCAGAACUCCGCAGUUAAGCGUGCUUGGGCGAGAGUAGUACUAGGAUGGGUGACCUCCUGGGAAGUCCUUGUGUUGCACCUCUUUUUGCCAAAAUUUCGUGUUCUUUUUGUUAAUUAGCGUAAUUUUACGUCGUUUUUGAAAAAUAAACUUCGAUUGUAUUUCAUUUUUUCCGUUAAUUUACGCUACCUAACACUCUAUUAGUUAAUUAAUUAGCGUAGUUUGACGUCUUUUUUGAAAAAUAAAUUAGAAAUGCAUAUAUACAAUUACAACGCUUUACUCUCAGGUGCGAUCAUACCAGCACUAAUGCACCGGAUCCCAUCAGAACUCCGCAGUUAAGCGUGCUUGGGCGAGAGUAGUACUAGGAUGGGUGACCUCCUGGGAAGUCCUUGUGUUGCACCUCUUUUUGCCAAAAUUUCGUGUUCUUUUUGUUAAUUAGCGUAAUUUUACGUCGUUUUUGAAAAAUAAACUUCGAUUGUAUUUCAUUUUUUCCGUUAAUUUACGCUACCUAACACUCUAUUAGUUAAUUAAUUAGCGUAGUUUGACGUCUUUUUUGAAAAAUAAAUUAGAAAUGCAUAUAUACAAUUACAACGCUUUACUCUCAGGUGCGAUCAUACCAGCACUAAUGCACCGGAUCCCAUCAGAACUCCGCAGUUAAGCGUGCUUGGGCGAGAGUAGUACUAGGAUGGGUGACCUCCUGGGAAGUCCUUGUGUUGCACCUCUUUUUGCCAAAAUUUCGUGUUCUUUUUGUUAAUUAGCGUAAUUUUACGUCGUUUUUGAAAAAUAAACUUCGAUUGUAUUUCAUUUUUUCCGUUAAUUUACGCUACCUAACACUCUAUUAGUUAAUUAAUUAGCGUAGUUUGACGUCUUUUUUGAAAAAUAAAUUAGAAAUGCAUAUAUACAAUUACAACGCUUUACUCUCAGGUGCGAUCAUACCAGCACUAAUGCACCGGAUCCCAUCAGAACUCCGCAGUUAAGCGUGCUUGGGCGAGAGUAGUACUAGGAUGGGUGACCUCCUGGGAAGUCCUUGUGUUGCACCUCUUUUUGCCAAAAUUUCGUGUUCUUUUUGUUAAUUAGCGUAAUUUUACGUCGUUUUUGAAAAAUAAACUUCGAUUGUAUUUCAUUUUUUCCGUUAAUUUACGCUACCUAACACUCUAUUAGUUAAUUAAUUAGCGUAGUUUGACGUCUUUUUUGAAAAAUAAAUUAGAAAUGCAUAUAUACAAUUACAACGCUUUACUCUCAGGUGCGAUCAUACCAGCACUAAUGCACCGGAUCCCAUCAGAACUCCGCAGUUAAGCGUGCUUGGGCGAGAGUAGUACUAGGAUGGGUGACCUCCUGGGAAGUCCUUGUGUUGCACCUCUUUUUGCCAAAAUUUCGUGUUCUUUUUGUUAAUUAGCGUAAUUUUACGUCGUUUUUGAAAAUAAACUUCGAUUGUAUUUCAUUUUUUCCGUUAAUUUACGCUACCUAACACUCUAUUAGUUAAUUAAUUAGCGUAGUUUGACGUCUUUUUUGAAAAAUAAAUUAGAAAUGCAUAUAUACAAUUACAACGCUUUACUCUCAGGUGCGAUCAUACCAGCACUAAUGCACCGGAUCCCAUCAGAACUCCGCAGUUAAGCGUGCUUGGGCGAGAGUAGUACUAGGAUGGGUGACCUCCUGGGAAGUCCUUGUGUUGCACCUCUUUUUGCCAAAAUUUCGUGUUCUUUUUGUUAAUUAGCGUAAUUUUACGUCGUUUUUGAAAAAUAAACUUCGAUUGUAUUUCAUUUUUUCCGUUAAUUUACGCUACCUAACACUCUAUUAGUUAAUUAAUUAGCGUAGUUUGACGUCUUUUUUGAAAAAUAAAUUAGAAAUGCAUAUAUACAAUUACAACGCUUUACUCUCAGGUGCGAUCAUACCAGCACUAAUGCACCGGAUCCCAUCAGAACUCCGCAGUUAAGCGUGCUUGGGCGAGAGUAGUACUAGGAUGGGUGACCUCCUGGGAAGUCCUUGUGUUGCACCUCUUUUUGCCAAAAUUUCGUGUUCUUUUUGUUAAUUAGCGUAAUUUUACGUCGUUUUUGAAAAAUAAACUUCGAUUGUAUUUCAUUUUUUCCGUUAAUUUACGCUACCUAACACUCUAUUAGUUAAUUAAUUAGCGUAGUUUGACGUCUUUUUUGAAAAAUAAAUUAGAAAUGCAUAUAUACAAUUACAACGCUUUACUCUCAGGUGCGAUCAUACCAGCACUAAUGCACCGGAUCCCAUCAAACUCCGCAGUUAAGCGUGCUUGGGCGAGAGUAGUACUAGGAUGGGUGACCUCCUGGGAAGUCCUUGUGUUGCACCUCUUUUUGCCAAAAUUUCGUGUUCUUUUUGUUAAUUAGCGUAAUUUUACGUCGUUUUUGAAAAAUAAACUUCGAUUGUAUUUCAUUUUUUCCGUUAAUUUACGCUACCUAACACUCUAUUAGUUAAUUAAUUAGCGUAGUUUGACGUCUUUUUUGAAAAAUAAAUUAGAAAUGCAUAUAUACAAUUACAACGCUUUACUCUCAGGUGCGAUCAUACCAGCACUAAUGCACCGGAUCCCAUCAAACUCCGCAGUUAAGCGUGCUUGGGCGAGAGUAGUACUAGGAUGGGUGACCUCCUGGGAAGUCCUUGUGUUGCACCUCUUUUUGCCAAAAUUUCGUGUUCUUUUUGUUAAUUAGCGUAAUUUUACGUCGUUCCGUUAAUUUACGCUACCUAACACUCUAUUAGUUAAUUAAUUAGCGUAGUUUGACGUCUUUUUUGAAAAAUAAAUUAGAAAUGCAUAUAUACAAUUACAACGCUUUACUCUCAGGUGCGAUCAUACCAGCACUAAUGCACCGGAUCCCAUCAGAACUCCGCAGUUAAGCGUGCUUGGGCGAGAGUAGUACUAGGAUGGGUGACCUCCUGGGAAGUCCUUGUGUUGCACCUCUUUUUGCCAAAAUUUCGUGUUCUUUUUGUUAAUUAGCGUAAUUUUACGUCGUUUUUGAAAAAUAAACUUCGAUUGUAUUUCAUUUUUUCCGUUAAUUUACGCUACCUAACACUCUAUUAGUUAAUUAAUUAGCGUAGUUUGACGUCUUUUUUGAAAAAUAAAUUAGAAAUGCAUAUAUACAAUUACAACGCUUUACUCUCAGGUGCGAUCAUACCAGCACUAAUGCACCGGAUCCCAUCAGAACUCCGCAGUUAAGCGUGCUUGGGCGAGAGUAGUACUAGGAUGGGUGACCUCCUGGGAAGUCCUUGUGUUGCACCUCUUUUUGCCAAAAUUUCGUGUUCUUUUUGUUAAUUAGCGUAAUUUUACGUCGUUCCGUUAAUUUACGCUACCUAACACUCUAUUAGUUAAUUAAUUAGCGUAGUUUGACGUCUUUUUUGAAAAAUAAAUUAGAAAUGCAUAUAUACAAUUACAACGCUUUACUCUCAGGUGCGAUCAUACCAGCACUAAUGCACCGGAUCCCAUCAGAACUCCGCAGUUAAGCGUGCUUGGGCGAGAGUAGUACUAGGAUGGGUGACCUCCUGGGAAGUCCUUGUGUUGCACCUCUUUUUGCCAAAAUUUCGUGUUCUUUUUGUUAAUUAGCGUAAUUUUACGUCGUUUUUGAAAAAUAAACUUCGAUUGUAUUUCAUUUUUUCCGUUAAUUUACGCUACCUAACACUCUAUUAGUUAAUUAAUUAGCGUAGUUUGACGUCUUUUUUGAAAAAUAAAUUAGAAAUGCAUAUAUACAAUUACAACGCUUUACUCUCAGGUGCGAUCAUACCAGCACUAAUGCACCGGAUCCCAUCAGAACUCCGCAGUUAAGCGUGCUUGGGCGAGAGUAGUACUAGGAUGGGUGACCUCCUGGGAAGUCCUUGUGUUGCACCUCUUUUUGCCAAAAUUUCGUGUUCUUUUUGUUAAUUAGCGUAAUUUUACGUCGUUUUUGAAAAAUAAACUUCGAUUGUAUUUCAUUUUUUCCGUUAAUUUACGCUACCUAACACUCUAUUAGUUAAUUAAUUAGCGUAGUUUGACGUCUUUUUUGAAAAAUAAAUUAGAAAUGCAUAUAUACAAUUACAACGCUUUACUCUCAGGUGCGAUCAUACCAGCACUAAUGCACCGGAUCCCAUCAGAACUCCGCAGUUAAGCGUGCUUGGGCGAGAGUAGUACUAGGAUGGGUGACCUCCUGGGAAGUCCUUGUGUUGCACCUCUUUUUGCCAAAAUUUCGUGUUCUUUUUGUUAAUUAGCGUAAUUUUACGUCGUUCCGUUAAUUUACGCUACCUAACACUCUAUUAGUUAAUUAAUUAGCGUAGUUUGACGUCUUUUUUGAAAAAUAAAUUAGAAAUGCAUAUAUACAAUUACAACGCUUUACUCUCAGGUGCGAUCAUACCAGCACUAAUGCACCGGAUCCCAUCAGAACUCCGCAGUUAAGCGUGCUUGGGCGAGAGUAGUACUAGGAUGGGUGACCUCCUGGGAAGUCCUUGUGUUGCACCUCUUUUUGCCAAAAUUUCGUGUUCUUUUUGUUAAUUAGCGUAAUUUUACGUCGUUUUUGAAAAAUAAACUUCGAUUGUAUUUCAUUUUUUCCGUUAAUUUACGCUACCUAACACUCUAUUAGUUAAUUAAUUAGCGUAGUUUGACGUCUUUUUUGAAAAAUAAAUUAGAAAUGCAUAUAUACAAUUACAACGCUUUACUCUCAGGUGCGAUCAUACCAGCACUAAUGCACCGGAUCCCAUCAGAACUCCGCAGUUAAGCGUGCUUGGGCGAGAGUAGUACUAGGAUGGGUGACCUCCUGGGAAGUCCUUGUGUUGCACCUCUUUUUGCCAAAAUUUCGUGUUCUUUUUGUUAAUUAGCGUAAUUUUACGUCGUUCCGUUAAUUUACGCUACCUAACACUCUAUUAGUUAAUUAAUUAGCGUAGUUUGACGUCUUUUUUGAAAAAUAAAUUAGAAAUGCAUAUAUACAAUUACAACGCUUUACUCUCAGGUGCGAUCAUACCAGCACUAAUGCACCGGAUCCCAUCAGAACUCCGCAGUUAAGCGUGCUUGGGCGAGAGUAGUACUAGGAUGGGUGACCUCCUGGGAAGUCCUUGUGUUGCACCUCUUUUUGCCAAAAUUUCGUGUUCUUUUUGUUAAUUAGCGUAAUUUUACGUCGUUUUUGAAAAAUAAACUUCGAUUGUAUUUCAUUUUUUCCGUUAAUUUACGCUACCUAACACUCUAUUAGUUAAUUAAUUAGCGUAGUUUGACGUCUUUUUUGAAAAAUAAAUUAGAAAUGCAUAUAUACAAUUACAACGCUUUACUCUCAGGUGCGAUCAUACCAGCACUAAUGCACCGGAUCCCAUCAGAACUCCGCAGUUAAGCGUGCUUGGGCGAGAGUAGUACUAGGAUGGGUGACCUCCUGGGAAGUCCUUGUGUUGCACCUCUUUUUGCCAAAAUUUCGUGUUCUUUUUGUUAAUUAGCGUAAUUUUACGUCGUUCCGUUAAUUUACGCUACCUAACACUCUAUUAGUUAAUUAAUUAGCGUAGUUUGACGUCUUUUUUGAAAAAUAAAUUAGAAAUGCAUAUAUACAAUUACAACGCUUUACUCUCAGGUGCGAUCAUACCAGCACUAAUGCACCGGAUCCCAUCAGAACUCCGCAGUUAAGCGUGCUUGGGCGAGAGUAGUACUAGGAUGGGUGACCUCCUGGGAAGUCCUUGUGUUGCACCUCUUUUUGCCAAAAUUUCGUGUUCUUUUUGUUAAUUAGCGUAAUUUUACGUCGUUUUGAAAAAUAAACUUCGAUUGUAUUUCAUUUUUUCCGUUAAUUUACGCUACCUAACACUCUAUUAGUUAAUUAAUUAGCGUAGUUUGACGUCUUUUUUGAAAAAUAAAUUAGAAAUGCAUAUAUACAAUUACAACGCUUUACUCUCAGGUGCGAUCAUACCAGCACUAAUGCACCGGAUCCCAUCAGAACUCCGCAGUUAAGCGUGCUUGGGCGAGAGUAGUACUAGGAUGGGUGACCUCCUGGGAAGUCCUUGUGUUGCACCUCUUUUUGCCAAAAUUUCGUGUUCUUUUUGUUAAUUAGCGUAAUUUUACGUCGUUCCGUUAAUUUACGCUACCUAACACUCUAUUAGUUAAUUAAUUAGCGUAGUUUGACGUCUUUUUUGAAAAAUAAAUUAGAAAUGCAUAUAUACAAUUACAACGCUUUACUCUCAGGUGCGAUCAUACCAGCACUAAUGCACCGGAUCCCAUCAGAACUCCGCAGUUAAGCGUGCUUGGGCGAGAGUAGUACUAGGAUGGGUGACCUCCUGGGAAGUCCUUGUGUUGCACCUCUUUUUGCCAAAAUUUCGUGUUCUUUUUGUUAAUUAGCGUAAUUUUACGUCGUUUUUGAAAAAUAAACUUCGAUUGUAUUUCAUUUUUUCCGUUAAUUUACGCUACCUAACACUCUAUUAGUUAAUUAAUUAGCGUAGUUUGACGUCUUUUUUGAAAAAUAAAUUAGAAAUGCAUAUAUACAAUUACAACGCUUUACUCUCAGGUGCGAUCAUACCAGCACUAAUGCACCGGAUCCCAUCAGAACUCCGCAGUUAAGCGUGCUUGGGCGAGAGUAGUACUAGGAUGGGUGACCUCCUGGGAAGUCCUUGUGUUGCACCUCUUUUUGCCAAAAUUUCGUGUUCUUUUUGUUAAUUAGCGUAAUUUUACGUCGUUCCGUUAAUUUACGCUACCUAACACUCUAUUAGUUAAUUAAUUAGCGUAGUUUGACGUCUUUUUUGAAAAAUAAAUUAGAAAUGCAUAUAUACAAUUACAACGCUUUACUCUCAGGUGCGAUCAUACCAGCACUAAUGCACCGGAUCCCAUCAGAACUCCGCAGUUAAGCGUGCUUGGGCGAGAGUAGUACUAGGAUGGGUGACCUCCUGGGAAGUCCUUGUGUUGCACCUCUUUUUGCCAAAAUUUCGUGUUCUUUUUGUUAAUUAGCGUAAUUUUACGUCGUUUUUGAAAAAUAAACUUCGAUUGUAUUUCAUUUUUUCCGUUAAUUUACGCUACCUAACACUCUAUUAGUUAAUUAAUUAGCGUAGUUUGACGUCUUUUUUGAAAAAUAAAUUAGAAAUGCAUAUAUACAAUUACAACGCUUUACUCUCAGGUGCGAUCAUACCAGCACUAAUGCACCGGAUCCCAUCAGAACUCCGCAGUUAAGCGUGCUUGGGCGAGAGUAGUACUAGGAUGGGUGACCUCCUGGGAAGUCCUUGUGUUGCACCUCUUUUUGCCAAAAUUUCGUGUUCUUUUUGUUAAUUAGCGUAAUUUUACGUCGUUCCGUUAAUUUACGCUACCUAACACUCUAUUAGUUAAUUAAUUAGCGUAGUUUGACGUCUUUUUUGAAAAAUAAAUUAGAAAUGCAUAUAUACAAUUACAACGCUUUACUCUCAGGUGCGAUCAUACCAGCACUAAUGCACCGGAUCCCAUCAGAACUCCGCAGUUAAGCGUGCUUGGGCGAGAGUAGUACUAGGAUGGGUGACCUCCUGGGAAGUCCUUGUGUUGCACCUCUUUUUGCCAAAAUUUCGUGUUCUUUUUGUUAAUUAGCGUAAUUUUACGUCGUUUUUGAAAAAUAAACUUCGAUUGUAUUUCAUUUUUUCCGUUAAUUUACGCUACCUAACACUCUAUUAGUUAAUUAAUUAGCGUAGUUUGACGUCUUUUUUGAAAAAUAAAUUAGAAAUGCAUAUAUACAAUUACAACGCUUUACUCUCAGGUGCGAUCAUACCAGCACUAAUGCACCGGAUCCCAUCAGAACUCCGCAGUUAAGCGUGCUUGGGCGAGAGUAGUACUAGGAUGGGUGACCUCCUGGGAAGUCCUUGUGUUGCACCUCUUUUUGCCAAAAUUUCGUGUUCUUUUUGUUAAUUAGCGUAAUUUUACGUCGUUCCGUUAAUUUACGCUACCUAACACUCUAUUAGUUAAUUAAUUAGCGUAGUUUGACGUCUUUUUUGAAAAAUAAAUUAGAAAUGCAUAUAUACAAUUACAACGCUUUACUCUCAGGUGCGAUCAUACCAGCACUAAUGCACCGGAUCCCAUCAGAACUCCGCAGUUAAGCGUGCUUGGGCGAGAGUAGUACUAGGAUGGGUGACCUCCUGGGAAGUCCUUGUGUUGCACCUCUUUUUGCCAAAAUUUCGUGUUCUUUUUGUUAAUUAGCGUAAUUUUACGUCGUUUUUGAAAAAUAAACUUCGAUUGUAUUUCAUUUUUUCCGUUAAUUUACGCUACCUAACACUCUAUUAGUUAAUUAAUUAGCGUAGUUUGACGUCUUUUUGAAAAAUAAAUUAGAAAUGCAUAUAUACAAUUACAACGCUUUACUCUCAGGUGCGAUCAUACCAGCACUAAUGCACCGGAUCCCAUCAGAACUCCGCAGUUAAGCGUGCUUGGGCGAGAGUAGUACUAGGAUGGGUGACCUCCUGGGAAGUCCUUGUGUUGCACCUCUUUUUGCCAAAAUUUCGUGUUCUUUUUGUUAAUUAGCGUAAUUUUACGUCGUUCCGUUAAUUUACGCUACCUAACACUCUAUUAGUUAAUUAAUUAGCGUAGUUUGACGUCUUUUUUGAAAAAUAAAUUAGAAAUGCAUAUAUACAAUUACAACGCUUUACUCUCAGGUGCGAUCAUACCAGCACUAAUGCACCGGAUCCCAUCAGAACUCCGCAGUUAAGCGUGCUUGGGCGAGAGUAGUACUAGGAUGGGUGACCUCCUGGGAAGUCCUUGUGUUGCACCUCUUUUUGCCAAAAUUUCGUGUUCUUUUUGUUAAUUAGCGUAAUUUUACGUCGUUUUUGAAAAAUAAACUUCGAUUGUAUUUCAUUUUUUCCGUUAAUUUACGCUACCUAACACUCUAUUAGUUAAUUAAUUAGCGUAGUUUGACGUCUUUUUUGAAAAAUAAAUUAGAAAUGCAUAUAUACAAUUACAACGCUUUACUCUCAGGUGCGAUCAUACCAGCACUAAUGCACCGGAUCCCAUCAGAACUCCGCAGUUAAGCGUGCUUGGGCGAGAGUAGUACUAGGAUGGGUGACCUCCUGGGAAGUCCUUGUGUUGCACCUCUUUUUGCCAAAAUUUCGUGUUCUUUUUGUUAAUUAGCGUAAUUUUACGUCGUUCCGUUAAUUUACGCUACCUAACACUCUAUUAGUUAAUUAAUUAGCGUAGUUUGACGUCUUUUUUGAAAAAUAAAUUAGAAAUGCAUAUAUACAAUUACAACGCUUUACUCUCAGGUGCGAUCAUACCAGCACUAAUGCACCGGAUCCCAUCAGAACUCCGCAGUUAAGCGUGCUUGGGCGAGAGUAGUACUAGGAUGGGUGACCUCCUGGGAAGUCCUUGUGUUGCACCUCUUUUUGCCAAAAUUUCGUGUUCUUUUUGUUAAUUAGCGUAAUUUUACGUCGUUUUUGAAAAAUAAACUUCGAUUGUAUUUCAUUUUUUCCGUUAAUUUACGCUACCUAACACUCUAUUAGUUAAUUAAUUAGCGUAGUUUGACGUCUUUUUUGAAAAAUAAAUUAGAAAUGCAUAUAUACAAUUACAACGCUUUACUCUCAGGUGCGAUCAUACCAGCACUAAUGCACCGGAUCCCAUCAGAACUCCGCAGUUAAGCGUGCUUGGGCGAGAGUAGUACUAGGAUGGGUGACCUCCUGGGAAGUCCUUGUGUUGCACCUCUUUUUGCCAAAAUUUCGUGUUCUUUUUGUUAAUUAGCGUAAUUUUACGUCGUUCCGUUAAUUUACGCUACCUAACACUCUAUUAGUUAAUUAAUUAGCGUAGUUUGACGUCUUUUUUGAAAAAUAAAUUAGAAAUGCAUAUAUACAAUUACAACGCUUUACUCUCAGGUGCGAUCAUACCAGCACUAAUGCACCGGAUCCCAUCAGAACUCCGCAGUUAAGCGUGCUUGGGCGAGAGUAGUACUAGGAUGGGUGACCUCCUGGGAAGUCCUUGUGUUGCACCUCUUUUUGCCAAAAUUUCGUGUUCUUUUUGUUAAUUAGCGUAAUUUUACGUCGUUUUUGAAAAUAAACUUCGAUUGUAUUUCAUUUUUUCCGUUAAUUUACGCUACCUAACACUCUAUUAGUUAAUUAAUUAGCGUAGUUUGACGUCUUUUUUGAAAAAUAAAUUAGAAAUGCAUAUAUACAAUUACAACGCUUUACUCUCAGGUGCGAUCAUACCAGCACUAAUGCACCGGAUCCCAUCAGAACUCCGCAGUUAAGCGUGCUUGGGCGAGAGUAGUACUAGGAUGGGUGACCUCCUGGGAAGUCCUUGUGUUGCACCUCUUUUUGCCAAAAUUUCGUGUUCUUUUUGUUAAUUAGCGUAAUUUUACGUCGUUCCGUUAAUUUACGCUACCUAACACUCUAUUAGUUAAUUAAUUAGCGUAGUUUGACGUCUUUUUUGAAAAAUAAAUUAGAAAUGCAUAUAUACAAUUACAACGCUUUACUCUCAGGUGCGAUCAUACCAGCACUAAUGCACCGGAUCCCAUCAGAACUCCGCAGUUAAGCGUGCUUGGGCGAGAGUAGUACUAGGAUGGGUGACCUCCUGGGAAGUCCUUGUGUUGCACCUCUUUUUGCCAAAAUUUCGUGUUCUUUUUGUUAAUUAGCGUAAUUUUACGUCGUUUUUGAAAAAUAAACUUCGAUUGUAUUUCAUUUUUUCCGUUAAUUUACGCUACCUAACACUCUAUUAGUUAAUUAAUUAGCGUAGUUUGACGUCUUUUUUGAAAAAUAAAUUAGAAAUGCAUAUAUACAAUUACAACGCUUUACUCUCAGGUGCGAUCAUACCAGCACUAAUGCACCGGAUCCCAUCAGAACUCCGCAGUUAAGCGUGCUUGGGCGAGAGUAGUACUAGGAUGGGUGACCUCCUGGGAAGUCCUUGUGUUGCACCUCUUUUUGCCAAAAUUUCGUGUUCUUUUUGUUAAUUAGCGUAAUUUUACGUCGUUCCGUUAAUUUACGCUACCUAACACUCUAUUAGUUAAUUAAUUAGCGUAGUUUGACGUCUUUUUUGAAAAAUAAAUUAGAAAUGCAUAUAUACAAUUACAACGCUUUACUCUCAGGUGCGAUCAUACCAGCACUAAUGCACCGGAUCCCAUCAGAACUCCGCAGUUAAGCGUGCUUGGGCGAGAGUAGUACUAGGAUGGGUGACCUCCUGGGAAGUCCUUGUGUUGCACCUCUUUUUGCCAAAAUUUCGUGUUCUUUUUGUUAAUUAGCGUAAUUUUACGUCGUUCCGUUAAUUUACGCUACCUAACACUCUAUUAGUUAAUUAAUUAGCGUAGUUUGACGUCUUUUUUGAAAAAUAAAUUAGAAAUGCAUAUAUACAAUUACAACGCUUUACUCUCAGGUGCGAUCAUACCAGCACUAAUGCACCGGAUCCCAUCAGAACUCCGCAGUUAAGCGUGCUUGGGCGAGAGUAGUACUAGGAUGGGUGACCUCCUGGGAAGUCCUUGUGUUGCACCUCUUUUUGCCAAAAUUUCGUGUUCUUUUUGUUAAUUAGCGUAAUUUUACGUCGUUUUUGAAAAAUAAACUUCGAUUGUAUUUCAUUUUUUCCGUUAAUUUACGCUACCUAACACUCUAUUAGUUAAUUAAUUAGCGUAGUUUGACGUCUUUUUUGAAAAAUAAAUUAGAAAUGCAUAUAUACAAUUACAACGCUUUACUCUCAGGUGCGAUCAUACCAGCACUAAUGCACCGGAUCCCAUCAGAACUCCGCAGUUAAGCGUGCUUGGGCGAGAGUAGUACUAGGAUGGGUGACCUCCUGGGAAGUCCUUGUGUUGCACCUCUUUUUGCCAAAAUUUCGUGUUCUUUUUGUUAAUUAGCGUAAUUUUACGUCGUUCCGUUAAUUUACGCUACCUAACACUCUAUUAGUUAAUUAAUUAGCGUAGUUUGACGUCUUUUUUGAAAAAUAAAUUAGAAAUGCAUAUAUACAAUUACAACGCUUUACUCUCAGGUGCGAUCAUACCAGCACUAAUGCACCGGAUCCCAUCAGAACUCCGCAGUUAAGCGUGCUUGGGCGAGAGUAGUACUAGGAUGGGUGACCUCCUGGGAAGUCCUUGUGUUGCACCUCUUUUUGCCAAAAUUUCGUGUUCUUUUUGUUAAUUAGCGUAAUUUUACGUCGUUUUUGAAAAAUAAACUUCGAUUGUAUUUCAUUUUUUCCGUUAAUUUACGCUACCUAACACUCUAUUAGUUAAUUAAUUAGCGUAGUUUGACGUCUUUUUUGAAAAAUAAAUUAGAAAUGCAUAUAUACAAUUACAACGCUUUACUCUCAGGUGCGAUCAUACCAGCACUAAUGCACCGGAUCCCAUCAGAACUCCGCAGUUAAGCGUGCUUGGGCGAGAGUAGUACUAGGAUGGGUGACCUCCUGGGAAGUCCUUGUGUUGCACCUCUUUUUGCCAAAAUUUCGUGUUCUUUUUGUUAAUUAGCGUAAUUUUACGUCGUUCCGUUAAUUUACGCUACCUAACACUCUAUUAGUUAAUUAAUUAGCGUAGUUUGACGUCUUUUUUGAAAAAUAAAUUAGAAAUGCAUAUAUACAAUUACAACGCUUUACUCUCAGGUGCGAUCAUACCAGCACUAAUGCACCGGAUCCCAUCAGAACUCCGCAGUUAAGCGUGCUUGGGCGAGAGUAGUACUAGGAUGGGUGACCUCCUGGGAAGUCCUUGUGUUGCACCUCUUUUUGCCAAAAUUUCGUGUUCUUUUUGUUAAUUAGCGUAAUUUUACGUCGUUUUUGAAAAAUAAACUUCGAUUGUAUUUCAUUUUUUCCGUUAAUUUACGCUACCUAACACUCUAUUAGUUAAUUAAUUAGCGUAGUUUGACGUCUUUUUUGAAAAAUAAAUUAGAAAUGCAUAUAUACAAUUACAACGCUUUACUCUCAGGUGCGAUCAUACCAGCACUAAUGCACCGGAUCCCAUCAGAACUCCGCAGUUAAGCGUGCUUGGGCGAGAGUAGUACUAGGAUGGGUGACCUCCUGGGAAGUCCUUGUGUUGCACCUCUUUUUGCCAAAAUUUCGUGUUCUUUUUGUUAAUUAGCGUAAUUUUACGUCGUUUUUGAAAAAUAAACUUCGAUUGUAUUUCAUUUUUUCCGUUAAUUUACGCUACCUAACACUCUAUUAGUUAAUUAAUUAGCGUAGUUUGACGUCUUUUUUGAAAAAUAAAUUAGAAAUGCAUAUAUACAAUUACAACGCUUUACUCUCAGGUGCGAUCAUACCAGCACUAAUGCACCGGAUCCCAUCAGAACUCCGCAGUUAAGCGUGCUUGGGCGAGAGUAGUACUAGGAUGGGUGACCUCCUGGGAAGUCCUUGUGUUGCACCUCUUUUUGCCAAAAUUUCGUGUUCUUUUUGUUAAUUAGCGUAAUUUUACGUCGUUCCGUUAAUUUACGCUACCUAACACUCUAUUAGUUAAUUAAUUAGCGUAGUUUGACGUCUUUUUUGAAAAAUAAAUUAGAAAUGCAUAUAUACAAUUACAACGCUUUACUCUCAGGUGCGAUCAUACCAGCACUAAUGCACCGGAUCCCAUCAGAACUCCGCAGUAAGCGUGCUUGGGCGAGAGUAGUACUAGGAUGGGUGACCUUCUGCGAAGUCCUUGUGUUGCACCUCUUUUUGCCAAAAUUUCGUGUUCUUUUUGUUAAUUAGCGUAAUUUUACGUCGUUUUUGAAAAAUAAACUUCGAUUGUAUUUCAUUUUUUCCGUUAAUUUACGCUACCUAACACUCUAUUAGUUAAUUAAUUAGCGUAGUUUGACGUCUUUUUUGAAAAAUAAAUUAGAAAUGCAUAUAUACAAUUACAACGCUUUACUCUCAGGUGCGAUCAUACCAGCACUAAUGCACCGGAUCCCAUCAGAACUCCGCAGUUAAGCGUGCUUGGGCGAGAGUAGUACUAGGAUGGGUGACCUCCUGGGAAGUCCUUGUGUUGCACCUCUUUUUGCCAAAAUUUCGUGUUCUUUUUGUUAAUUAGCGUAAUUUUACGUCGUUCCGUUAAUUUACGCUACCUAACACUCUAUUAGUUAAUUAAUUAGCGUAGUUUGACGUCUUUUUUGAAAAAUAAAUUAGAAAUGCAUAUAUACAAUUACAACGCUUUACUCUCAGGUGCGAUCAUACCAGCACUAAUGCACCGGAUCCCAUCAGAACUCCGCAGUUAAGCGUGCUUGGGCGAGAGUAGUACUAGGAUGGGUGACCUCCUGGGAAGUCCUUGUGUUGCACCUCUUUUUGCCAAAAUUUCGUGUUCUUUUUGUUAAUUAGCGUAAUUUUACGUCGUUUUUGAAAAAUAAACUUCGAUUGUAUUUCAUUUUUUCCGUUAAUUUACGCUACCUAACACUCUAUUAGUUAAUUAAUUAGCGUAGUUUGACGUCUUUUUUGAAAAAUAAAUUAGAAAUGCAUAUAUACAAUUACAACGCUUUACUCUCAGGUGCGAUCAUACCAGCACUAAUGCACCGGAUCCCAUCAGAACUCCGCAGUUAAGCGUGCUUGGGCGAGAGUAGUACUAGGAUGGGUGACCUCCUGGGAAGUCCUUGUGUUGCACCUCUUUUUGCCAAAAUUUCGUGUUCUUUUUGUUAAUUAGCGUAAUUUUACGUCGUUCCGUUAAUUUACGCUACCUAACACUCUAUUAGUUAAUUAAUUAGCGUAGUUUGACGUCUUUUUUGAAAAAUAAAUUAGAAAUGCAUAUAUACAAUUACAACGCUUUACUCUCAGGUGCGAUCAUACCAGCACUAAUGCACCGGAUCCCAUCAGAACUCCGCAGUUAAGCGUGCUUGGGCGAGAGUAGUACUAGGAUGGGUGACCUCCUGGGAAGUCCUUGUGUUGCACCUCUUUUUGCCAAAAUUUCGUGUUCUUUUUGUUAAUUAGCGUAAUUUUACGUCGUUUUUGAAAAAUAAACUUCGAUUGUAUUUCAUUUUUUCCGUUAAUUUACGCUACCUAACACUCUAUUAGUUAAUUAAUUAGCGUAGUUUGACGUCUUUUUUGAAAAAUAAAUUAGAAAUGCAUAUAUACAAUUACAACGCUUUACUCUCAGGUGCGAUCAUACCAGCACUAAUGCACCGGAUCCCAUCAGAACUCCGCAGUUAAGCGUGCUUGGGCGAGAGUAGUACUAGGAUGGGUGACCUCCUGGGAAGUCCUUGUGUUGCACCUCUUUUUGCCAAAAUUUCGUGUUCUUUUUGUUAAUUAGCGUAAUUUUACGUCGUUUUUGAAAAAUAAACUUCGAUUGUAUUUCAUUUUUUCCGUUAAUUUACGCUACCUAACACUCUAUUAGUUAAUUAAUUAGCGUAGUUUGACGUCUUUUUUGAAAAAUAAAUUAGAAAUGCAUAUAUACAAUUACAACGCUUUACUCUCAGGUGCGAUCAUACCAGCACUAAUGCACCGGAUCCCAUCAGAACUCCGCAGUUAAGCGUGCUUGGGCGAGAGUAGUACUAGGAUGGGUGACCUCCUGGGAAGUCCUUGUGUUGCACCUCUUUUUGCCAAAAUUUCGUGUUCUUUUUGUUAAUUAGCGUAAUUUUACGUCGUUCCGUUAAUUUACGCUACCUAACACUCUAUUAGUUAAUUAAUUAGCGUAGUUUGACGUCUUUUUUGAAAAAUAAAUUAGAAAUGCAUAUAUACAAUUACAACGCUUUACUCUCAGGUGCGAUCAUACCAGCACUAAUGCACCGGAUCCCAUCAGAACUCCGCAGUUAAGCGUGCUUGGGCGAGAGUAGUACUAGGAUGGGUGACCUCCUGGGAAGUCCUUGUGUUGCACCUCUUUUUGCCAAAAUUUCGUGUUCUUUUUGUUAAUUAGCGUAAUUUUACGUCGUUCCGUUAAUUUACGCUACCUAACACUCUAUUAGUUAAUUAAUUAGCGUAGUUUGACGUCUUUUUUGAAAAAUAAAUUAGAAAUGCAUAUAUACAAUUACAACGCUUUACUCUCAGGUGCGAUCAUACCAGCACUAAUGCACCGGAUCCCAUCAGAACUCCGCAGUUAAGCGUGCUUGGGCGAGAGUAGUACUAGGAUGGGUGACCUCCUGGGAAGUCCUUGUGUUGCACCUCUUUUUGCCAAAAUUUCGUGUUCUUUUUGUUAAUUAGCGUAAUUUUACGUCGUUCCGUUAAUUUACGCUACCUAACACUCUAUUAGUUAAUUAAUUAGCGUAGUUUGACGUCUUUUUUGAAAAAUAAAUUAGAAAUGCAUAUAUACAAUUACAACGCUUUACUCUCAGGUGCGAUCAUACCAGCACUAAUGCACCGGAUCCCAUCAGAACUCCGCAGUUAAGCGUGCUUGGGCGAGAGUAGUACUAGGAUGGGUGACCUCCUGGGAAGUCCUUGUGUUGCACCUCUUUUUGCCAAAAUUUCGUGUUCUUUUUGUUAAUUAGCGUAAUUUUACGUCGUUUUUGAAAAAUAAACUUCGAUUGUAUUUCAUUUUUUCCGUUAAUUUACGCUACCUAACACUCUAUUAGUUAAUUAAUUAGCGUAGUUUGACGUCUUUUUUGAAAAAUAAAUUAGAAAUGCAUAUAUACAAUUACAACGCUUUACUCUCAGGUGCGAUCAUACCAGCACUAAUGCACCGGAUCCCAUCAGAACUCCGCAGUUAAGCGUGCUUGGGCGAGAGUAGUACUAGGAUGGGUGACCUCCUGGGAAGUCCUUGUGUUGCACCUCUUUUUGCCAAAAUUUCGUGUUCUUUUUGUUAAUUAGCGUAAUUUUACGUCGUUCCGUUAAUUUACGCUACCUAACACUCUAUUAGUUAAUUAAUUAGCGUAGUUUGACGUCUUUUUUGAAAAAUAAAUUAGAAAUGCAUAUAUACAAUUACAACGCUUUACUCUCAGGUGCGAUCAUACCAGCACUAAUGCACCGGAUCCCAUCAGAACUCCGCAGUUAAGCGUGCUUGGGCGAGAGUAGUACUAGGAUGGGUGACCUCCUGGGAAGUCCUUGUGUUGCACCUCUUUUUGCCAAAAUUUCGUGUUCUUUUUGUUAAUUAGCGUAAUUUUACGUCGUUUUUGAAAAAUAAACUUCGAUUGUAUUUCAUUUUUUCCGUUAAUUUACGCUACCUAACACUCUAUUAGUUAAUUAAUUAGCGUAGUUUGACGUCUUUUUUGAAAAAUAAAUUAGAAAUGCAUAUAUACAAUUACAACGCUUUACUCUCAGGUGCGAUCAUACCAGCACUAAUGCACCGGAUCCCAUCAGAACUCCGCAGUUAAGCGUGCUUGGGCGAGAGUAGUACUAGGAUGGGUGACCUCCUGGGAAGUCCUUGUGUUGCACCUCUUUUUGCCAAAAUUUCGUGUUCUUUUUGUUAAUUAGCGUAAUUUUACGUCGUUCCGUUAAUUUACGCUACCUAACACUCUAUUAGUUAAUUAAUUAGCGUAGUUUGACGUCUUUUUUGAAAAAUAAAUUAGAAAUGCAUAUAUACAAUUACAACGCUUUACUCUCAGGUGCGAUCAUACCAGCACUAAUGCACCGGAUCCCAUCAGAACUCCGCAGUUAAGCGUGCUUGGGCGAGAGUAGUACUAGGAUGGGUGACCUCCUGGGAAGUCCUUGUGUUGCACCUCUUUUUGCCAAAAUUUCGUGUUCUUUUUGUUAAUUAGCGUAAUUUUACGUCGUUCCGUUAAUUUACGCUACCUAACACUCUAUUAGUUAAUUAAUUAGCGUAGUUUGACGUCUUUUUUGAAAAAUAAAUUAGAAAUGCAUAUAUACAAUUACAACGCUUUACUCUCAGGUGCGAUCAUACCAGCACUAAUGCACCGGAUCCCAUCAGAACUCCGCAGUUAAGCGUGCUUGGGCGAGAGUAGUACUAGGAUGGGUGACCUCCUGGGAAGUCCUUGUGUUGCACCUCUUUUUGCCAAAAUUUCGUGUUCUUUUUGUUAAUUAGCGUAAUUUUACGUCGUUCCGUUAAUUUACGCUACCUAACACUCUAUUAGUUAAUUAAUUAGCGUAGUUUGACGUCUUUUUUGAAAAAUAAAUUAGAAAUGCAUAUAUACAAUUACAACGCUUUACUCUCAGGUGCGAUCAUACCAGCACUAAUGCACCGGAUCCCAUCAGAACUCCGCAGUUAAGCGUGCUUGGGCGAGAGUAGUACUAGGAUGGGUGACCUCCUGGGAAGUCCUUGUGUUGCACCUCUUUUUGCCAAAAUUUCGUGUUCUUUUUGUUAAUUAGCGUAAUUUUACGUCGUUCCGUUAAUUUACGCUACCUAACACUCUAUUAGUUAAUUAAUUAGCGUAGUUUGACGUCUUUUUUGAAAAAUAAAUUAGAAAUGCAUAUAUACAAUUACAACGCUUUACUCUCAGGUGCGAUCAUACCAGCACUAAUGCACCGGAUCCCAUCAGAACUCCGCAGUUAAGCGUGCUUGGGCGAGAGUAGUACUAGGAUGGGUGACCUCCUGGGAAGUCCUUGUGUUGCACCUCUUUUUGCCAAAAUUUCGUGUUCUUUUUGUUAAUUAGCGUAAUUUUACGUCGUUCCGUUAAUUUACGCUACCUAACACUCUAUUAGUUAAUUAAUUAGCGUAGUUUGACGUCUUUUUUGAAAAAUAAAUUAGAAAUGCAUAUAUACAAUUACAACGCUUUACUCUCAGGUGCGAUCAUACCAGCACUAAUGCACCGGAUCCCAUCAGAACUCCGCAGUUAAGCGUGCUUGGGCGAGAGUAGUACUAGGAUGGGUGACCUCCUGGGAAGUCCUUGUGUUGCACCUCUUUUUGCCAAAAUUUCGUGUUCUUUUUGUUAAUUAGCGUAAUUUUACGUCGUUUUUGAAAAAUAAACUUCGAUUGUAUUUCAUUUUUUCCGUUAAUUUACGCUACCUAACACUCUAUUAGUUAAUUAAUUAGCGUAGUUUGACGUCUUUUUUGAAAAAUAAAUUAGAAAUGCAUAUAUACAAUUACAACGCUUUACUCUCAGGUGCGAUCAUACCAGCACUAAUGCACCGGAUCCCAUCAGAACUCCGCAGUUAAGCGUGCUUGGGCGAGAGUAGUACUAGGAUGGGUGACCUCCUGGGAAGUCCUUGUGUUGCACCUCUUUUUGCCAAAAUUUCGUGUUCUUUUUGUUAAUUAGCGUAAUUUUACGUCGUUCCGUUAAUUUACGCUACCUAACACUCUAUUAGUUAAUUAAUUAGCGUAGUUUGACGUCUUUUUUGAAAAAUAAAUUAGAAAUGCAUAUAUACAAUUACAACGCUUUACUCUCAGGUGCGAUCAUACCAGCACUAAUGCACCGGAUCCCAUCAGAACUCCGCAGUUAAGCGUGCUUGGGCGAGAGUAGUACUAGGAUGGGUGACCUCCUGGGAAGUCCUUGUGUUGCACCUCUUUUUGCCAAAAUUUCGUGUUCUUUUUGUUAAUUAGCGUAAUUUUACGUCGUUCCGUUAAUUUACGCUACCUAACACUCUAUUAGUUAAUUAAUUAGCGUAGUUUGACGUCUUUUUUGAAAAAUAAAUUAGAAAUGCAUAUAUACAAUUACAACGCUUUACUCUCAGGUGCGAUCAUACCAGCACUAAUGCACCGGAUCCCAUCAGAACUCCGCAGUUAAGCGUGCUUGGGCGAGAGUAGUACUAGGAUGGGUGACCUCCUGGGAAGUCCUUGUGUUGCACCUCUUUUUGCCAAAAUUUCGUGUUCUUUUUGUUAAUUAGCGUAAUUUUACGUCGUUCCGUUAAUUUACGCUACCUAACACUCUAUUAGUUAAUUAAUUAGCGUAGUUUGACGUCUUUUUUGAAAAAUAAAUUAGAAAUGCAUAUAUACAAUUACAACGCUUUACUCUCAGGUGCGAUCAUACCAGCACUAAUGCACCGGAUCCCAUCAGAACUCCGCAGUUAAGCGUGCUUGGGCGAGAGUAGUACUAGGAUGGGUGACCUCCUGGGAAGUCCUUGUGUUGCACCUCUUUUUGCCAAAAUUUCGUGUUCUUUUUGUUAAUUAGCGUAAUUUUACGUCGUUCCGUUAAUUUACGCUACCUAACACUCUAUUAGUUAAUUAAUUAGCGUAGUUUGACGUCUUUUUUGAAAAAUAAAUUAGAAAUGCAUAUAUACAAUUACAACGCUUUACUCUCAGGUGCGAUCAUACCAGCACUAAUGCACCGGAUCCCAUCAGAACUCCGCAGUUAAGCGUGCUUGGGCGAGAGUAGUACUAGGAUGGGUGACCUCCUGGGAAGUCCUUGUGUUGCACCUCUUUUUGCCAAAAUUUCGUGUUCUUUUUGUUAAUUAGCGUAAUUUUACGUCGUUUUUGAAAAAUAAACUUCGAUUGUAUUUCAUUUUUUCCGUUAAUUUACGCUACCUAACACUCUAUUAGUUAAUUAAUUAGCGUAGUUUGACGUCUUUUUUGAAAAAUAAAUUAGAAAUGCAUAUAUACAAUUACAACGCUUUACUCUCAGGUGCGAUCAUACCAGCACUAAUGCACCGGAUCCCAUCAGAACUCCGCAGUUAAGCGUGCUUGGGCGAGAGUAGUACUAGGAUGGGUGACCUCCUGGGAAGUCCUUGUGUUGCACCUCUUUUUGCCAAAAUUUCGUGUUCUUUUUGUUAAUUAGCGUAAUUUUACGUCGUUCCGUUAAUUUACGCUACCUAACACUCUAUUAGUUAAUUAAUUAGCGUAGUUUGACGUCUUUUUUGAAAAAUAAAUUAGAAAUGCAUAUAUACAAUUACAACGCUUUACUCUCAGGUGCGAUCAUACCAGCACUAAUGCACCGGAUCCCAUCAGAACUCCGCAGUUAAGCGUGCUUGGGCGAGAGUAGUACUAGGAUGGGUGACCUCCUGGGAAGUCCUUGUGUUGCACCUCUUUUUGCCAAAAUUUCGUGUUCUUUUUGUUAAUUAGCGUAAUUUUACGUCGUUUUGAAAAUAACUUCGAUUGUAUUUCAUUUUUUCCGUUAAUUUACGCUACCUAACACUCUAUUAGUUAAUUAAUUAGCGUAGUUUGACGUCUUUUUUGAAAAAUAAAUUAGAAAUGCAUAUAUACAAUUACAACGCUUUACUCUCAGGUGCGAUCAUACCAGCACUAAUGCACCGGAUCCCAUCAGAACUCCGCAGUUAAGCGUGCUUGGGCGAGAGUAGUACUAGGAUGGGUGACCUCCUGGGAAGUCCUUGUGUUGCACCUCUUUUUGCCAAAAUUUCGUGUUCUUUUUGUUAAUUAGCGUAAUUUUACGUCGUUCCGUUAAUUUACGCUACCUAACACUCUAUUAGUUAAUUAAUUAGCGUAGUUUGACGUCUUUUUUGAAAAAUAAAUUAGAAAUGCAUAUAUACAAUUACAACGCUUUACUCUCAGGUGCGAUCAUACCAGCACUAAUGCACCGGAUCCCAUCAGAACUCCGCAGUUAAGCGUGCUUGGGCGAGAGUAGUACUAGGAUGGGUGACCUCCUGGGAAGUCCUUGUGUUGCACCUCUUUUUGCCAAAAUUUCGUGUUCUUUUUGUUAAUUAGCGUAAUUUUACGUCGUUCCGUUAAUUUACGCUACCUAACACUCUAUUAGUUAAUUAAUUAGCGUAGUUUGACGUCUUUUUUGAAAAAUAAAUUAGAAAUGCAUAUAUACAAUUACAACGCUUUACUCUCAGGUGCGAUCAUACCAGCACUAAUGCACCGGAUCCCAUCAGAACUCCGCAGUUAAGCGUGCUUGGGCGAGAGUAGUACUAGGAUGGGUGACCUCCUGGGAAGUCCUUGUGUUGCACCUCUUUUUGCCAAAAUUUCGUGUUCUUUUUGUUAAUUAGCGUAAUUUUACGUCGUUCCGUUAAUUUACGCUACCUAACACUCUAUUAGUUAAUUAAUUAGCGUAGUUUGACGUCUUUUUUGAAAAAUAAAUUAGAAAUGCAUAUAUACAAUUACAACGCUUUACUCUCAGGUGCGAUCAUACCAGCACUAAUGCACCGGAUCCCAUCAGAACUCCGCAGUUAAGCGUGCUUGGGCGAGAGUAGUACUAGGAUGGGUGACCUCCUGGGAAGUCCUUGUGUUGCACCUCUUUUUGCCAAAAUUUCGUGUUCUUUUUGUUAAUUAGCGUAAUUUUACGUCGUUUUUGAAAAAUAAACUUCGAUUGUAUUUCAUUUUUUCCGUUAAUUUACGCUACCUAACACUCUAUUAGUUAAUUAAUUAGCGUAGUUUGACGUCUUUUUUGAAAAAUAAAUUAGAAAUGCAUAUAUACAAUUACAACGCUUUACUCUCAGGUGCGAUCAUACCAGCACUAAUGCACCGGAUCCCAUCAGAACUCCGCAGUUAAGCGUGCUUGGGCGAGAGUAGUACUAGGAUGGGUGACCUCCUGGGAAGUCCUUGUGUUGCACCUCUUUUUGCCAAAAUUUCGUGUUCUUUUUGUUAAUUAGCGUAAUUUUACGUCGUUCCGUUAAUUUACGCUACCUAACACUCUAUUAGUUAAUUAAUUAGCGUAGUUUGACGUCUUUUUUGAAAAAUAAAUUAGAAAUGCAUAUAUACAAUUACAACGCUUUACUCUCAGGUGCGAUCAUACCAGCACUAAUGCACCGGAUCCCAUCAGAACUCCGCAGUUAAGCGUGCUUGGGCGAGAGUAGUACUAGGAUGGGUGACCUCCUGGGAAGUCCUUGUGUUGCACCUCUUUUUGCCAAAAUUUCGUGUUCUUUUUGUUAAUUAGCGUAAUUUUACGUCGUUCCGUUAAUUUACGCUACCUAACACUCUAUUAGUUAAUUAAUUAGCGUAGUUUGACGUCUUUUUUGAAAAAUAAAUUAGAAAUGCAUAUAUACAAUUACAACGCUUUACUCUCAGGUGCGAUCAUACCAGCACUAAUGCACCGGAUCCCAUCAGAACUCCGCAGUUAAGCGUGCUUGGGCGAGAGUAGUACUAGGAUGGGUGACCUCCUGGGAAGUCCUUGUGUUGCACCUCUUUUUGCCAAAAUUUCGUGUUCUUUUUGUUAAUUAGCGUAAUUUUACGUCGUUCCGUUAAUUUACGCUACCUAACACUCUAUUAGUUAAUUAAUUAGCGUAGUUUGACGUCUUUUUUGAAAAAUAAAUUAGAAAUGCAUAUAUACAAUUACAACGCUUUACUCUCAGGUGCGAUCAUACCAGCACUAAUGCACCGGAUCCCAUCAGAACUCCGCAGUUAAGCGUGCUUGGGCGAGAGUAGUACUAGGAUGGGUGACCUCCUGGGAAGUCCUUGUGUUGCACCUCUUUUUGCCAAAAUUUCGUGUUCUUUUUGUUAAUUAGCGUAAUUUUACGUCGUUCCGUUAAUUUACGCUACCUAACACUCUAUUAGUUAAUUAAUUAGCGUAGUUUGACGUCUUUUUUGAAAAAUAAAUUAGAAAUGCAUAUAUACAAUUACAACGCUUUACUCUCAGGUGCGAUCAUACCAGCACUAAUGCACCGGAUCCCAUCAGAACUCCGCAGUUAAGCGUGCUUGGGCGAGAGUAGUACUAGGAUGGGUGACCUCCUGGGAAGUCCUUGUGUUGCACCUCUUUUUGCCAAAAUUUCGUGUUCUUUUUGUUAAUUAGCGUAAUUUUACGUCGUUUUUGAAAAAUAAACUUCGAUUGUAUUUCAUUUUUUCCGUUAAUUUACGCUACCUAACACUCUAUUAGUUAAUUAAUUAGCGUAGUUUGACGUCUUUUUUGAAAAAUAAAUUAGAAAUGCAUAUAUACAAUUACAACGCUUUACUCUCAGGUGCGAUCAUACCAGCACUAAUGCACCGGAUCCCAUCAGAACUCCGCAGUUAAGCGUGCUUGGGCGAGAGUAGUACUAGGAUGGGUGACCUCCUGGGAAGUCCUUGUGUUGCACCUCUUUUUGCCAAAAUUUCGUGUUCUUUUUGUUAAUUAGCGUAAUUUUACGUCGUUCCGUUAAUUUACGCUACCUAACACUCUAUUAGUUAAUUAAUUAGCGUAGUUUGACGUCUUUUUUGAAAAAUAAAUUAGAAAUGCAUAUAUACAAUUACAACGCUUUACUCUCAGGUGCGAUCAUACCAGCACUAAUGCACCGGAUCCCAUCAGAACUCCGCAGUUAAGCGUGCUUGGGCGAGAGUAGUACUAGGAUGGGUGACCUCCUGGGAAGUCCUUGUGUUGCACCUCUUUUUGCCAAAAUUUCGUGUUCUUUUUGUUAAUUAGCGUAAUUUUACGUCGUUUUUGAAAAUAAACUUCGAUUGUAUUUCAUUUUUCCGUUAAUUUACGCUACCUAACACUCUAUUAGUUAAUUAAUUAGCGUAGUUUGACGUCUUUUUUGAAAAAUAAAUUAGAAAUGCAUAUAUACAAUUACAACGCUUUACUCUCAGGUGCGAUCAUACCAGCACUAAUGCACCGGAUCCCAUCAGAACUCCGCAGUUAAGCGUGCUUGGGCGAGAGUAGUACUAGGAUGGGUGACCUCCUGGGAAGUCCUUGUGUUGCACCUCUUUUUGCCAAAAUUUCGUGUUCUUUUUGUUAAUUAGCGUAAUUUUACGUCGUUCCGUUAAUUUACGCUACCUAACACUCUAUUAGUUAAUUAAUUAGCGUAGUUUGACGUCUUUUUUGAAAAAUAAAUUAGAAAUGCAUAUAUACAAUUACAACGCUUUACUCUCAGGUGCGAUCAUACCAGCACUAAUGCACCGGAUCCCAUCAGAACUCCGCAGUUAAGCGUGCUUGGGCGAGAGUAGUACUAGGAUGGGUGACCUCCUGGGAAGUCCUUGUGUUGCACCUCUUUUUGCCAAAAUUUCGUGUUCUUUUUGUUAAUUAGCGUAAUUUUACGUCGUUCCGUUAAUUUACGCUACCUAACACUCUAUUAGUUAAUUAAUUAGCGUAGUUUGACGUCUUUUUUGAAAAAUAAAUUAGAAAUGCAUAUAUACAAUUACAACGCUUUACUCUCAGGUGCGAUCAUACCAGCACUAAUGCACCGGAUCCCAUCAGAACUCCGCAGUUAAGCGUGCUUGGGCGAGAGUAGUACUAGGAUGGGUGACCUCCUGGGAAGUCCUUGUGUUGCACCUCUUUUUGCCAAAAUUUCGUGUUCUUUUUGUUAAUUAGCGUAAUUUUACGUCGUUCCGUUAAUUUACGCUACCUAACACUCUAUUAGUUAAUUAAUUAGCGUAGUUUGACGUCUUUUUUGAAAAAUAAAUUAGAAAUGCAUAUAUACAAUUACAACGCUUUACUCUCAGGUGCGAUCAUACCAGCACUAAUGCACCGGAUCCCAUCAGAACUCCGCAGUUAAGCGUGCUUGGGCGAGAGUAGUACUAGGAUGGGUGACCUCCUGGGAAGUCCUUGUGUUGCACCUCUUUUUGCCAAAAUUUCGUGUUCUUUUUGUUAAUUAGCGUAAUUUUACGUCGUUCCGUUAAUUUACGCUACCUAACACUCUAUUAGUUAAUUAAUUAGCGUAGUUUGACGUCUUUUUUGAAAAAUAAAUUAGAAAUGCAUAUAUACAAUUACAACGCUUUACUCUCAGGUGCGAUCAUACCAGCACUAAUGCACCGGAUCCCAUCAGAACUCCGCAGUUAAGCGUGCUUGGGCGAGAGUAGUACUAGGAUGGGUGACCUCCUGGGAAGUCCUUGUGUUGCACCUCUUUUUGCCAAAAUUUCGUGUUCUUUUUGUUAAUUAGCGUAAUUUUACGUCGUUUUUGAAAAUAAACUUCGAUUGUAUUUCAUUUUUUCCGUUAAUUUACGCUACCUAACACUCUAUUAGUUAAUUAAUUAGCGUAGUUUGACGUCUUUUUUGAAAAAUAAAUUAGAAAUGCAUAUAUACAAUUACAACGCUUUACUCUCAGGUGCGAUCAUACCAGCACUAAUGCACCGGAUCCCAUCAGAACUCCGCAGUUAAGCGUGCUUGGGCGAGAGUAGUACUAGGAUGGGUGACCUCCUGGGAAGUCCUUGUGUUGCACCUCUUUUUGCCAAAAUUUCGUGUUCUUUUUGUUAAUUAGCGUAAUUUUACGUCGUUCCGUUAAUUUACGCUACCUAACACUCUAUUAGUUAAUUAAUUAGCGUAGUUUGACGUCUUUUUUGAAAAAUAAAUUAGAAAUGCAUAUAUACAAUUACAACGCUUUACUCUCAGGUGCGAUCAUACCAGCACUAAUGCACCGGAUCCCAUCAGAACUCCGCAGUUAAGCGUGCUUGGGCGAGAGUAGUACUAGGAUGGGGGACCUCCUGGGAAGUCCUUGUGUUGCACCUCUUUUUGCCAAAAUUUCGUGUUCUUUUUGUUAAUUAGCGUAAUUUUACGUCGUUCCGUUAAUUUACGCUACCUAACACUCUAUUAGUUAAUUAAUUAGCGUAGUUUGACGUCUUUUUUGAAAAAUAAAUUAGAAAUGCAUAUAUACAAUUACAACGCUUUACUCUCAGGUGCGAUCAUACCAGCACUAAUGCACCGGAUCCCAUCAGAACUCCGCAGUUAAGCGUGCUUGGGCGAGAGUAGUACUAGGAUGGGUGACCUCCUGGGAAGUCCUUGUGUUGCACCUCUUUUUGCCAAAAUUUCGUGUUCUUUUUGUUAAUUAGCGUAAUUUUACGUCGUUCCGUUAAUUUACGCUACCUAACACUCUAUUAGUUAAUUAAUUAGCGUAGUUUGACGUCUUUUUUGAAAAAUAAAUUAGAAAUGCAUAUAUACAAUUACAACGCUUUACUCUCAGGUGCGAUCAUACCAGCACUAAUGCACCGGAUCCCAUCAGAACUCCGCAGUUAAGCGUGCUUGGGCGAGAGUAGUACUAGGAUGGGUGACCUCCUGGGAAGUCCUUGUGUUGCACCUCUUUUUGCCAAAAUUUCGUGUUCUUUUUGUUAAUUAGCGUAAUUUUACGUCGUUCCGUUAAUUUACGCUACCUAACACUCUAUUAGUUAAUUAAUUAGCGUAGUUUGACGUCUUUUUUGAAAAAUAAAUUAGAAAUGCAUAUAUACAAUUACAACGCUUUACUCUCAGGUGCGAUCAUACCAGCACUAAUGCACCGGAUCCCAUCAGAACUCCGCAGUUAAGCGUGCUUGGGCGAGAGUAGUACUAGGAUGGGUGACCUCCUGGGAAGUCCUUGUGUUGCACCUCUUUUUGCCAAAAUUUCGUGUUCUUUUUGUUAAUUAGCGUAAUUUUACGUCGUUCCGUUAAUUUACGCUACCUAACACUCUAUUAGUUAAUUAAUUAGCGUAGUUUGACGUCUUUUUUGAAAAUAAAUUAGAAAUGCAUAUAUACAAUUACAACGCUUUACUCUCAGGUGCGAUCAUACCAGCACUAAUGCACCGGAUCCCAUCAGAACUCCGCAGUUAAGCGUGCUUGGGCGAGAGUAGUACUAGGAUGGGUGACCUCCUGGGAAGUCCUUGUGUUGCACCUCUUUUUGCCAAAAUUUCGUGUUCUUUUUGUUAAUUAGCGUAAUUUUACGUCGUUUUGAAAAUAAACUUCGAUUGUAUUUCAUUUUUCCGUUAAUUUACGCUACCUAACACUCUAUUAGUUAAUUAAUUAGCGUAGUUUGACGUCUUUUUUGAAAAAUAAAUUAGAAAUGCAUAUAUACAAUUACAACGCUUUACUCUCAGGUGCGAUCAUACCAGCACUAAUGCACCGGAUCCCAUCAGAACUCCGCAGUUAAGCGUGCUUGGGCGAGAGUAGUACUAGGAUGGGUGACCUCCUGGGAAGUCCUUGUGUUGCACCUCUUUUUGCCAAAAUUUCGUGUUCUUUUUGUUAAUUAGCGUAAUUUUACGUCGUUCCGUUAAUUUACGCUACCUAACACUCUAUUAGUUAAUUAAUUAGCGUAGUUUGACGUCUUUUUUGAAAAAUAAAUUAGAAAUGCAUAUAUACAAUUACAACGCUUUACUCUCAGGUGCGAUCAUACCAGCACUAAUGCACCGGAUCCCAUCAGAACUCCGCAGUUAAGCGUGCUUGGGCGAGAGUAGUACUAGGAUGGGUGACCUCCUGGGAAGUCCUUGUGUUGCACCUCUUUUUGCCAAAAUUUCGUGUUCUUUUUGUUAAUUAGCGUAAUUUUACGUCGUUCCGUUAAUUUACGCUACCUAACACUCUAUUAGUUAAUUAAUUAGCGUAGUUUGACGUCUUUUUUGAAAAAUAAAUUAGAAAUGCAUAUAUACAAUUACAACGCUUUACUCUCAGGUGCGAUCAUACCAGCACUAAUGCACCGGAUCCCAUCAGAACUCCGCAGUUAAGCGUGCUUGGGCGAGAGUAGUACUAGGAUGGGUGACCUCCUGGGAAGUCCUUGUGUUGCACCUCUUUUUGCCAAAAUUUCGUGUUCUUUUUGUUAAUUAGCGUAAUUUUACGUCGUUCCGUUAAUUUACGCUACCUAACACUCUAUUAGUUAAUUAAUUAGCGUAGUUUGACGUCUUUUUUGAAAAAUAAAUUAGAAAUGCAUAUAUACAAUUACAACGCUUUACUCUCAGGUGCGAUCAUACCAGCACUAAUGCACCGGAUCCCAUCAGAACUCCGCAGUUAAGCGUGCUUGGGCGAGAGUAGUACUAGGAUGGGUGACCUCCUGGGAAGUCCUUGUGUUGCACCUCUUUUUGCCAAAAUUUCGUGUUCUUUUUGUUAAUUAGCGUAAUUUUACGUCGUUCCGUUAAUUUACGCUACCUAACACUCUAUUAGUUAAUUAAUUAGCGUAGUUUGACGUCUUUUUUGAAAAAUAAAUUAGAAAUGCAUAUAUACAAUUACAACGCUUUACUCUCAGGUGCGAUCAUACCAGCACUAAUGCACCGGAUCCCAUCAGAACUCCGCAGUUAAGCGUGCUUGGGCGAGAGUAGUACUAGGAUGGGUGACCUCCUGGAAGUCCUUGUGUUGCACCUCUUUUUGCCAAAAUUUCGUGUUCUUUUUGUUAAUUAGCGUAAUUUUACGUCGUUCCGUUAAUUUACGCUACCUAACACUCUAUUAGUUAAUUAAUUAGCGUAGUUUGACGUCUUUUUUGAAAAAUAAAUUAGAAAUGCAUAUAUACAAUUACAACGCUUUACUCUCAGGUGCGAUCAUACCAGCACUAAUGCACCGGAUCCCAUCAGAACUCCGCAGUUAAGCGUGCUUGGGCGAGAGUAGUACUAGGAUGGGUGACCUCCUGGGAAGUCCUUGUGUUGCACCUCUUUUUGCCAAAAUUUCGUGUUCUUUUUGUUAAUUAGCGUAAUUUUACGUCGUUUUUGAAAAAUAAACUUCGAUUGUAUUUCAUUUUUUCCGUUAAUUUACGCUACCUAACACUCUAUUAGUUAAUUAAUUAGCGUAGUUUGACGUCUUUUUUGAAAAAUAAAUUAGAAAUGCAUAUAUACAAUUACAACGCUUUACUCUCAGGUGCGAUCAUACCAGCACUAAUGCACCGGAUCCCAUCAGAACUCCGCAGUUAAGCGUGCUUGGGCGAGAGUAGUACUAGGAUGGGUGACCUCCUGGGAAGUCCUUGUGUUGCACCUCUUUUUGCCAAAAUUUCGUGUUCUUUUUGUUAAUUAGCGUAAUUUUACGUCGUUCCGUUAAUUUACGCUACCUAACACUCUAUUAGUUAAUUAAUUAGCGUAGUUUGACGUCUUUUUUGAAAAAUAAAUUAGAAAUGCAUAUAUACAAUUACAACGCUUUACUCUCAGGUGCGAUCAUACCAGCACUAAUGCACCGGAUCCCAUCAGAACUCCGCAGUUAAGCGUGCUUGGGCGAGAGUAGUACUAGGAUGGGUGACCUCCUGGGAAGUCCUUGUGUUGCACCUCUUUUUGCCAAAAUUUCGUGUUCUUUUUGUUAAUUAGCGUAAUUUUACGUCGUUCCGUUAAUUUACGCUACCUAACACUCUAUUAGUUAAUUAAUUAGCGUAGUUUGACGUCUUUUUUGAAAAAUAAAUUAGAAAUGCAUAUAUACAAUUACAACGCUUUACUCUCAGGUGCGAUCAUACCAGCACUAAUGCACCGGAUCCCAUCAGAACUCGCAGUUAAGCGUGCUUGGGCGAGAGUAGUACUAGGAUGGGUGACCUCCUGGGAAGUCCUUGUGUUGCACCUCUUUUUGCCAAAAUUUCGUGUUCUUUUUGUUAAUUAGCGUAAUUUUACGUCGUUCCGUUAAUUUACGCUACCUAACACUCUAUUAGUUAAUUAAUUAGCGUAGUUUGACGUCUUUUUUGAAAAAUAAAUUAGAAAUGCAUAUAUACAAUUACAACGCUUUACUCUCAGGUGCGAUCAUACCAGCACUAAUGCACCGGAUCCCAUCAGAACUCCGCAGUUAAGCGUGCUUGGGCGAGAGUAGUACUAGGAUGGGUGACCUCCUGGGAAGUCCUUGUGUUGCACCUCUUUUUGCCAAAAUUUCGUGUUCUUUUUGUUAAUUAGCGUAAUUUUACGUCGUUUUUGAAAAAUAAACUUCGAUUGUAUUUCAUUUUUUCCGUUAAUUUACGCUACCUAACACUCUAUUAGUUAAUUAAUUAGCGUAGUUUGACGUCUUUUUUGAAAAAUAAAUUAGAAAUGCAUAUAUACAAUUACAACGCUUUACUCUCAGGUGCGAUCAUACCAGCACUAAUGCACCGGAUCCCAUCAGAACUCCGCAGUUAAGCGUGCUUGGGCGAGAGUAGUACUAGGAUGGGUGACCUCCUGGGAAGUCCUUGUGUUGCACCUCUUUUUGCCAAAAUUUCGUGUUCUUUUUGUUAAUUAGCGUAAUUUUACGUCGUUCCGUUAAUUUACGCUACCUAACACUCUAUUAGUUAAUUAAUUAGCGUAGUUUGACGUCUUUUUUGAAAAAUAAAUUAGAAAUGCAUAUAUACAAUUACAACGCUUUACUCUCAGGUGCGAUCAUACCAGCACUAAUGCACCGGAUCCCAUCAGAACUCCGCAGUUAAGCGUGCUUGGGCGAGAGUAGUACUAGGAUGGGUGACCUCCUGGGAAGUCCUUGUGUUGCACCUCUUUUUGCCAAAAUUUCGUGUUCUUUUUGUUAAUUAGCGUAAUUUUACGUCGUUCCGUUAAUUUACGCUACCUAACACUCUAUUAGUUAAUUAAUUAGCGUAGUUUGACGUCUUUUUUGAAAAAUAAAUUAGAAAUGCAUAUAUACAAUUACAACGCUUUACUCUCAGGUGCGAUCAUACCAGCACUAAUGCACCGGAUCCCAUCAGAACUCCGCAGUUAAGCGUGCUUGGGCGAGAGAGUACUAGGAUGGGUGACCUCCUGGGAAGUCCUUGUGUUGCACCUCUUUUUGCCAAAAUUUCGUGUUCUUUUUGUUAAUUAGCGUAAUUUUACGUCGUUGUCCGAUGUAUUAUCGUUUACGCUACCUAACACUCUAUUAGUUAAUUAAUUAGCGUAGUUUGACGUCUUUUUUGAAAAAUAAAUUAGAAAUGCAUAUAUACAAUUACAACGCUUUACUCUCAGGUGCGAUCAUACCAGCACUAAUGCACCGGAUCCCAUCAGAACUCCGCAGUUAAGCGUGCUUGGGCGAGAGUAGUACUAGGAUGGGUGACCUCCUGGGAAGUCCUUGUGUUGCACCUCUUUUUGCCAAAAUUUCGUGUUCUUUUUGUUAAUUAGCGUAAUUUUACGUCGUUCCGUUAAUUUACGCUACCUAACACUCUAUUAGUUAAUUAAUUAGCGUAGUUUGACGUCUUUUUUGAAAAAUAAAUUAGAAAUGCAUAUAUACAAUUACAACGCUUUACUCUCAGGUGCGAUCAUACCAGCACUAAUGCACCGGAUCCCAUCAGAACUCCGCAGUUAAGCGUGCUUGGGCGAGAGUAGUACUAGGAUGGGUGACCUCCUGGGAAGUCCUUGUGUUGCACCUCUUUUUGCCAAAAUUUCGUGUUCUUUUUGUUAAUUAGCGUAAUUUUACGUCGUUUUUGAAAAAUAAACUUCGAUUGUAUUUCAUUUUUUCCGUUAAUUUACGCUACCUAACACUCUAUUAGUUAAUUAAUUAGCGUAGUUUGACGUCUUUUUUGAAAAAUAAAUUAGAAAUGCAUAUAUACAAUUACAACGCUUUACUCUCAGGUGCGAUCAUACCAGCACUAAUGCACCGGAUCCCAUCAGAACUCCGCAGUUAAGCGUGCUUGGGCGAGAGUAGUACUAGGAUGGGUGACCUCCUGGGAAGUCCUUGUGUUGCACCUCUUUUUGCCAAAAUUUCGUGUUCUUUUUGUUAAUUAGCGUAAUUUUACGUCGUUCCGUUAAUUUACGCUACCUAACACUCUAUUAGUUAAUUAAUUAGCGUAGUUUGACGUCUUUUUUGAAAAAUAAAUUAGAAAUGCAUAUAUACAAUUACAACGCUUUACUCUCAGGUGCGAUCAUACCAGCACUAAUGCACCGGAUCCCAUCAGAACUCCGCAGUUAAGCGUGCUUGGGCGAGAGUAGUACUAGGAUGGGUGACCUCCUGGGAAGUCCUUGUGUUGCACCUCUUUUUGCCAAAAUUUCGUGUUCUUUUUGUUAAUUAGCGUAAUUUUACGUCGUUCCGUUAAUUUACGCUACCUAACACUCUAUUAGUUAAUUAAUUAGCGUAGUUUGACGUCUUUUUUGAAAAAUAAAUUAGAAAUGCAUAUAUACAAUUACAACGCUUUACUCUCAGGUGCGAUCAUACCAGCACUAAUGCACCGGAUCCCAUCAGAACUCCGCAGUUAAGCGUGCUUGGGCGAGAGUAGUACUAGGAUGGGUGACCUCCUGGGAAGUCCUUGUGUUGCACCUCUUUUUGCCAAAAUUUCGUGUUCUUUUUGUUAAUUAGCGUAAUUUUACGUCGUUCCGUUAAUUUACGCUACCUAACACUCUAUUAGUUAAUUAAUUAGCGUAGUUUGACGUCUUUUUUGAAAAAUAAAUUAGAAAUGCAUAUAUACAAUUACAACGCUUUACUCUCAGGUGCGAUCAUACCAGCACUAAUGCACCGGAUCCCAUCAGAACUCCGCAGUUAAGCGUGCUUGGGCGAGAGUAGUACUAGGAUGGGUGACCUCCUGGGAAGUCCUUGUGUUGCACCUCUUUUUGCCAAAAUUUCGUGUUCUUUUUGUUAAUUAGCGUAAUUUUACGUCGUUCCGUUAAUUUACGCUACCUAACACUCUAUUAGUUAAUUAAUUAGCGUAGUUUGACGUCUUUUUUGAAAAAUAAAUUAGAAAUGCAUAUAUACAAUUACAACGCUUUACUCUCAGGUGCGAUCAUACCAGCACUAAUGCACCGGAUCCCAUCAGAACUCCGCAGUUAAGCGUGCUUGGGCGAGAGUAGUACUAGGAUGGGUGACCUCCUGGGAAGUCCUUGUGUUGCACCUCUUUUUGCCAAAAUUUCGUGUUCUUUUUGUUAAUUAGCGUAAUUUUACGUCGUUUUUGAAAAAUAAACUUCGAUUGUAUUUCAUUUUUUCCGUUAAUUUACGCUACCUAACACUCUAUUAGUUAAUUAAUUAGCGUAGUUUGACGUCUUUUUUGAAAAAUAAAUUAGAAAUGCAUAUAUACAAUUACAACGCUUUACUCUCAGGUGCGAUCAUACCAGCACUAAUGCACCGGAUCCCAUCAGAACUCCGCAGUUAAGCGUGCUUGGGCGAGAGUAGUACUAGGAUGGGUGACCUCCUGGGAAGUCCUUGUGUUGCACCUCUUUUUGCCAAAAUUUCGUGUUCUUUUUGUUAAUUAGCGUAAUUUUACGUCGUUCCGUUAAUUUACGCUACCUAACACUCUAUUAGUUAAUUAAUUAGCGUAGUUUGACGUCUUUUUUGAAAAAUAAAUUAGAAAUGCAUAUAUACAAUUACAACGCUUUACUCUCAGGUGCGAUCAUACCAGCACUAAUGCACCGGAUCCCAUCAGAACUCCGCAGUUAAGCGUGCUUGGGCGAGAGUAGUACUAGGAUGGGUGACCUCCUGGGAAGUCCUUGUGUUGCACCUCUUUUUGCCAAAAUUUCGUGUUCUUUUUGUUAAUUAGCGUAAUUUUACGUCGUUCCGUUAAUUUACGCUACCUAACACUCUAUUAGUUAAUUAAUUAGCGUAGUUUGACGUCUUUUUUGAAAAAUAAAUUAGAAAUGCAUAUAUACAAUUACAACGCUUUACUCUCAGGUGCGAUCAUACCAGCACUAAUGCACCGGAUCCCAUCAGAACUCCGCAGUUAAGCGUGCUUGGGCGAGAGUAGUACUAGGAUGGGUGACCUCCUGGGAAGUCCUUGUGUUGCACCUCUUUUUGCCAAAAUUUCGUGUUCUUUUUGUUAAUUAGCGUAAUUUUACGUCGUUCCGUUAAUUUACGCUACCUAACACUCUAUUAGUUAAUUAAUUAGCGUAGUUUGACGUCUUUUUUGAAAAAUAAAUUAGAAAUGCAUAUAUACAAUUACAACGCUUUACUCUCAGGUGCGAUCAUACCAGCACUAAUGCACCGGAUCCCAUCAGAACUCCGCAGUUAAGCGUGCUUGGGCGAGAGUAGUACUAGGAUGGGUGACCUCCUGGGAAGUCCUUGUGUUGCACCUCUUUUUGCCAAAAUUUCGUGUUCUUUUUGUUAAUUAGCGUAAUUUUACGUCGUUUUUGAAAAAUAAACUUCGAUUGUUUCAUUUUUUCCGUUAAUUUACGCUACCUAACACUCUAUUAGUUAAUUAAUUAGCGUAGUUUGACGUCUUUUUUGAAAAAUAAAUUAGAAAUGCAUAUAUACAAUUACAACGCUUUACUCUCAGGUGCGAUCAUACCAGCACUAAUGCACCGGAUCCCAUCAGAACUCCGCAGUUAAGCGUGCUUGGGCGAGAGUAGUACUAGGAUGGGUGACCUCCUGGGAAGUCCUUGUGUUGCACCUCUUUUUGCCAAAAUUUCGUGUUCUUUUUGUUAAUUAGCGUAAUUUUACGUCGUUCCGUUAAUUUACGCUACCUAACACUCUAUUAGUUAAUUAAUUAGCGUAGUUUGACGUCUUUUUGAAAAAUAAAUUAGAAAUGCAUAUAUACAAUUACAACGCUUUACUCUCAGGUGCGAUCAUACCAGCACUAAUGCACCGGAUCCCAUCAGAACUCCGCAGUUAAGCGUGCUUGGGCGAGAGUAGUACUAGGAUGGGUGACCUCCUGGGAAGUCCUUGUGUUGCACCUCUUUUUGCCAAAAUUUCGUGUUCUUUUUGUUAAUUAGCGUAAUUUUACGUCGUUCCGUUAAUUUACGCUACCUAACACUCUAUUAGUUAAUUAAUUAGCGUAGUUUGACGUCUUUUUUGAAAAAUAAAUUAGAAAUGCAUAUAUACAAUUACAACGCUUUACUCUCAGGUGCGAUCAUACCAGCACUAAUGCACCGGAUCCCAUCAGAACUCCGCAGUUAAGCGUGCUUGGGCGAGAGUAGUACUAGGAUGGGUGACCUCCUGGGAAGUCCUUGUGUUGCACCUCUUUUUGCCAAAAUUUCGUGUUCUUUUUGUUAAUUAGCGUAAUUUUACGUCGUUCCGUUAAUUUACGCUACCUAACACUCUAUUAGUUAAUUAAUUAGCGUAGUUUGACGUCUUUUUUGAAAAAUAAAUUAGAAAUGCAUAUAUACAAUUACAACGCUUUACUCUCAGGUGCGAUCAUACCAGCACUAAUGCACCGGAUCCCAUCAGAACUCCGCAGUUAAGCGUGCUUGGGCGAGAGUAGUACUAGGAUGGGUGACCUCCUGGGAAGUCCUUGUGUUGCACCUCUUUUUGCCAAAAUUUCGUGUUCUUUUUGUUAAUUAGCGUAAUUUUACGUCGUUCCGUUAAUUUACGCUACCUAACACUCUAUUAGUUAAUUAAUUAGCGUAGUUUGACGUCUUUUUUGAAAAAUAAAUUAGAAAUGCAUAUAUACAAUUACAACGCUUUACUCUCAGGUGCGAUCAUACCAGCACUAAUGCACCGGAUCCCAUCAGAACUCCGCAGUUAAGCGUGCUUGGGCGAGAGUAGUACUAGGAUGGGUGACCUCCUGGGAAGUCCUUGUGUUGCACCUCUUUUUGCCAAAAUUUCGUGUUCUUUUUGUUAAUUAGCGUAAUUUUACGUCGUUCCGUUAAUUUACGCUACCUAACACUCUAUUAGUUAAUUAAUUAGCGUAGUUUGACGUCUUUUUUGAAAAAUAAAUUAGAAAUGCAUAUAUACAAUUACAACGCUUUACUCUCAGGUGCGAUCAUACCAGCACUAAUGCACCGGAUCCCAUCAGAACUCCGCAGUUAAGCGUGCUUGGGCGAGAGUAGUACUAGGAUGGGUGACCUCCUGGGAAGUCCUUGUGUUGCACCUCUUUUUGCCAAAAUUUCGUGUUCUUUUUGUUAAUUAGCGUAAUUUUACGUCGUUUUUGAAAAUAAACUUCGAUUGUAUUUCAUUUUUCCGUUAAUUUACGCUACCUAACACUCUAUUAGUUAAUUAAUUAGCGUAGUUUGACGUCUUUUUUGAAAAAUAAAUUAGAAAUGCAUAUAUACAAUUACAACGCUUUACUCUCAGGUGCGAUCAUACCAGCACUAAUGCACCGGAUCCCAUCAGAACUCCGCAGUUAAGCGUGCUUGGGCGAGAGUAGUACUAGGAUGGGUGACCUCCUGGGAAGUCCUUGUGUUGCACCUCUUUUUGCCAAAAUUUCGUGUUCUUUUUGUUAAUUAGCGUAAUUUUACGUCGUUCCGUUAAUUUACGCUACCUAACACUCUAUUAGUUAAUUAAUUAGCGUAGUUUGACGUCUUUUUUGAAAAAUAAAUUAGAAAUGCAUAUAUACAAUUACAACGCUUUACUCUCAGGUGCGAUCAUACCAGCACUAAUGCACCGGAUCCCAUCAGAACUCCGCAGUUAAGCGUGCUUGGGCGAGAGAGUACUAGGAUGGGUGACCUCCUGGGAAGUCCUUGUGUUGCACCUCUUUUUGCCAAAAUUUCGUGUUCUUUUUGUUAAUUAGCGUAAUUUUACGUCGUUUUUGAAAAAUAACUUCGAUUGUAUUUCAUUUUUCCGUUAAUUUACGCUACCUAACACUCUAUUAGUUAAUUAAUUAGCGUAGUUUGACGUCUUUUUUGAAAAAUAAAUUAGAAAUGCAUAUAUACAAUUACAACGCUUUACUCUCAGGUGCGAUCAUACCAGCACUAAUGCACCGGAUCCCAUCAGAACUCCGCAGUUAAGCGUGCUUGGGCGAGAGUAGUACUAGGAUGGGUGACCUCCUGGGAAGUCCUUGUGUUGCACCUCUUUUUGCCAAAAUUUCGUGUUCUUUUUGUUAAUUAGCGUAAUUUUACGUCGUUCCGUUAAUUUACGCUACCUAACACUCUAUUAGUUAAUUAAUUAGCGUAGUUUGACGUCUUUUUUGAAAAAUAAAUUAGAAAUGCAUAUAUACAAUUACAACGCUUUACUCUCAGGUGCGAUCAUACCAGCACUAAUGCACCGGAUCCCAUCAGAACUCCGCAGUUAAGCGUGCUUGGGCGAGAGUAGUACUAGGAUGGGUGACCUCCUGGGAAGUCCUUGUGUUGCACCUCUUUUUGCCAAAAUUUCGUGUUCUUUUUGUUAAUUAGCGUAAUUUUACGUCGUUUUUGAAAAAUAAACUUCGAUUGUAUUUCAUUUUUUCCGUUAAUUUACGCUACCUAACACUCUAUUAGUUAAUUAAUUAGCGUAGUUUGACGUCUUUUUUGAAAAAUAAAUUAGAAAUGCAUAUAUACAAUUACAACGCUUUACUCUCAGGUGCGAUCAUACCAGCACUAAUGCACCGGAUCCCAUCAGAACUCCGCAGUUAAGCGUGCUUGGGCGAGAGUAGUACUAGGAUGGGUGACCUCCUGGGAAGUCCUUGUGUUGCACCUCUUUUUGCCAAAAUUUCGUGUUCUUUUUGUUAAUUAGCGUAAUUUUACGUCGUUCCGUUAAUUUACGCUACCUAACACUCUAUUAGUUAAUUAAUUAGCGUAGUUUGACGUCUUUUUUGAAAAAUAAAUUAGAAAUGCAUAUAUACAAUUACAACGCUUUACUCUCAGGUGCGAUCAUACCAGCACUAAUGCACCGGAUCCCAUCAGAACUCCGCAGUUAAGCGUGCUUGGGCGAGAGUAGUACUAGGAUGGGUGACCUCCUGGGAAGUCCUUGUGUUGCACCUCUUUUUGCCAAAAUUUCGUGUUCUUUUUGUUAAUUAGCGUAAUUUUACGUCGUUCCGUUAAUUUACGCUACCUAACACUCUAUUAGUUAAUUAAUUAGCGUAGUUUGACGUCUUUUUUGAAAAAUAAAUUAGAAAUGCAUAUAUACAAUUACAACGCUUUACUCUCAGGUGCGAUCAUACCAGCACUAAUGCACCGGAUCCCAUCAGAACUCCGCAGUUAAGCGUGCUUGGGCGAGAGUAGUACUAGGAUGGGUGACCUCCUGGGAAGUCCUUGUGUUGCACCUCUUUUUGCCAAAAUUUCGUGUUCUUUUUGUUAAUUAGCGUAAUUUUACGUCGUUCCGUUAAUUUACGCUACCUAACACUCUAUUAGUUAAUUAAUUAGCGUAGUUUGACGUCUUUUUUGAAAAAUAAAUUAGAAAUGCAUAUAUACAAUUACAACGCUUUACUCUCAGGUGCGAUCAUACCAGCACUAAUGCACCGGAUCCCAUCAGAACUCCGCAGUUAAGCGUGCUUGGGCGAGAGUAGUACUAGGAUGGGUGACCUCCUGGGAAGUCCUUGUGUUGCACCUCUUUUUGCCAAAAUUUCGUGUUCUUUUUGUUAAUUAGCGUAAUUUUACGUCGUUUUUGAAAAAUAAACUUCGAUUGUAUUUCAUUUUUCCGUUAAUUUACGCUACCUAACACUCUAUUAGUUAAUUAAUUAGCGUAGUUUGACGUCUUUUUUGAAAAAUAAAUUAGAAAUGCAUAUAUACAAUUACAACGCUUUACUCUCAGGUGCGAUCAUACCAGCACUAAUGCACCGGAUCCCAUCAGAACUCCGCAGUUAAGCGUGCUUGGGCGAGAGUAGUACUAGGAUGGGUGACCUCCUGGGAAGUCCUUGUGUUGCACCUCUUUUUGCCAAAAUUUCGUGUUCUUUUUGUUAAUUAGCGUAAUUUUACGUCGUUUUUGAAAAAUAAACUUCGAUUGUAUUUCAUUUUUUCCGUUAAUUUACGCUACCUAACACUCUAUUAGUUAAUUAAUUAGCGUAGUUUGACGUCUUUUUUGAAAAAUAAAUUAGAAAUGCAUAUAUACAAUUACAACGCUUUACUCUCAGGUGCGAUCAUACCAGCACUAAUGCACCGGAUCCCAUCAGAACUCCGCAGUUAAGCGUGCUUGGGCGAGAGUAGUACUAGGAUGGGUGACCUCCUGGGAAGUCCUUGUGUUGCACCUCUUUUUGCCAAAAUUUCGUGUUCUUUUUGUUAAUUAGCGUAAUUUUACGUCGUUCCGUUAAUUUACGCUACCUAACACUCUAUUAGUUAAUUAAUUAGCGUAGUUUGACGUCUUUUUUGAAAAAUAAAUUAGAAAUGCAUAUAUACAAUUACAACGCUUUACUCUCAGGUGCGAUCAUACCAGCACUAAUGCACCGGAUCCCAUCAGAACUCCGCAGUUAAGCGUGCUUGGGCGAGAGUAGUACUAGGAUGGGUGACCUCCUGGGAAGUCCUUGUGUUGCACCUCUUUUUGCCAAAAUUUCGUGUUCUUUUUGUUAAUUAGCGUAAUUUUACGUCGUUUUUGAAAAUAAACUUCGAUUGUAUUUCAUUUUUCCGUUAAUUUACGCUACCUAACACUCUAUUAGUUAAUUAAUUAGCGUAGUUUGACGUCUUUUUUGAAAAAUAAAUUAGAAAUGCAUAUAUACAAUUACAACGCUUUACUCUCAGGUGCGAUCAUACCAGCACUAAUGCACCGGAUCCCAUCAGAACUCCGCAGUUAAGCGUGCUUGGGCGAGAGUAGUACUAGGAUGGGUGACCUCCUGGGAAGUCCUUGUGUUGCACCUCUUUUUGCCAAAAUUUCGUGUUCUUUUUGUUAAUUAGCGUAAUUUUACGUCGUUCCGUUAAUUUACGCUACCUAACACUCUAUUAGUUAAUUAAUUAGCGUAGUUUGACGUCUUUUUUGAAAAAUAAAUUAGAAAUGCAUAUAUACAAUUACAACGCUUUACUCUCAGGUGCGAUCAUACCAGCACUAAUGCACCGGAUCCCAUCAGAACUCCGCAGUUAAGCGUGCUUGGGCGAGAGUAGUACUAGGAUGGGUGACCUCCUGGGAAGUCCUUGUGUUGCACCUCUUUUUGCCAAAAUUUCGUGUUCUUUUUGUUAAUUAGCGUAAUUUUACGUCGUUUUUGAAAAAUAAACUUCGAUUGUAUUUCAUUUUUUCCGUUAAUUUACGCUACCUAACACUCUAUUAGUUAAUUAAUUAGCGUAGUUUGACGUCUUUUUUGAAAAAUAAAUUAGAAAUGCAUAUAUACAAUUACAACGCUUUACUCUCAGGUGCGAUCAUACCAGCACUAAUGCACCGGAUCCCAUCAGAACUCCGCAGUUAAGCGUGCUUGGGCGAGAGUAGUACUAGGAUGGGUGACCUCCUGGGAAGUCCUUGUGUUGCACCUCUUUUUGCCAAAAUUUCGUGUUCUUUUUGUUAAUUAGCGUAAUUUUACGUCGUUCCGUUAAUUUACGCUACCUAACACUCUAUUAGUUAAUUAAUUAGCGUAGUUUGACGUCUUUUUUGAAAAUAAAUUAGAAAUGCAUAUAUACAAUUACAACGCUUUACUCUCAGGUGCGAUCAUACCAGCACUAAUGCACCGGAUCCCAUCAGAACUCCGCAGUUAAGCGUGCUUGGGCGAGAGUAGUACUAGGAUGGGUGACCUCCUGGGAAGUCCUUGUGUUGCACCUCUUUUUGCCAAAAUUUCGUGUUCUUUUUGUUAAUUAGCGUAAUUUUACGUCGUUUUUGAAAUAACUUCGAUGUAUUUAUUUUUUCCGUAUUUACCUAACACUCUAUUAGUUAAUUAAUUAGCGUAGUUUGACGUCUUUUUUGAAAAAUAAAUUAGAAAUGCAUAUAUACAAUUACAACGCUUUACUCUCAGGUGCGAUCAUACCAGCACUAAUGCACCGGAUCCCAUCAGAACUCCGCAGUUAAGCGUGCUUGGGCGAGAGUAGUACUAGGAUGGGUGACCUCCUGGGAAGUCCUUGUGUUGCACCUCUUUUUGCCAAAAUUUCGUGUUCUUUUUGUUAAUUAGCGUAAUUUUACGUCGUUCCGUUAAUUUACGCUACCUAACACUCUAUUAGUUAAUUAAUUAGCGUAGUUUGACGUCUUUUUUGAAAAAUAAAUUAGAAAUGCAUAUAUACAAUUACAACGCUUUACUCUCAGGUGCGAUCAUACCAGCACUAAUGCACCGGAUCCCAUCAGAACUCCGCAGUUAAGCGUGCUUGGGCGAGAGUAGUACUAGGAUGGGUGACCUCCUGGGAAGUCCUUGUGUUGCACCUCUUUUUGCCAAAAUUUCGUGUUCUUUUUGUUAAUUAGCGUAAUUUUACGUCGUUCCGUUAAUUUACGCUACCUAACACUCUAUUAGUUAAUUAAUUAGCGUAGUUUGACGUCUUUUUUGAAAAAUAAAUUAGAAAUGCAUAUAUACAAUUACAACGCUUUACUCUCAGGUGCGAUCAUACCAGCACUAAUGCACCGGAUCCCAUCAGAACUCCGCAGUUAAGCGUGCUUGGCGAGAGUAGUACUAGGAUGGGUGACCUCCUGGGAAGUCCUUGUGUUGCACCUCUUUUUGCCAAAAUUUCGUGUUCUUUUUGUUAAUUAGCGUAAUUUUACGUCGUUUUUGAAAAAUAAACUUCGAUUGUAUUUCAUUUUUUCCGUUAAUUUACGCUACCUAACACUCUAUUAGUUAAUUAAUUAGCGUAGUUUGACGUCUUUUUUGAAAAAUAAAUUAGAAAUGCAUAUAUACAAUUACAACGCUUUACUCUCAGGUGCGAUCAUACCAGCACUAAUGCACCGGAUCCCAUCAGAACUCCGCAGUUAAGCGUGCUUGGGCGAGAGUAGUACUAGGAUGGGUGACCUCCUGGGAAGUCCUUGUGUUGCACCUCUUUUUGCCAAAAUUUCGUGUUCUUUUUGUUAAUUAGCGUAAUUUUACGUCGUUCCGUUAAUUUACGCUACCUAACACUCUAUUAGUUAAUUAAUUAGCGUAGUUUGACGUCUUUUUUGAAAAAUAAAUUAGAAAUGCAUAUAUACAAUUACAACGCUUUACUCUCAGGUGCGAUCAUACCAGCACUAAUGCACCGGAUCCCAUCAGAACUCCGCAGUUAAGCGUGCUUGGGCGAGAGUAGUACUAGGAUGGGUGACCUCCUGGGAAGUCCUUGUGUUGCACCUCUUUUUGCCAAAAUUUCGUGUUCUUUUUGUUAAUUAGCGUAAUUUUACGUCGUUCCGUUAAUUUACGCUACCUAACACUCUAUUAGUUAAUUAAUUAGCGUAGUUUGACGUCUUUUUUGAAAAAUAAAUUAGAAAUGCAUAUAUACAAUUACAACGCUUUACUCUCAGGUGCGAUCAUACCAGCACUAAUGCACCGGAUCCCAUCAGAACUCCGCAGUUAAGCGUGCUUGGGCGAGAGUAGUACUAGGAUGGGUGACCUCCUGGGAAGUCCUUGUGUUGCACCUCUUUUUGCCAAAAUUUCGUGUUCUUUUUGUUAAUUAGCGUAAUUUUACGUCGUUCCGUUAAUUUACGCUACCUAACACUCUAUUAGUUAAUUAAUUAGCGUAGUUUGACGUCUUUUUUGAAAAAUAAAUUAGAAAUGCAUAUAUACAAUUACAACGCUUUACUCUCAGGUGCGAUCAUACCAGCACUAAUGCACCGGAUCCCAUCAGAACUCCGCAGUUAAGCGUGCUUGGGCGAGAGUAGUACUAGGAUGGGUGACCUCCUGGGAAGUCCUUGUGUUGCACCUCUUUUUGCCAAAAUUUCGUGUUCUUUUUGUUAAUUAGCGUAAUUUUACGUCGUUUUUGAAAAAUAAACUUCGAUUGUAUUUCAUUUUUCCGUUAAUUUACGCUACCUAACACUCUAUUAGUUAAUUAAUUAGCGUAGUUUGACGUCUUUUUUGAAAAAUAAAUUAGAAAUGCAUAUAUACAAUUACAACGCUUUACUCUCAGGUGCGAUCAUACCAGCACUAAUGCACCGGAUCCCAUCAGAACUCCGCAGUUAAGCGUGCUUGGGCGAGAGUAGUACUAGGAUGGGUGACCUCCUGGGAAGUCCUUGUGUUGCACCUCUUUUUGCCAAAAUUUCGUGUUCUUUUUGUUAAUUAGCGUAAUUUUACGUCGUUCCGUUAAUUUACGCUACCUAACACUCUAUUAGUUAAUUAAUUAGCGUAGUUUGACGUCUUUUUUGAAAAAUAAAUUAGAAAUGCAUAUAUACAAUUACAACGCUUUACUCUCAGGUGCGAUCAUACCAGCACUAAUGCACCGGAUCCCAUCAGAACUCCGCAGUUAAGCGUGCUUGGGCGAGAGUAGUACUAGGAUGGGUGACCUCCUGGGAAGUCCUUGUGUUGCACCUCUUUUUGCCAAAAUUUCGUGUUCUUUUUGUUAAUUAGCGUAAUUUUACGUCGUUCCGUUAAUUUACGCUACCUAACACUCUAUUAGUUAAUUAAUUAGCGUAGUUUGACGUCUUUUUUGAAAAAUAAAUUAGAAAUGCAUAUAUACAAUUACAACGCUUUACUCUCAGGUGCGAUCAUACCAGCACUAAUGCACCGGAUCCCAUCAGAACUCCGCAGUUAAGCGUGCUUGGGCGAGAGUAGUACUAGGAUGGGUGACCUCCUGGGAAGUCCUUGUGUUGCACCUCUUUUUGCCAAAAUUUCGUGUUCUUUUUGUUAAUUAGCGUAAUUUUACGUCGUUCCGUUAAUUUACGCUACCUAACACUCUAUUAGUUAAUUAAUUAGCGUAGUUUGACGUCUUUUUUGAAAAAUAAAUUAGAAAUGCAUAUAUACAAUUACAACGCUUUACUCUCAGGUGCGAUCAUACCAGCACUAAUGCACCGGAUCCCAUCAGAACUCCGCAGUUAAGCGUGCUUGGGCGAGAGUAGUACUAGGAUGGGUGACCUCCUGGGAAGUCCUUGUGUUGCACCUCUUUUUGCCAAAAUUUCGUGUUCUUUUUGUUAAUUAGCGUAAUUUUACGUCGUUCCGUUAAUUUACGCUACCUAACACUCUAUUAGUUAAUUAAUUAGCGUAGUUUGACGUCUUUUUUGAAAAAUAAAUUAGAAAUGCAUAUAUACAAUUACAACGCUUUACUCUCAGGUGCGAUCAUACCAGCACUAAUGCACCGGAUCCCAUCAGAACUCCGCAGUUAAGCGUGCUUGGGCGAGAGUAGUACUAGGAUGGGUGACCUCCUGGGAAGUCCUUGUGUUGCACCUCUUUUUGCCAAAAUUUCGUGUUCUUUUUGUUAAUUAGCGUAAUUUUACGUCGUUCCGUUAAUUUACGCUACCUAACACUCUAUUAGUUAAUUAAUUAGCGUAGUUUGACGUCUUUUUUGAAAAAUAAAUUAGAAAUGCAUAUAUACAAUUACAACGCUUUACUCUCAGGUGCGAUCAUACCAGCACUAAUGCACCGGAUCCCAUCAGAACUCCGCAGUUAAGCGUGCUUGGGCGAGAGUAGUACUAGGAUGGGUGACCUCCUGGGAAGUCCUUGUGUUGCACCUCUUUUUGCCAAAAUUUCGUGUUCUUUUUGUUAAUUAGCGUAAUUUUACGUCGUUCCGUUAAUUUACGCUACCUAACACUCUAUUAGUUAAUUAAUUAGCGUAGUUUGACGUCUUUUUUGAAAAAUAAAUUAGAAAUGCAUAUAUACAAUUACAACGCUUUACUCUCAGGUGCGAUCAUACCAGCACUAAUGCACCGGAUCCCAUCAGAACUCCGCAGUUAAGCGUGCUUGGGCGAGAGUAGUACUAGGAUGGGUGACCUCCUGGGAAGUCCUUGUGUUGCACCUCUUUUUGCCAAAAUUUCGUGUUCUUUUUGUUAAUUAGCGUAAUUUUACGUCGUUCCGUUAAUUUACGCUACCUAACACUCUAUUAGUUAAUUAAUUAGCGUAGUUUGACGUCUUUUUUGAAAAAUAAAUUAGAAAUGCAUAUAUACAAUUACAACGCUUUACUCUCAGGUGCGAUCAUACCAGCACUAAUGCACCGGAUCCCAUCAGAACUCCGCAGUUAAGCGUGCUUGGGCGAGAGUAGUACUAGGAUGGGUGACCUCCUGGGAAGUCCUUGUGUUGCACCUCUUUUUGCCAAAAUUUCGUGUUCUUUUUGUUAAUUAGCGUAAUUUUACGUCGUUCCGUUAAUUUACGCUACCUAACACUCUAUUAGUUAAUUAAUUAGCGUAGUUUGACGUCUUUUUUGAAAAAUAAAUUAGAAAUGCAUAUAUACAAUUACAACGCUUUACUCUCAGGUGCGAUCAUACCAGCACUAAUGCACCGGAUCCCAUCAGAACUCCGCAGUUAAGCGUGCUUGGGCGAGAGUAGUACUAGGAUGGGUGACCUCCUGGGAAGUCCUUGUGUUGCACCUCUUUUUGCCAAAAUUUCGUGUUCUUUUUGUUAAUUAGCGUAAUUUUACGUCGUUCCGUUAAUUUACGCUACCUAACACUCUAUUAGUUAAUUAAUUAGCGUAGUUUGACGUCUUUUUUGAAAAAUAAAUUAGAAAUGCAUAUAUACAAUUACAACGCUUUACUCUCAGGUGCGAUCAUACCAGCACUAAUGCACCGGAUCCCAUCAGAACUCCGCAGUUAAGCGUGCUUGGGCGAGAGUAGUACUAGGAUGGGUGACCUCCUGGGAAGUCCUUGUGUUGCACCUCUUUUUGCCAAAAUUUCGUGUUCUUUUUGUUAAUUAGCGUAAUUUUACGUCGUUCCGUUAAUUUACGCUACCUAACACUCUAUUAGUUAAUUAAUUAGCGUAGUUUGACGUCUUUUUUGAAAAAUAAAUUAGAAAUGCAUAUAUACAAUUACAACGCUUUACUCUCAGGUGCGAUCAUACCAGCACUAAUGCACCGGAUCCCAUCAGAACUCCGCAGUUAAGCGUGCUUGGGCGAGAGUAGUACUAGGAUGGGUGACCUCCUGGGAAGUCCUUGUGUUGCACCUCUUUUUGCCAAAAUUUCGUGUUCUUUUUGUUAAUUAGCGUAAUUUUACGUCGUUCCGUUAAUUUACGCUACCUAACACUCUAUUAGUUAAUUAAUUAGCGUAGUUUGACGUCUUUUUUGAAAAAUAAAUUAGAAAUGCAUAUAUACAAUUACAACGCUUUACUCUCAGGUGCGAUCAUACCAGCACUAAUGCACCGGAUCCCAUCAGAACUCCGCAGUUAAGCGUGCUUGGGCGAGAGUAGUACUAGGAUGGGUGACCUCCUGGGAAGUCCUUGUGUUGCACCUCUUUUUGCCAAAAUUUCGUGUUCUUUUUGUUAAUUAGCGUAAUUUUACGUCGUUUUUGAAAUAAACUUCGAUUGUAUUUCAUUUUUCCGUUAAUUUACGCUACCUAACACUCUAUUAGUUAAUUAAUUAGCGUAGUUUGACGUCUUUUUUGAAAAAUAAAUUAGAAAUGCAUAUAUACAAUUACAACGCUUUACUCUCAGGUGCGAUCAUACCAGCACUAAUGCACCGGAUCCCAUCAGAACUCCGCAGUUAAGCGUGCUUGGGCGAGAGUAGUACUAGGAUGGGUGACCUCCUGGGAAGUCCUUGUGUUGCACCUCUUUUUGCCAAAAUUUCGUGUUCUUUUUGUUAAUUAGCGUAAUUUUACGUCGUUCCGUUAAUUUACGCUACCUAACACUCUAUUAGUUAAUUAAUUAGCGUAGUUUGACGUCUUUUUUGAAAAAUAAAUUAGAAAUGCAUAUAUACAAUUACAACGCUUUACUCUCAGGUGCGAUCAUACCAGCACUAAUGCACCGGAUCCCAUCAGAACUCCGCAGUUAAGCGUGCUUGGGCGAGAGUAGUACUAGGAUGGGUGACCUCCUGGGAAGUCCUUGUGUUGCACCUCUUUUUGCCAAAAUUUCGUGUUCUUUUUGUUAAUUAGCGUAAUUUUACGUCGUUCCGUUAAUUUACGCUACCUAACACUCUAUUAGUUAAUUAAUUAGCGUAGUUUGACGUCUUUUUUGAAAAAUAAAUUAGAAAUGCAUAUAUACAAUUACAACGCUUUACUCUCAGGUGCGAUCAUACCAGCACUAAUGCACCGGAUCCCAUCAGAACUCCGCAGUUAAGCGUGCUUGGGCGAGAGUAGUACUAGGAUGGGUGACCUCCUGGGAAGUCCUUGUGUUGCACCUCUUUUUGCCAAAAUUUCGUGUUCUUUUUGUUAAUUAGCGUAAUUUUACGUCGUUCCGUUAAUUUACGCUACCUAACACUCUAUUAGUUAAUUAAUUAGCGUAGUUUGACGUCUUUUUUGAAAAAUAAAUUAGAAAUGCAUAUAUACAAUUACAACGCUUUACUCUCAGGUGCGAUCAUACCAGCACUAAUGCACCGGAUCCCAUCAGAACUCCGCAGUUAAGCGUGCUUGGGCGAGAGUAGUACUAGGAUGGGUGACCUCCUGGGAAGUCCUUGUGUUGCACCUCUUUUUGCCAAAAUUUCGUGUUCUUUUUGUUAAUUAGCGUAAUUUUACGUCGUUUUGAAAAUAAACUUCGAUUGUAUUUCAUUUUUUCCGUUAAUUUACGCUACCUAACACUCUAUUAGUUAAUUAAUUAGCGUAGUUUGACGUCUUUUUUGAAAAAUAAAUUAGAAAUGCAUAUAUACAAUUACAACGCUUUACUCUCAGGUGCGAUCAUACCAGCACUAAUGCACCGGAUCCCAUCAGAACUCCGCAGUUAAGCGUGCUUGGGCGAGAGUAGUACUAGGAUGGGUGACCUCCUGGGAAGUCCUUGUGUUGCACCUCUUUUUGCCAAAAUUUCGUGUUCUUUUUGUUAAUUAGCGUAAUUUUACGUCGUUUUUGAAAAAUAAACUUCGAUUGUAUUUCAUUUUUUCCGUUAAUUUACGCUACCUAACACUCUAUUAGUUAAUUAAUUAGCGUAGUUUGACGUCUUUUUUGAAAAAUAAAUUAGAAAUGCAUAUAUACAAUUACAACGCUUUACUCUCAGGUGCGAUCAUACCAGCACUAAUGCACCGGAUCCCAUCAGAACUCCGCAGUUAAGCGUGCUUGGGCGAGAGUAGUACUAGGAUGGGUGACCUCCUGGGAAGUCCUUGUGUUGCACCUCUUUUUGCCAAAAUUUCGUGUUCUUUUUGUUAAUUAGCGUAAUUUUACGUCGUUCCGUUAAUUUACGCUACCUAACACUCUAUUAGUUAAUUAAUUAGCGUAGUUUGACGUCUUUUUUGAAAAAUAAAUUAGAAAUGCAUAUAUACAAUUACAACGCUUUACUCUCAGGUGCGAUCAUACCAGCACUAAUGCACCGGAUCCCAUCAGAACUCCGCAGUUAAGCGUGCUUGGGCGAGAGUAGUACUAGGAUGGGUGACCUCCUGGGAAGUCCUUGUGUUGCACCUCUUUUUGCCAAAAUUUCGUGUUCUUUUUGUUAAUUAGCGUAAUUUUACGUCGUUUUGAAAAUAACUUCGAUGUAUUUAUUUUUCCGUUAAUUUACGCUACCUAACACUCUAUUAGUUAAUUAAUUAGCGUAGUUUGACGUCUUUUUGAAAAUAAAUUAGAAAUGCAUAUAUACAAUUACAACGCUUUACUCUCAGGUGCGAUCAUACCAGCACUAAUGCACCGGAUCCCAUCAGAACUCCGCAGUUAAGCGUGCUUGGGCGAGAGUAGUACUAGGAUGGGUGACCUCCUGGGAAGUCCUUGUGUUGCACCUCUUUUUGCCAAAAUUUCGUGUUCUUUUUGUUAAUUAGCGUAAUUUUACGUCGUUCCGUUAAUUUACGCUACCUAACACUCUAUUAGUUAAUUAAUUAGCGUAGUUUGACGUCUUUUUUGAAAAAUAAAUUAGAAAUGCAUAUAUACAAUUACAACGCUUUACUCUCAGGUGCGAUCAUACCAGCACUAAUGCACCGGAUCCCAUCAGAACUCCGCAGUUAAGCGUGCUUGGGCGAGAGUAGUACUAGGAUGGGUGACCUCCUGGGAAGUCCUUGUGUUGCACCUCUUUUUGCCAAAAUUUCGUGUUCUUUUUGUUAAUUAGCGUAAUUUUACGUCGUUUUUGAAAAAUAAACUUCGAUUGUAUUUCAUUUUUUCCGUUAAUUUACGCUACCUAACACUCUAUUAGUUAAUUAAUUAGCGUAGUUUGACGUCUUUUUUGAAAAAUAAAUUAGAAAUGCAUAUAUACAAUUACAACGCUUUACUCUCAGGUGCGAUCAUACCAGCACUAAUGCACCGGAUCCAUCAGAACUCCGCAGUUAAGCGUGCUUGGGCGAGAGUAGUACUAGGAUGGGUGACCUCCUGGGAAGUCCUUGUGUUGCACCUCUUUUUGCCAAAAUUUCGUGUUCUUUUUGUUAAUUAGCGUAAUUUUACGUCGUUCCGUUAAUUUACGCUACCUAACACUCUAUUAGUUAAUUAAUUAGCGUAGUUUGACGUCUUUUUUGAAAAAUAAAUUAGAAAUGCAUAUAUACAAUUACAACGCUUUACUCUCAGGUGCGAUCAUACCAGCACUAAUGCACCGGAUCCCAUCAGAACUCCGCAGUUAAGCGUGCUUGGGCGAGAGUAGUACUAGGAUGGGUGACCUCCUGGGAAGUCCUUGUGUUGCACCUCUUUUUGCCAAAAUUUCGUGUUCUUUUUGUUAAUUAGCGUAAUUUUACGUCGUUCCGUUAAUUUACGCUACCUAACACUCUAUUAGUUAAUUAAUUAGCGUAGUUUGACGUCUUUUUUGAAAAAUAAAUUAGAAAUGCAUAUAUACAAUUACAACGCUUUACUCUCAGGUGCGAUCAUACCAGCACUAAUGCACCGGAUCCCAUCAGAACUCCGCAGUUAAGCGUGCUUGGGCGAGAGUAGUACUAGGAUGGGUGACCUCCUGGGAAGUCCUUGUGUUGCACCUCUUUUUGCCAAAAUUUCGUGUUCUUUUUGUUAAUUAGCGUAAUUUUACGUCGUUCCGUUAAUUUACGCUACCUAACACUCUAUUAGUUAAUUAAUUAGCGUAGUUUGACGUCUUUUUGAAAAAUAAAUUAGAAAUGCAUAUAUACAAUUACAACGCUUUACUCUCAGGUGCGAUCAUACCAGCACUAAUGCACCGGAUCCCAUCAGAACUCCGCAGUUAAGCGUGCUUGGGCGAGAGUAGUACUAGGAUGGGUGACCUCCUGGGAAGUCCUUGUGUUGCACCUCUUUUUGCCAAAAUUUCGUGUUCUUUUUGUUAAUUAGCGUAAUUUUACGUCGUUUUUGAAAAAUAAACUUCGAUUGUAUUUCAUUUUUUCCGUUAAUUUACGCUACCUAACACUCUAUUAGUUAAUUAAUUAGCGUAGUUUGACGUCUUUUUUGAAAAAUAAAUUAGAAAUGCAUAUAUACAAUUACAACGCUUUACUCUCAGGUGCGAUCAUACCAGCACUAAUGCACCGGAUCCCAUCAGAACUCCGCAGUUAAGCGUGCUUGGCGAGAGUAGUACUAGGAUGGGUGACCUCCUGGGAAGUCCUUGUGUUGCACCUCUUUUUGCCAAAAUUUCGUGUUCUUUUUGUUAAUUAGCGUAAUUUUACGUCGUUUUUGAAAAAUAAACUUCGAUUGUAUUUCAUUUUUCCGUUAAUUUACGCUACCUAACACUCUAUUAGUUAAUUAAUUAGCGUAGUUUGACGUCUUUUUUGAAAAAUAAAUUAGAAAUGCAUAUAUACAAUUACAACGCUUUACUCUCAGGUGCGAUCAUACCAGCACUAAUGCACCGGAUCCCAUCAGAACUCCGCAGUUAAGCGUGCUUGGGCGAGAGUAGUACUAGGAUGGGUGACCUCCUGGGAAGUCCUUGUGUUGCACCUCUUUUUGCCAAAAUUUCGUGUUCUUUUUGUUAAUUAGCGUAAUUUUACGUCGUUCCGUUAAUUUACGCUACCUAACACUCUAUUAGUUAAUUAAUUAGCGUAGUUUGACGUCUUUUUUGAAAAAUAAAUUAGAAAUGCAUAUAUACAAUUACAACGCUUUACUCUCAGGUGCGAUCAUACCAGCACUAAUGCACCGGAUCCCAUCAGAACUCCGCAGUUAAGCGUGCUUGGGCGAGAGUAGUACUAGGAUGGGUGACCUCCUGGGAAGUCCUUGUGUUGCACCUCUUUUUGCCAAAAUUUCGUGUUCUUUUUGUUAAUUAGCGUAAUUUUACGUCGUUCCGUUAAUUUACGCUACCUAACACUCUAUUAGUUAAUUAAUUAGCGUAGUUUGACGUCUUUUUUGAAAAAUAAAUUAGAAAUGCAUAUAUACAAUUACAACGCUUUACUCUCAGGUGCGAUCAUACCAGCACUAAUGCACCGGAUCCCAUCAGAACUCCGCAGUUAAGCGUGCUUGGGCGAGAGUAGUACUAGGAUGGGUGACCUCCUGGGAAGUCCUUGUGUUGCACCUCUUUUUGCCAAAAUUUCGUGUUCUUUUUGUUAAUUAGCGUAAUUUUACGUCGUUCCGUUAAUUUACGCUACCUAACACUCUAUUAGUUAAUUAAUUAGCGUAGUUUGACGUCUUUUUUGAAAAAUAAAUUAGAAAUGCAUAUAUACAAUUACAACGCUUUACUCUCAGGUGCGAUCAUACCAGCACUAAUGCACCGGAUCCCAUCAGAACUCCGCAGUUAAGCGUGCUUGGGCGAGAGUAGUACUAGGAUGGGUGACCUCCUGGGAAGUCCUUGUGUUGCACCUCUUUUUGCCAAAAUUUCGUGUUCUUUUUGUUAAUUAGCGUAAUUUUACGUCGUUCCGUUAAUUUACGCUACCUAACACUCUAUUAGUUAAUUAAUUAGCGUAGUUUGACGUCUUUUUUGAAAAAUAAAUUAGAAAUGCAUAUAUACAAUUACAACGCUUUACUCUCAGGUGCGAUCAUACCAGCACUAAUGCACCGGAUCCCAUCAGAACUCCGCAGUUAAGCGUGCUUGGGCGAGAGUAGUACUAGGAUGGGUGACCUCCUGGGAAGUCCUUGUGUUGCACCUCUUUUUGCCAAAAUUUCGUGUUCUUUUUGUUAAUUAGCGUAAUUUUACGUCGUUUUGAAAAUAAACUUCGAUUGUAUUUCAUUUUUCCGUUAAUUUACGCUACCUAACACUCUAUUAGUUAAUUAAUUAGCGUAGUUUGACGUCUUUUUUGAAAAAUAAAUUAGAAAUGCAUAUAUACAAUUACAACGCUUUACUCUCAGGUGCGAUCAUACCAGCACUAAUGCACCGGAUCCCAUCAGAACUCCGCAGUUAAGCGUGCUUGGGCGAGAGUAGUACUAGGAUGGGUGACUCCUGGGAAGUCCUUGUGUUGCACCUCUUUUUGCCAAAAUUUCGUGUUCUUUUUGUUAAUUAGCGUAAUUUUACGUCGUUCCGUUAAUUUACGCUACCUAACACUCUAUUAGUUAAUUAAUUAGCGUAGUUUGACGUCUUUUUUGAAAAAUAAAUUAGAAAUGCAUAUAUACAAUUACAACGCUUUACUCUCAGGUGCGAUCAUACCAGCACUAAUGCACCGGAUCCCAUCAGAACUCCGCAGUUAAGCGUGCUUGGGCGAGAGUAGUACUAGGAUGGGUGACCUCCUGGGAAGUCCUUGUGUUGCACCUCUUUUUGCCAAAAUUUCGUGUUCUUUUUGUUAAUUAGCGUAAUUUUACGUCGUUCCGUUAAUUUACGCUACCUAACACUCUAUUAGUUAAUUAAUUAGCGUAGUUUGACGUCUUUUUGAAAAAUAAAUUAGAAAUGCAUAUAUACAAUUACAACGCUUUACUCUCAGGUGCGAUCAUACCAGCACUAAUGCACCGGAUCCAUCAGAACUCCGCAGUUAAGCGUGCUUGGGCGAGAGUAGUACUAGGAUGGGUGACCUCCUGGGAAGUCCUUGUGUUGCACCUCUUUUUGCCAAAAUUUCGUGUUCUUUUUGUUAAUUAGCGUAAUUUUACGUCGUUCCGUUAAUUUACGCUACCUAACACUCUAUUAGUUAAUUAAUUAGCGUAGUUUGACGUCUUUUUUGAAAAAUAAAUUAGAAAUGCAUAUAUACAAUUACAACGCUUUACUCUCAGGUGCGAUCAUACCAGCACUAAUGCACCGGAUCCCAUCAGAACUCCGCAGUUAAGCGUGCUUGGGCGAGAGUAGUACUAGGAUGGGUGACCUCCUGGGAAGUCCUUGUGUUGCACCUCUUUUUGCCAAAAUUUCGUGUUCUUUUGUUAAUUAGCGUAAUUUUACGUCGUUUUGAAAAAUAAACUUCGAUUGUAUUCAUUUUUCCGUUAAUUUACGCUACCUAACACUCUAUUAGUUAAUUAAUUAGCGUAGUUUGACGUCUUUUUUGAAAAAUAAAUUAGAAAUGCAUAUAUACAAUUACAACGCUUUACUCUCAGGUGCGAUCAUACCAGCACUAAUGCACCGGAUCCCAUCAGAACUCCGCAGUUAAGCGUGCUUGGGCGAGAGUAGUACUAGGAUGGGUGACCUCCUGGGAAGUCCUUGUGUUGCACCUCUUUUUGCCAAAAUUUCGUGUUCUUUUUGUUAAUUAGCGUAAUUUUACGUCGUUUUGAAAAUAACUUCGAUUGUAUUCAUUUUUCCGUUAAUUUACGCUACCUAACACUCUAUUAGUUAAUUAAUUAGCGUAGUUUGACGUCUUUUUGAAAAAUAAAUUAGAAAUGCAUAUAUACAAUUACAACGCUUUACUCUCAGGUGCGAUCAUACCAGCACUAAUGCACCGGAUCCCAUCAGAACUCCGCAGUUAAGCGUGCUUGGGCGAGAGUAGUACUAGGAUGGGUGACCUCCUGGGAAGUCCUUGUGUUGCACCUCUUUUUGCCAAAAUUUCGUGUUCUUUUUGUUAAUUAGCGUAAUUUUACGUCGUUUUGAAAAUAAACUUCGAUUGUAUUCAUUUUUCCGUUAAUUUACGCUACCUAACACUCUAUUAGUUAAUUAAUUAGCGUAGUUUGACGUCUUUUUGAAAAAUAAAUUAGAAAUGCAUAUAUACAAUUACAACGCUUACUCUCAGGUGCGAUCAUACCAGCACUAAUGCACCGGAUCCCAUCAGAACUCCGCAGUUAAGCGUGCUUGGCGAGAGUAGUACUAGGAUGGGUGACCUCCUGGGAAGUCCUUGUGUUGCACCUCUUUUGCCAAAAUUUCGUGUUCUUUUGUUAAUUAGCGUAAUUUUACGUCGUUCCGUUAAUUUACGCUACCUAACACUCUAUUAGUUAAUUAAUUAGCGUAGUUUGACGUCUUUUUUGAAAAAUAAAUUAGAAAUGCAUAUAUACAAUUACAACGCUUUACUCUCAGGUGCGAUCAUACCAGCACUAAUGCACCGGAUCCCAUCAGAACUCCGCAGUUAAGCGUGCUUGGGCGAGAGUAGUACUAGGAUGGGUGACCUCCUGGAAGUCCUUGUGUUGCACCUCUUUUUGCCAAAAUUUCGUGUUCUUUUGUUAAUUAGCGUAAUUUUACGUCGUUUUGAAAAUAAACUUCGAUUGUAUUUCAUUUUUCCGUUAAUUUACGCUACCUAACACUCUAUUAGUUAAUUAAUUAGCGUAGUUUGACGUCUUUUUUGAAAAAUAAAUUAGAAAUGCAUAUAUACAAUUACAACGCUUUACUCUCAGGUGCGAUCAUACCAGCACUAAUGCACCGGAUCCCAUCAGAACUCCGCAGUUAAGCGUGCUUGGGCGAGAGUAGUACUAGGAUGGGUGACCUCCUGGGAAGUCCUUGUGUUGCACCUCUUUUUGCCAAAAUUUCGUGUUCUUUUUGUUAAUUAGCGUAAUUUUACGUCGUUCCGUUAAUUUACGCUACCUAACACUCUAUUAGUUAAUUAAUUAGCGUAGUUUGACGUCUUUUUUGAAAAAUAAAUUAGAAAUGCAUAUAUACAAUUACAACGCUUUACUCUCAGGUGCGAUCAUACCAGCACUAAUGCACCGGAUCCCAUCAGAACUCCGCAGUUAAGCGUGCUUGGGCGAGAGUAGUACUAGGAUGGGUGACCUCCUGGGAAGUCCUUGUGUUGCACCUCUUUUUGCCAAAAUUUCGUGUUCUUUUUGUUAAUUAGCGUAAUUUUACGUCGUUCCGUUAAUUUACGCUACCUAACACUCUAUUAGUUAAUUAAUUAGCGUAGUUUGACGUCUUUUUGAAAAAUAAAUUAGAAAUGCAUAUAUACAAUUACAACGCUUUACUCUCAGGUGCGAUCAUACCAGCACUAAUGCACCGGAUCCCAUCAGAACUCCGCAGUUAAGCGUGCUUGGGCGAGAGUAGUACUAGGAUGGGUGACCUCCUGGAAGUCCUUGUGUUGCACCUCUUUUGCCAAAAUUUCGUGUUCUUUUUGUUAAUUAGCGUAAUUUUACGUCGUUCCGUUAAUUUACGCUACCUAACACUCUAUUAGUUAAUUAAUUAGCGUAGUUUGACGUCUUUUUGAAAAAUAAAUUAGAAAUGCAUAUAUACAAUUACAACGCUUUACUCUCAGGUGCGAUCAUACCAGCACUAAUGCACCGGAUCCCAUCAGAACUCCGCAGUUAAGCGUGCUUGGGCGAGAGUAGUACUAGGAUGGGUGACCUCCUGGAAGUCCUUGUGUUGCACCUCUUUUGCCAAAAUUUCGUGUUCUUUUUGUUAAUUAGCGUAAUUUUACGUCGUUCCGUUAAUUUACGCUACCUAACACUCUAUUAGUUAAUUAAUUAGCGUAGUUUGACGUCUUUUUUGAAAAAUAAAUUAGAAAUGCAUAUAUACAAUUACAACGCUUUACUCUCAGGUGCGAUCAUACCAGCACUAAUGCACCGGAUCCCAUCAGAACUCCGCAGUUAAGCGUGCUUGGGCGAGAGUAGUACUAGGAUGGGUGACCUCCUGGGAAGUCCUUGUGUUGCACCUCUUUUUGCCAAAAUUUCGUGUUCUUUUUGUUAAUUAGCGUAAUUUUACGUCGUUUUUGAAAAAUAACUUCGAUUGUAUUUCAUUUUUCCGUUAAUUUACGCUACCUAACACUCUAUUAGUUAAUUAAUUAGCGUAGUUUGACGUCUUUUUUGAAAAUAAAUUAGAAAUGCAUAUAUACAAUUACAACGCUUUACUCUCAGGUGCGAUCAUACCAGCACUAAUGCACCGGAUCCCAUCAGAACUCCGCAGUUAAGCGUGCUUGGGCGAGAGUAGUACUAGGAUGGGUGACCUCCUGGGAAGUCCUUGUGUUGCACCUCUUUUUGCCAAAAUUUCGUGUUCUUUUUGUUAAUUAGCGUAAUUUUACGUCGUUCCGUUAAUUUACGCUACCUAACACUCUAUUAGUUAAUUAAUUAGCGUAGUUUGACGUCUUUUUUGAAAAAUAAAUUAGAAAUGCAUAUAUACAAUUACAACGCUUUACUCUCAGGUGCGAUCAUACCAGCACUAAUGCACCGGAUCCCAUCAGAACUCCGCAGUUAAGCGUGCUUGGGCGAGAGUAGUACUAGGAUGGGUGACCUCCUGGGAAGUCCUUGUGUUGCACCUCUUUUUGCCAAAAUUUCGUGUUCUUUUUGUUAAUUAGCGUAAUUUUACGUCGUUCCGUUAAUUUACGCUACCUAACACUCUAUUAGUUAAUUAAUUAGCGUAGUUUGACGUCUUUUUUGAAAAAUAAAUUAGAAAUGCAUAUAUACAAUUACAACGCUUUACUCUCAGGUGCGAUCAUACCAGCACUAAUGCACCGGAUCCCAUCAGAACUCCGCAGUUAAGCGUGCUUGGGCGAGAGUAGUACUAGGAUGGGUGACCUCCUGGGAAGUCCUUGUGUUGCACCUCUUUUUGCCAAAAUUUCGUGUUCUUUUUGUUAAUUAGCGUAAUUUACGUCGUUUUGAAAAUAACUUCGAUUGUAUUUCAUUUUUCCGUUAAUUUACGCUACCUAACACUCUAUUAGUUAAUUAAUUAGCGUAGUUUGACGUCUUUUUGAAAAAUAAAUUAGAAAUGCAUAUAUACAAUUACAACGCUUUACUCUCAGGUGCGAUCAUACCAGCACUAAUGCACCGGAUCCCAUCAGAACUCCGCAGUUAAGCGUGCUUGGGCGAGAGUAGUACUAGGAUGGGUGACCUCCUGGGAAGUCCUUGUGUUGCACCUCUUUUUGCCAAAAUUUCGUGUUCUUUUUGUUAAUUAGCGUAAUUUUACGUCGUUCCGUUAAUUUACGCUACCUAACACUCUAUUAGUUAAUUAAUUAGCGUAGUUUGACGUCUUUUUUGAAAAAUAAAUUAGAAAUGCAUAUAUACAAUUACAACGCUUUACUCUCAGGUGCGAUCAUACCAGCACUAAUGCACCGGAUCCCAUCAGAACUCCGCAGUUAAGCGUGCUUGGGCGAGAGUAGUACUAGGAUGGGUGACCUCCUGGGAAGUCCUUGUGUUGCACCUCUUUUUGCCAAAAUUUCGUGUUCUUUUUGUUAAUUAGCGUAAUUUUACGUCGUUUCCGUUAAUUUACGCUACCUAACACUCUAUUAGUUAAUUAAUUAGCGUAGUUUGACGUCUUUUUUGAAAAAUAAAUUAGAAAUGCAUAUAUACAAUUACAACGCUUUACUCUCAGGUGCGAUCAUACCAGCACUAAUGCACCGGAUCCCAUCAGAACUCCGCAGUUAAGCGUGCUUGGGCGAGAGUAGUACUAGGAUGGGUGACCUCCUGGGAAGUCCUUGUGUUGCACCUCUUUUUGCCAAAAUUUCGUGUUCUUUUUGUUAAUUAGCGUAAUUUUACGUCGUUCCGUUAAUUUACGCUACCUAACACUCUAUUAGUUAAUUAAUUAGCGUAGUUUGACGUCUUUUUUGAAAAAUAAAUUAGAAAUGCAUAUAUACAAUUACAACGCUUUACUCUCAGGUGCGAUCAUACCAGCACUAAUGCACCGGAUCCCAUCAGAACUCCGCAGUUAAGCGUGCUUGGGCGAGAGUAGUACUAGGAUGGGUGACCUCCUGGAAGUCCUUGUGUUGCACCUCUUUUUGCCAAAAUUUCGUGUUCUUUUUGUUAAUUAGCGUAAUUUUACGUCGUUCCGUUAAUUUACGCUACCUAACACUCUAUUAGUUAAUUAAUUAGCGUAGUUUGACGUCUUUUUGAAAAAUAAAUUAGAAAUGCAUAUAUACAAUUACAACGCUUUACUCUCAGGUGCGAUCAUACCAGCACUAAUGCACCGGAUCCCAUCAGAACUCCGCAGUUAAGCGUGCUUGGGCGAGAGUAGUACUAGGAUGGGUGACCUCCUGGGAAGUCCUUGUGUUGCACCUCUUUUGCCAAAAUUUCGUGUUCUUUUUGUUAAUUAGCGUAAUUUUACGUCGUUUUGAAAAUAAACUUCGAUUGUAUUCAUUUUUCCGUUAAUUUACGCUACCUAACACUCUAUUAGUUAAUUAAUUAGCGUAGUUUGACGUCUUUUUGAAAAAUAAAUUAGAAAUGCAUAUAUACAAUUACAACGCUUUACUCUCAGGUGCGAUCAUACCAGCACUAAUGCACCGGAUCCCAUCAGAACUCCGCAGUUAAGCGUGCUUGGGCGAGAGUAGUACUAGGAUGGGUGACCUCCUGGGAAGUCCUUGUGUUGCACCUCUUUUUGCCAAAAUUUCGUGUUCUUUUUGUUAAUUAGCGUAAUUUUACGUCGUUCCGUUAAUUUACGCUACCUAACACUCUAUUAGUUAAUUAAUUAGCGUAGUUUGACGUCUUUUUUGAAAAAUAAAUUAGAAAUGCAUAUAUACAAUUACAACGCUUUACUCUCAGGUGCGAUCAUACCAGCACUAAUGCACCGGAUCCCAUCAGAACUCCGCAGUUAAGCGUGCUUGGGCGAGAGUAGUACUAGGAUGGGUGACCUCCUGGGAAGUCCUUGUGUUGCACCUCUUUUUGCCAAAAUUUCGUGUUCUUUUUGUUAAUUAGCGUAAUUUUACGUCGUUCCGUUAAUUUACGCUACCUAACACUCUAUUAGUUAAUUAAUUAGCGUAGUUUGACGUCUUUUUGAAAAAUAAAUUAGAAAUGCAUAUAUACAAUUACAACGCUUUACUCUCAGGUGCGAUCAUACCAGCACUAAUGCACCGGAUCCCAUCAGAACUCCGCAGUUAAGCGUGCUUGGGCGAGAGUAGUACUAGGAUGGGUGACCUCCUGGGAAGUCCUUGUGUUGCACCUCUUUUUGCCAAAAUUUCGUGUUCUUUUUGUUAAUUAGCGUAAUUUUACGUCGUUCCGUUAAUUUACGCUACCUAACACUCUAUUAGUUAAUUAAUUAGCGUAGUUUGACGUCUUUUUGAAAAAUAAAUUAGAAAUGCAUAUAUACAAUUACAACGCUUUACUCUCAGGUGCGAUCAUACCAGCACUAAUGCACCGGAUCCCAUCAGAACUCCGCAGUUAAGCGUGCUUGGGCGAGAGUAGUACUAGGAUGGGUGACCUCCUGGGAAGUCCUUGUGUUGCACCUCUUUUUGCCAAAAUUUCGUGUUCUUUUUGUUAAUUAGCGUAAUUUUACGUCGUUUUGAAAAUAACUUCGAUUGUAUUUCAUUUUUCCGUUAAUUUACGCUACCUAACACUCUAUUAGUUAAUUAAUUAGCGUAGUUUGACGUCUUUUUUGAAAAAUAAAUUAGAAAUGCAUAUAUACAAUUACAACGCUUUACUCUCAGGUGCGAUCAUACCAGCACUAAUGCACCGGAUCCAUCAGAACUCCGCAGUUAAGCGUGCUUGGGCGAGAGUAGUACUAGGAUGGGUGACCUCCUGGGAAGUCCUUGUGUUGCACCUCUUUUUGCCAAAAUUUCGUGUUCUUUUUGUUAAUUAGCGUAAUUUUACGUCGUUCCGUUAAUUUACGCUACCUAACACUCUAUUAGUUAAUUAAUUAGCGUAGUUUGACGUCUUUUUUGAAAAAUAAAUUAGAAAUGCAUAUAUACAAUUACAACGCUUUACUCUCAGGUGCGAUCAUACCAGCACUAAUGCACCGGAUCCCAUCAGAACUCCGCAGUUAAGCGUGCUUGGCGAGAGUAGUACUAGGAUGGGUGACCUCCUGGGAAGUCCUUGUGUUGCACCUCUUUUUGCCAAAAUUUCGUGUUCUUUUUGUUAAUUAGCGUAAUUUUACGUCGUUCCGUUAAUUUACGCUACCUAACACUCUAUUAGUUAAUUAAUUAGCGUAGUUUGACGUCUUUUUUGAAAAAUAAAUUAGAAAUGCAUAUAUACAAUUACAACGCUUUACUCUCAGGUGCGAUCAUACCAGCACUAAUGCACCGGAUCCCAUCAGAACUCCGCAGUUAAGCGUGCUUGGGCGAGAGUAGUACUAGGAUGGGUGACCUCCUGGGAAGUCCUUGUGUUGCACCUCUUUUUGCCAAAAUUUCGUGUUCUUUUUGUUAAUUAGCGUAAUUUACGUCGUUUUUGAAAAUAACUUCGAUUGUAUUCAUUUUUCCGUUAAUUUACGCUACCUAACACUCUAUUAGUUAAUUAAUUAGCGUAGUUUGACGUCUUUUUGAAAAAUAAAUUAGAAAUGCAUAUAUACAAUUACAACGCUUUACUCUCAGGUGCGAUCAUACCAGCACUAAUGCACCGGAUCCCAUCAGAACUCCGCAGUUAAGCGUGCUUGGGCGAGAGUAGUACUAGGAUGGGUGACCUCCUGGGAAGUCCUUGUGUUGCACCUCUUUUUGCCAAAAUUUCGUGUUCUUUUUGUUAAUUAGCGUAAUUUUACGUCGUUCCGUUAAUUUACGCUACCUAACACUCUAUUAGUUAAUUAAUUAGCGUAGUUUGACGUCUUUUUUGAAAAAUAAAUUAGAAAUGCAUAUAUACAAUUACAACGCUUUACUCUCAGGUGCGAUCAUACCAGCACUAAUGCACCGGAUCCCAUCAGAACUCCGCAGUUAAGCGUGCUUGGGCGAGAGUAGUACUAGGAUGGGUGACCUCCUGGGAAGUCCUUGUGUUGCACCUCUUUUUGCCAAAAUUUCGUGUUCUUUUUGUUAAUUAGCGUAAUUUUACGUCGUUCCGUUAAUUUACGCUACCUAACACUCUAUUAGUUAAUUAAUUAGCGUAGUUUGACGUCUUUUUUGAAAAAUAAAUUAGAAAUGCAUAUAUACAAUUACAACGCUUUACUCUCAGGUGCGAUCAUACCAGCACUAAUGCACCGGAUCCCAUCAGAACUCCGCAGUUAAGCGUGCUUGGCGAGAGUAGUACUAGGAUGGGUGACCUCCUGGGAAGUCCUUGUGUUGCACCUCUUUUGCCAAAAUUUCGUGUUCUUUUGUUAAUUAGCGUAAUUUUACGUCGUUUUUGAAAAUAAACUUCGAUUGUAUUUCAUUUUUCCGUUAAUUUACGCUACCUAACACUCUAUUAGUUAAUUAAUUAGCGUAGUUUGACGUCUUUUUGAAAAAUAAAUUAGAAAUGCAUAUAUACAAUUACAACGCUUUACUCUCAGGUGCGAUCAUACCAGCACUAAUGCACCGGAUCCCAUCAGAACUCCGCAGUUAAGCGUGCUUGGGCGAGAGUAGUACUAGGAUGGGUGACCUCCUGGGAAGUCCUUGUGUUGCACCUCUUUUUGCCAAAAUUUCGUGUUCUUUUUGUUAAUUAGCGUAAUUUUACGUCGUUCCGUUAAUUUACGCUACCUAACACUCUAUUAGUUAAUUAAUUAGCGUAGUUUGACGUCUUUUUGAAAAAUAAAUUAGAAAUGCAUAUAUACAAUUACAACGCUUUACUCUCAGGUGCGAUCAUACCAGCACUAAUGCACCGGAUCCCAUCAGAACUCCGCAGUUAAGCGUGCUUGGGCGAGAGUAGUACUAGGAUGGGUGACCUCCUGGGAAGUCCUUGUGUUGCACCUCUUUUUGCCAAAAUUUCGUGUUCUUUUUGUUAAUUAGCGUAAUUUUACGUCGUUCCGUUAAUUUACGCUACCUAACACUCUAUUAGUUAAUUAAUUAGCGUAGUUUGACGUCUUUUUGAAAAAUAAAUUAGAAAUGCAUAUAUACAAUUACAACGCUUUACUCUCAGGUGCGAUCAUACCAGCACUAAUGCACCGGAUCCCAUCAGAACUCCGCAGUUAAGCGUGCUUGGGCGAGAGUAGUACUAGGAUGGGUGACCUCCUGGGAAGUCCUUGUGUUGCACCUCUUUUUGCCAAAAUUUCGUGUUCUUUUUGUUAAUUAGCGUAAUUUUACGUCGUUCCGUUAAUUUACGCUACCUAACACUCUAUUAGUUAAUUAAUUAGCGUAGUUUGACGUCUUUUUUGAAAAAUAAAUUAGAAAUGCAUAUAUACAAUUACAACGCUUUACUCUCAGGUGCGAUCAUACCAGCACUAAUGCACCGGAUCCCAUCAGAACUCCGCAGUUAAGCGUGCUUGGGCGAGAGUAGUACUAGGAUGGGUGACCUCCUGGGAAGUCCUUGUGUUGCACCUCUUUUUGCCAAAAUUUCGUGUUCUUUUUGUUAAUUAGCGUAAUUUUACGUCGUUCCGUUAAUUUACGCUACCUAACACUCUAUUAGUUAAUUAAUUAGCGUAGUUUGACGUCUUUUUGAAAAAUAAAUUAGAAAUGCAUAUAUACAAUUACAACGCUUUACUCUCAGGUGCGAUCAUACCAGCACUAAUGCACCGGAUCCCAUCAGAACUCCGCAGUUAAGCGUGCUUGGGCGAGAGUAGUACUAGGAUGGGUGACCUCCUGGGAAGUCCUUGUGUUGCACCUCU